rnacentral:lncRNA from 1 species
GAAAAUCAUGAAUUGUUAUGCGGCAAUACGGAGAUUUCACUAAAAUUUGUGCGGAAGAUUAAUAGCACAUUCAAGUUAUGAGAGAUCACACUCGAGUUACCCCUACGCUGCUUUCAUAUUUCUUCAUCAAGUAGGUUUAUUGUUGUUUUACAUUUGCUUGAGUAACUUAAUUCGAUCCAUAGUUUUCGACUUCUUGAUUUUCCAAGCAUCGAUGGAGGCAUGUAUAGGGGCUUUGUUGUGGUCCCUAUUUUUCUCUUACAAAAGCAUAAAUGAACCACAAAUUAUGAAGAACUAUAGUGUCUUACUUAUACAUCUAAAAGCAAAUAUUCGUCCUUGAAAUAAUCUUUUUAUUACAAUUGCAUCUUCCCAUGAUUGCUGAGUUGCAAUUUGUUGCCUGAUAUUGUGUAGCAAUCACUAAAGACAUGGAGAAGUUAGCAUAUGAACUCGUUAAGAAGUGUGCAGGAUUACCCUUGGCUGUCAUUGUGCUUGGUGGACUUUUGGCUGUCAACGAGUGGAAGACGGUUCAUGAAAAGAUCAAUUUGCAUUUUAGUGAUAAGAGUGAUGUAUCAAAAGUGUUAGCCUUAAGCUACGACGAUUUACCAUGGCAUCUAAAGCCAUGCUUCCUCUAUUUGGGUAGCUUUCCAAAGGAUGCAGAAAUCCCUGCAACGAAAAUUCUUCACAUGUGGAUUGCUGAAGGCUUUGUGCCACUGAAUGCUUAUGACAAAGAAAGAGAAAUUUCAGUGGAAGAUGUAGCAGAGCAAUAUUUAACGGAGUUGGUUAAUAGGGGGAUGGUUCAAGUAAGAUAUAAUUUGAGUGGAAAGAUCAAAACCUGCCACCUACAUGAUCUGAUGCGAGACUUAUGCAUCUCCAAGGCUUUGCAAGAGAGUUUUCUAAGCAUUUCUAAGAUUCAACAGGAUAGUGAGACAAAAAAUUAUUCCACUUCAAUGGCAAUAGAAGUUGAGUCAAGCUACAAAAUACGAAGGCUUUCUCUCAAUGGAAACGCGAUUCCAAGCUUAAAAUCAAUAGAAGGGACUUUGGUCCACCUUCGAACUCUCAUGUUCUUCAAUCCUACCAUGAAGCAAAUUCAGUUCUUCAAUCCUACCGUGAAGCAAAUUCAGUUCUUCAAUCCUAUCAUGAAGCAAAUUCAACCUAUUUUCAGCUGUAAGUUUCUUAGAAUUCUGAAACUGGAGGAGUUUGAUCUGAGCAGAAACUUACCUGAAUCAUUGGGAGACCUAGUCCAUUUGAGAUUCUUAAGUUUAGUAGGUAGUGGAUUUUGUGGCAUGCCACAAUCUAUGGGGAACCUUGUAUGUAUGGAAUUCUUGGAUCUGCUUAUGAAAACAAAUGUUGUGGUAACCAUGCCGAAUGUGUUGUGGAAGAUGAGAAGGUUGAGGUAUCUACGUCUUCCCUACAAAUUUGCCAUCAAGGAGAAAUUCCUUGUGGAUCGGAAGAAGUUGCGGUUAGACACUUUAAAGAAUCUACGGACAUUGAGAAACUUUAGUCCGAAGAAAUGUGAUGUGAAUGAUAUAGGCAAGCUUACUAAUUUGCAAAAACUAACCGUCUUCAACCCGUAUGAUCCUACCAAGCUAAAGAUAUUUUCGCAACUUGCUAAAUUCAAUUCGAAAUAUUUUCGAUCCUCAUCUUUUUAUUUCGGACACUCUAAUUGUUUAUGGACUGAAGGUCAAUUGAGCGAAAUGCCAACCUAUGACCAUCUCUGUAAGUUGACCAUUAAUGGAGAAAUAGAAAAGUUACCGAAACAUGAGAGUUUACCCCAGCAAUUGAGGAAGCUAGUCUUACUAAAUUCCCAACUCAAAGAAGAUCCGAUGCCAAUACUAGAGAAAUUGAAAAACUUGAUUUUUCUCAUGCUGGAGAACACUUUUGAGGGAAAGGAAAUGGUUUGCUCUGGAGGAGGCUUUCCUCAACUCAAGUAUUUAGUUAUAAGUCGUUUUCCAGGUUUGGAGGUGUGGAAGGUCGAUGAAGGAGCCAUGCCUCAUCUUUCUCGAGUACGGAUCCACGGAUGUCCCGAAUUGAAGGUGGUACCUCCACAUGUCCCUACAGAUUGGGACGUAGAGACAGAAGCAUGGACCCGCGGGAAAGAGUUCGCGGAAGAGUUAUCCAGUUGCCUUAGUUGCCUCGGUAUGGACAGCUGCAUUUGAACUCCCUAUUUAUAGGAUAGAGGUGCUCCGAUACGAGGACAGGGACAGGAGGGAGGAAAGCGACUUUUGUGGGUUGUCAGGGGGGUGGGCCCCCCAAAAUAAUUAGCAGAUGUGAAAACUGAAAAAUUGAUGAAUAUCCGCAAUGCUUUAUAUAAUUGAUCAAAGUAAAUAUCUAAUCUCAUAUGUUGUUAGUGAAAUAGAAUAUUAUGGCAUUUUUAAAUAAAUCUUCCAUGCCUUCUUUAAAUCAUGAAUCGUCGUUCGUUUCUGUUUCUUUCUCAUCCCUGAGGACUUCCAAAAAAGUGGGGGGUGGGAUCUGUUAUUUCGCUCGUUCUCUAGAGAACUCAGCGACUGUGCUCAUGGAAGACUGAAAAGUUCUCGCGAGCGCCGUGAGGAGGAGGAGGAGGAGGAGGAGGAGGAGCGAAUUCGUUGCUUCUCCAGAAGACAGCUGGAUGGGAGGCAUCUGAAGAAAUAUGAGUCGUCGCUUGUCAUGUUGUUGGAAGACGCCAUCGUGAAAGCUGGUCAUAGGAGAGGGGAGGAGGGAAGAUCCGACCAUUUCUAUAGCGCUGGCCAGAUGUUUGCCGAAAUGCGGAUGUGGGGGGUGGAAGCCGGGUACAUUAAUCUGAAAUGGGCGUGUUGCUUUUGGCUUUGAUUUCUUUGUAUGUUAGAUAAACAAUGACGAGAAAUACAACGGUGCAUUUUGCAUCUCCCAGUCUCCUACAUUUUUGUUUUUGCCAGUAUCCCUGUCCCCUAUAUGUGAGGCUGGAAGAUAUUAUUAUAUAUAUAUUUUAUGUGUGCUUACGUUACUCUUUCCCUUUGAACAACGGCGAUGAAAUCACUGGAUGUAGCGAGAAAGCAUGUGAUUAUUUGUCAAUAGGUGACGCACGGCAAAUGUUGCUCUUCUCCUGCGACCAAGAACUUGCGGCAUAUAUCAAGGAGGUAAAUAUUAUGAGAGGAUUUUGGCUUUCUCUACCUGGAAUUCUGUUCUCAAUUGACUAAUUUAGUCAAAAAGAUAAUAUCCGCUCCUGUAUUAGUUCAGAUCUUCGAAGGUUCUCAUAAAAUCUCUUCUAUUGAGUUGCUAAUCUAUGUCCUCUUCAACUAUUAUGAUUGUUUAUCUUCUUCUGGAAUCAGGGCCUGAUGUUAAACUUACACUUACCACAUCUAUGUGUCAUUUGGCCCUUGUUGUCACCCUGCUGUGUGCAAACUUGGCAAGGUGUGGUCAGUCUGGAAACCUCGUGCUUUAAAAAGCGCUUCAUAGUGUGUGGAAGGAUGUAUCCACGUAAAAGCUGUAUUGUGGAGCCUCAACAAUUACACAUGUUGUCUUUUGGAAUGCAGGAGCAUCCCAAGUGGCAAAUUGAGAGUGGGUCUGUACAUUCUCAAUGGAAAUGGAUAAUGACAGUCAAUGCACGAGGGUGUGAAUUUGAAUCUGUUUGCUGCAUCUUCAUCAUAACAGGUGAAGAUACUCUAAACAUUGGUAUGAUGGAUGCUUUCCAGUUGCCUUCUUCAGUUUCCACUCCUCAGGAAGCUGCCAAUUAUGAUGAGCUCUCCACGAAACAGAGAGCUUGAACAUUCCAAAUAGCUAAUGGUACUUCAUAAUACACCUAUAGUUUUCUUCAGUACAUAGCUACAAAUGUGAGAUAAAUAGUUUUUUCACUUCACUGUCUCAUACCGGGUUGAGCAUUUCUUCCUGUUGUACAUCUGGUAAAUCGCCUUGACAAUAUCGUAGAGUGGUGAACACAUUAAAAGAUUACAUGAUGAAAACUUUCAUAAACAAUGUGGAUCACCUGGGCUCCAUAGCCUAUAAGGUCAACUGUCUCCUGGAUGACAAGAUUGAGGACGCAUCUUUGGUUGAGCUCAGAGUCUCUUGCAUUCAACAGUUGUGCAAUAUAAUCAGGUUUUGCUUGUUUGAUUGUGUUUAGGAUGGGAAGGGCUUGCAUACCCUCUGAUUUACCAUGUGCGGGGUCUAAUAGAUUGCAACUGAUCAAGAAGAAUUAAGUUUUUGAAAUCUGAAAUUACUCCAGAUAAACUCCAUAAUGUGCCUGAUUAUAUCACAUUGUGACAAACUAAUUACUAGAGCAAGAGAGAUUCUAAAUAGUAGAAGAUAUCUUGCUUCGACCAAAGUAUGGAAAAUGGCAAGGAGAACAACCAUCUCUCGUACUAUCAAUUUAUUUAUCACAAAGUAACAGAUAUAAAUUUCAACAAUGUUAUUGUGUUUCAAAGACUAUUGACGUCUGAGAUGUUCAUAGACCAUGGAGGCCUUUCUCAGCACUCACCAGCGAUAAGAACUCCGAAGGACCUCAUGCAAUAUAUCUUACCAGGCACACUUCCCUUCACAAGAUUUAUCUGUUGUUUUAUUAAGACCCAAAAAUUGGUGUUGGCUCAUGCUUAACAACUUUCUCUCAGUUUCAAAAGCUAAAGAUGAGGGAGUCAGCAAGAAUCUGCGAUACUAUAUGACAAGCGGCUUAAAUGGCAAAAUGUCCAUAGGCUAACAUUGUAUGACCCAUUUUCUGAUUUAACUACCGUAUGCAUGUUGCAUGUAACAAGAUUGGUCUAUUAGAUGAAGAAAGUUCACGAGUUAUAGAACUACUUUUCUUGUUCUUUGGACGUAUUGAGGACAUGAUCUUUUAUGACUGAUUCUCUUCUGAAUCGCCAUUAUAUCCCCACAUGAACAUCCAAUACCCAUUGGAACCCGAAGAUCCACUUCAAUGUAUACUCAUUUUGAGAGGAAUAGGAAAACUGAUAUCGAGCUAUAUUCAUGCAAAAACAAACGUAUCUUCUAGGCCUUGCUUAGCAUGCGGAAGUCAAGAAAGGACAGCAAGUUAUGCAAGUUCUUGGACGAGAGCGAAGAAGAACAGGGGAUAAAAGAAAGUGAAUAGACCCAUAUCACGGUAUCUUUGCACCGCAAGAUUGACCUAUGCUGUAUUUGUUAUGGUAGCUUAAGCUAGCUUAAAGAUUUUGAGAAUAAUUUAAUGCAAUAAGAAACCGAACGAAAAGAAAGUCCUGAUAAAAUUACACAAUUUCUACAAGGUACUCCUUCAAUAGAUGUAGUCGCACUAUAGUCCAUUGUUCAGUCUUGCCUGUUAUUACAAACAGAGAAGGUAAAGAUUAGAGAAUGUUUAGAAAGCUGAGAUACUGUUUCCUCCCGGUAAUUAAAUAAUGACAGGCUCACUAGACACAGCUAAAACUGGGCCACCUUGGAACCAAUAAAAUGGCUUAAGCAGCUAUUUAUCACAAUCACAGGCUGCUUUACCCUCGGUUUGAUCCCUGAGAUGCUGCUGUUACAUGAUCUGCAUGCUAAGACACAGCUAAAACUGGGCAACAUUGGAACCAAUGAAAUGGCUUAAGCAGCUAUUUAUCAGAAUCACAGACUGCUUUACCCUCAGUUUGAUCACUGAGAAGCUGUUGUUACAUGAUCUGCAUGCUAAGACACAGCUAAAACUGGGCAACUUUCAAUGGCCAUAUAUAUGUUAUCUAACGAAGCAUCUUAACUGAGCAUCUUUCUCGAUAGGAAUUGAACGAGCAUUAUCUACAGAUGAACAGUCUAUGAUGCAACUUUGACCUGCCAUAUAAAUAUUUGAAGACAUUGAGAGCAUACGCAGUAUCAUUUCUGCCUCCUCAGCCGAACUUCUUCACCAUGCGUUAGCUCAUCUUAAUUUUAACCGAUAUCUUAGAUCAACACGGGUGGUACGUAAACAUAGCGUACCUCAAUAUGUUGAAUAUUGCUGCAAAUACAUUGAUAAUGUCGUAUAACUAUGAAGUGUUUCAGAUCAGACAACUACAAAUGAACUUGGCACUAAAACACUCCCUAUAAAAACAAGAGCUCGACCGUACGAAUUUCAUAUGCGAUAGGCACGAGAUUUUUGUGCACACCAUUCAGAUUCUUAUAGUAGUCAAUACGGUCGAUUGAGCAAUGAGCAUUGUUCAAAAUCCAAGAUCAAAACUGGGACACUCGGCCUUCACUUUCAAUUGAUCCCUAUCUCCUUCAGGGGUCUUCAAUUCAUCAUUAGCAUCGCCACAAGAACUGCUUGAAAGAGAUGCUUUGGAAGCAAGGCUUGUUACCAGAACAUUUGGGGUCAGCUUGCUCGGGAGAAGGCGGGAAGCGAUAAUUGGACCAGAUGUGCAUGCUAGUCAUACAGAGCUCAGUGCAAUUGAGAAUGUCCACUAAGUAAAUGCAGAACUAGACUUUGGUUUCCUACAAACAGUUGGUACUUGCAGCUAAUUUGUUUCUGCUUGUAUAGUGGUUUGCACCAAAAAGUUUCAACAAACAUCGAAACUCAUGAAGUUCUAAUGGAGUUUCAAGAUGCUUAUUGUCAUUUGUCACAACCUUGCCACCAAUGGCUCAAAAAUGGAGCCCAAAGUAUUGAUUACCCUAAAUUUAACAGGACAAGUAGCCGUGGAAUAGGUGGGAGUUGCCAAUUUGAAAGCCCUUCCGUAGAGUUAAAAUCAUUGAAAUCUGAGGAUGAUUCUGAUGAAAUUUUACAAUGUAGACAAGGAAACAUAAACUAUGAGAAAAGUAACAUUAAAAUUUGAAAGAACGCUGAAUUGAAAGAAAUCACGGCUAAACAAACCUUUUUCGACUUCAUGAGACCAGGUAACUUUUCGUAGCCAACGUUGUCAGCUAGAUUCCCGAUGCCUCAUACUCCACUGAAGGUAGUCUAGCAGAUGGCACUCUUUGUUUUUGAGCAACAUCAGAAGAAUUAUCUGAAUGCUGAAGCUCCUUUGUCAGUGACGCAAAACCUACCUUCCUCUCAUAUGACUUUCUGCAGCGGCAACUUGAUUUAAUGGUUUUUGCAGCUACAGUGAGUAACACAAUGUAGGUUCCUCCAAUAAACACGGGAGUUAACUUUGAAGGAAAUGCAAAAUAAAGGGGACAGCGAUGCAUCAACAUUGAUACGACCGCUCCCAAACUUAAUUGCACGACAUUCUUCUUUCAAGACCAGGUUCACGACACGAUCUAUCCAUUUUGUAGCUCCUUCAUGUGAAAAGAGAUUUUCAUUUUAUUCUAUUAAGGAUAUAAAUUAUAUAAUAUAUUGAUGGCAAUAAUAUCAAUCGUAUUCGCUAAUUCAUUUGUCCAAAGUUGUUCCUCGAUUCUUAUAAUAAUUUCGUAUAUAUUGUCCAAUAUUAAGUUAAACCGUACCCGCACGCGCACUAAUCGAAUUCAUAUAUUUCUUUAUUUCACGCUUUAGUCUUCUCCAUUGAGUCAACGCACCCUUGCAUUAUAUGCAAGAACACUAGACUACAUCUUUCCAGCCGUCUGUGUGUAAUCGUUUUGAAGCUGACAUGACAUAUUCAUUAUCAAAAAUUCCAUCCAUUCUGCAAUUUUGCAACAUUCUGUUCGUUUCAUUUUCCCUAUCAUCCUCGUGGACUUCAAUUCGGGGGGAAUCCGUCGUUUCGCUCGCUGUGGAGAGGAGAGGAACUCGCGACUUGCUCAUGGAAGAUUGUGAAGUUCUCCCGAGCGCCGGGAGGGGAAAAGGUGAAGGGCGAAGGGCACGCGAGAGGAGGUGGAGCGAAUUCCACGCUUCUCCAAGAAGACGCUGGAUGGGAGGCAUACGAAGAAACGAGAGUCGUCGCUCGUGGCGUUGAAAUCGUCGCCAUGAAAGCUGCAAUGGAAAGGGCAGAAGAUCCGAGCGUUUCGUAGCGCUGGUCAGAUGUCUGACGAAAAGCGCCGGUGAGAGUAGAAACUGGGGUGGCUAAAAGCCGAAAUCGGCAUGUUGCUUCCAGAAUGAGUAAUUCAAUUAUUUGUAUAUCUAACGAUUCUUUCUUAUGUGUGCCUACUUUAUUCUUUCCCUUUGGAUAUACAGAGAUGAAGUUGCCGGAGGUAGCGAGAAGGCAAAUGAUUAUGUGUCGAUUGGCGACGCACGGCAAAUGCUGCUGUUCUCCUGCGAUGAGGGAAUUUUGGCUUUCUCUACUCGGAAUUCUGUUUUUAAAUUCACUAAUUUACUCAGAUGGAUAAUGUACUCUCCAGCAUCAGUUCAGACCUUCGGAAGUGUCGCUCAUAAAUUGACUAAUGGACUCUCGCCCCUCGGUGCCGGCAAUUGUCUUUAUUGGUCAAAGAGUCACAAAGCAUUGAAAUAGUCGUUGCACAGCCGCGGGUCAUGCUUACUCUUGAUUGUUGGUAUUCAGAAGCCAUCUUUUAAGAUCGAUUCGGACGAGUCGCGUAGGAGAAUCGUGUCGGAUUUUCCUUUUCCCCUAUAUUUUCUCCUAGACUCCAGAUUGGGCUCUGUGAACAUGAGAUUCUGCUUUCUACAUUUGCUGCAUAAAGCCCUCAGGACAGAGCAGAAUCGAUUAUUCUGGGGCUUACAAUUUCAUCGAGUCUUGCAUGAUAGAUGAUUUGGCCUCCGCGUGGUUAAAUCAUCGCUAAAUGCUGUUGCCCGACUAUGAUAAUUGAUGUUCUUCCUACUGGGAAAGAACAAUGAAAGUCAUUAUUGAUUGACUCAUAGCUGUUGGGUUGCGACAAUCAUUGACAAAUCAUAUAUUACGAUGAUGUAUCAUAAAAGUCUAAUAAGGAAUUCCCAACCACCCAAAAUGUUCCAAAUUCAUGACUUUUUAUGUCGUGUUCAUUCCAUUAUUUUCUCAAAUGACUUGCUUUUUCUUGUUUCUCUUCAAGUAGGCGCUUCUGCUCCAAAGCGCACGUUUCGUUUCCAUCUUUACCAUGAAAUCUUGCUCGAUCUUCAAGAUGACGAUGUUAAUAAAAAGUUGACAAAUGCAAAGAUUUUGCCACCUCACUUUUAAUUGCGUUUACAGGAUCUUUGGCAAAACCUCACUUUCAUUGGAUUUGCAUGCACAGCUAGAGUAGGCCUAUUUUUUUAUUAAAUGUCAUUUGGUAGCUGAAUUGAAUGUGUAAGCCCCGCAUCACCCGACUUCCUAAAAAAGUCCAUUGUGUCUUGUACAAAUUGAUUAUAUCCCAAAAAAAAAAAAAAGAUCACUUUAUUGACAACUAAAUUAAGCACAACUAUCCAUUGACGAUGCCAUUUUACAUAAUUGGUACCAAAUAAAUUUUCAGAUGAAUGCAAAUUGAGUUGAGAAUUUGACUGAAUCCAUAUUUUAAAUGUGAUAGAUCUACCCAAUGUAGGCUAAUGAAUGAAAUCAAACCCAUCCUUGAGUUCAAAUCAAGCCUGACAAAUUUGGGUGAAGUAUUAAACCGAAUUCAUCAGUGAGCAAGUUAGGUGGGACUCCCAACGAGUUUAAUGGCGAUGCCAUUAUCAUUUACCAGCUCAUCACAUGAUUUUAAUGUAGGCAAAAAGCAAGUUAGUCUUUUAUUUUAAGUGAACGAAGUCUUUUCUAUUUUUCAAAUUUUUUUUCCCCUAUACUAAUUUAGUGUGGCUCAAAUGAUAAAAAUACUCGAGCUAAAAGCACCAGACAGUUGAUGCAUGUUGGCUGCAUAGAGGAUUGACUUCUAUGUAGUACCAAAUGCCAAACCGACAUAGCAUCAUUCACACAAGAAGAAUGUUAAUGUUUUCAAUGGACGAGAGUGAAUGAAAAUUGCAGUAGUUCCCACUCCUGAGCAGAUAUUACACUUGAUCUUUGCAAAAGAAUAACUUGAAAAACCCCUUCUCACGUCUCAUGCCCCGUAUAAAUAUCGGGAGAUGAGAUAACUAGUAAGCGGAAUGAACGGGAGCGGAGAUUGGAUCCGUGAGAAUUUACCUUUAUGCUAGAUAUGUAAAACCUUAGAUUAUUAGAUGGAAGAAAAUGCUCAUACAUUACAGGCUUAUGGGCAAAAUAGCGAUUAAGAAUUAUUGGGAUAUUAUUGUUACUGGACGUCUCACUUUUGUGGUGUUCAGUUUGGGUGCGCGUUGCUUUCAGUACUUAAUCCCAAAAAACUCAGCGCCUUGCUUGUCCUUGUUAGGAUGGUGCAGCCUUCAUCAUACCCCAAUUAUUGCUCUCCCCAACAGAGACACUCAAACAACCUUGUGACAGAAGCAAAAGGCACAAAUCACUAUGACACUUGGUGGUGACCCAUUUCUGCGAGAUGGUUUUUCUACUCUCUCUCCCCCUCUCUCAAUAUCUAAGGUGAAGAUCACUAAUUUUGGUUAUGGCCUUUUGGAUAUCUUUCUUUGCUUUUCCUUAUCAGAGAAUGUUAGGGAGCUGAAAGGAGGCUUGGGACUGUGUUGCAGUAGAUAAAAAGGAGGUAACGUCAGCUUCAUAUUCUUCGCAUAUGCUUUUUGCUAUCCUGUUGAGAUUUUUUGUCUGGUUCUUUUUGGACCUGCGGUUUGGCAAUGCUCUGUGUGAUCCGUGAAUUGACAAAACAAGAAGAAAUGCUUCCAUUGGCAAUAACUGUUGUCGUCGGCACAUGGAGAACUCUGUGAGCAUUGCAAUAUCUCAGGAUUUUAGCCUCGGCUUUGUUGGAAGGAAAUGGUCGAGAUAAGAAUAGGGAAAGAAUGUCAAGAAGAAGAAAAUACGUCGUGGAAAUAAAUAAUGGUAGUCAGUGCCCAAGGGUGUGAAGUUGAAUCUGAUUGCUUCAACUUCACUAUAACAGGUGAAAAUACUCUGAACUUUGGCACGAUGGAUGCUUGCCAGUCACCUCCUUCAUUUUCCUCCCCUCGAGGAGCUUCGCAUUAUGAUGAGCUCUCCAUGAAAGAGAGUUUGAUCUUUUCAGAUAGCCUGAAGGUACAUAACUACUAGUUACUUUUUCUUGGUUUACCUUAAAAUUCGAUUUAUGUUCCUCUAUUUUUUUCACCUAUUAGAUGAUCAAAUUCCCCAUGAUCUAGUUUACAUCAUGUUCGCGUGAAAAGAGUUUGUAUUUGUCUUGCAUGCUAAUCAUAAGCUUUUCUCUAAACAGGACUUGAAGGAUCUUAGGAAGCAAUUAUACUCAGCAGCUGAAUAUUUUGAAUCAUCUUACAACGGAUAAGAUCAUAAACAAAUGUGAGAUGCAUAGGUUUUCAAUUCAUCAUAGUGUACCGGCUUGAGCAUUUAUUUAUGUUGCGCAUCUCUUUGUUGACCUUGUCAAUACUGUAGAGUGGUGAACACGCUCAGAGAUUAUACAACUAAAGCUUUCAUCAACACUGUGGAUCACUUGGGCUCCAUGACUUAUAAGGUCAAUAUUCUCCUGGAUAACAAGAUUGGGGAAGCUUCUGCAAUUGACCUUAGAUUCUCUUGUGUUCAACAGGUGUGCCAUAUAAUUAGGUUUUCCUUGUAUUAUAGCAUUAAGAAUGAGAAGGGCUUGCAUACCCUAUGAUCUACCAUGUGCAGGGUCUAAUAAAUUGCAACUUACCAAGAAGAAUUAAGUUCUUGAUACCGUGAAAUUACUCCAAAUAAACUACAUGACUUGCCGGAAUUAUAUUACAAUGUAACAAACUAAUUGGCAGAGCAAACUAUAUUCUAAAUAGCAUAAUAUAUCUUACUUCAACAAUAAAAUGGAAAAUGACAUAGAGAACAACUAUCUCUUGUACUAUUGACUCAUUUAUCACAGAUAACGAAUAUAAUCUUCAACCCUAUUUUUGUGUUUUAGAGACGACGAAUGUGUGAGAUGUCCGUAGACCACGGAGGCCUAUCUCAAUAGUCGCUAGCAAUAAGGACUCUGAAGCACCACAUGCGAUAUAUCUUACCAGGCAUGCUUCCCUUCACAAGAUUUGUCAUUGGUUUAUUAAGACCAAAAGAUCGAAGUCGGUUCAUGCUUAAGAACUUUCUUUCAGUUUCAAAAGCUAAAGACGGUGGAGACAACAACAAUCUGCGAUAUUGCGUGACAAAUGAAUUGAAUGGCGAAAUAUCAGCAGGUUAACAUUGUACGACUCUUUUUCUAGUUUAGCCUCCACUAUGCACAUUUCACGGAACAAGAUUGGCCUAUUAGAUGUAAAAAGUUCCUGAGUCAUAGAAGUAGCUGUUCUCUCGCUCAUCAUUUGCAAGUGUUCGACUUAUUCCAUCAAAAAGCAGAAUAUCAAAUGCUACUACUGACGUUCUAAUAACUUUUUUUGCUUUCCAAAGAAGUAUAUCCGAGAAAUAUAGAGACUUCUGCAUCAAUCGUCAGGUAACUUUUGACUGAAUUUGUUCUACUCAUCCUAGCUCCGGAAAGACCUGAUGCUGACAAUGGAACCCUGAUGCAGGAGACGGCAUUUGGCAACACAAUUUCCACAAUCCUCCCGAACAGGCCCCUUUUCAUUCGCAAGUACCUUGUCCAACAAAAAAGCAGGUCGGUAUUGAAUACUCCAAAUUGGGGGUAAGAGCAUUAAGAGUGCCCAAACUUUCGUAUGUGCUUAUCCGAGUGCCAAAACUUUAUUUUUGCUCACUUCAGUGUCACAAAUUUGAAAGAUUAAUCAUUUGAGUACCAAUUCUGAAUUAUCUCCCCAAAAAAUUUGACAUAGACGCUAGUUGUUUAACAUGACUUUGCCAGCACUAACGUGGACAACUUUUAAAAUACUUUUUCUUUAUUUUUUUUCUUUUUUAUUUUGGGCGGGCAAGAGUCACCAACAGCAAAAUCCUCGCCCUUGGCCAUGAAGGCCCUAAGCGAGGUUGUGAAGGCCCUAAGCAAGUUCGCAAAGGACCUUAGCAAGGUCGCUGAGGCCUCACUAGCCACUACACUGGCGAAGUUAUGAGGGCCCUCGCCUAGGGCCUUCGUGGCUAGAUCUGUGUGAGGACUGCCUCGCCCUCAUAAUGAAGGCCCUAUGCGAGGGCAUCACGUCCUCACCAGCCACUGUCAACGUUGCCCAAAGUUGGCGGGGGCUCUCGCAGCCUCGCCCAGGACUUCACAUCUGAGGGCGAGGGUUUCGCAACCAAUAAGGGUCGCCAGUGACCCUCAUGGCAAAAAAAAAGGCAAAACAAAAUUAAAAACACAAAAUUAAAAAAAAAAAUCAAAAAAAUAAAUAAAUUCAAUGUAGAAUGAUUUGCUAGAAUUGACACUCAAAUAAUUGAUUUUAUUCUAAUGUGGCACUCAAGUGAACAAAAAUAAUUUUUGACACUCCUAAUGUUCUUACCCCCUUCAGAUUGCCAUACAUAGCGUUUACAUCAUGUUUUCAUGCCCUAUGAUUGUAUCAUAUAUCAUGUAGUCAGACAAGCUACUAAUGCAAGCCGCACUUUUUCUAAACAGAAAAACGCACCUCCCCAUUUCUAUUUCAACUCACACGUUCAAGUUCUCUGGCCGAUAAAUCCACAUCUCCAAACCCUUCUAACGCCAAAAAACGAGUAAGCAUCAAUGAAAUUCAGUGCAGCUCAGCUAUUAAGCUUCAUUUUUUGUUGGACGUCUUGCGGACAUGACCUCUCAUGGCCGAGUCUCUUAUAUGCCAUAUGAACAUCCAGUACCCAUCAGAACCCCGAGAUCCACUUCAAUGUCUACUCAUGUUGAGAGGAACAGAAGAACUGAUAUCGAGCUAUGUUCCAGCAAAGACAAAAGUCUCUUCAAGGCCUUGCUUAGCAUGCGGAAGUCAAGAAAGGACAGCAAGUUGUACAAGUUCCUGGACGAGAAAUAAGAAGAAGGAAUAAAGGAAACUGGAUAGACCCACAUAUGAGUUUCUUUGCAUCAAACGUGUACCUAAAUAUGUUGAAGAUCACUGGAAAUACAUUGAUUAUGUCGUAUAACUAAAAAAUUUUCAGAUCAGACAGCUGCAAAUGAAUUUGGCACCAGAACGCUCCACAUAAAAACAGGAGCUCAACUGCACAGAUUUCAUGUGACAGGCAGAAGAUUCUUGCGCACUCCAUCCAGAUGCUUGACAGUAGCAAUAUUGUUGAUUGAGCAAUGGAUAUGGUUCAAAAUCCAAGAUCAAAACUGGGACACUCAGCCUUCACUUUCAAUGGAUCUCUAUCUCCAUCAGGGUCCAUUCUUUUAUCACUAGCAUCGCUGUGAGAACCGUGUGAAAGCAAUGCUUCAGAAACAAGAUUGUCGCUGCAGCACUUGGGAUCAGCUUGCCCAUGAGAAGGCUGCAAACGUUAAUUGCAGCAGAUGUACAUGUUAGUCAUACAAAGCUCAGUGAAAUUGAGAAUGUCCUCAAGGUAAAUAAAGAACUAGAUUCUGGACAGGGAUGCAUUAGAGAAUUCAAGCAGGGCCUCAUGCAUCUAGUUUGAACAUUCCCUGCAAGCAGUUGCUACCUGCUGCUAAUUUAAUUCAGCUUGUCCAAUAGUUUGGACGAAAGAGUUACAUCAAACAUCAGAACUCAUUAAGUUCUGAGGGAAUUUCCAGAUGCUUAGAGUGACAAUCUUGCCACAGACGGGUCAAAAUAGAGCUGAAAGAAUCUAUUACUGAAAAUAGAGCAGGACAAGUAGCUGUGAAAUACCUGUGAGUUGCCAAUUGCAAAGUCCCCCCUCAAGUAAGAUUCAUUGAAUUCAGAAGCUUCUGAUGAUAUUUUACAAUGUCAGAUGAUGAAACAUAUAUUACAACAAAGCUAACACUUAAACUAAAAGAAUGCUGGAGUGAGUUAGAUUGCACUAAACCAACCUUCAGACUUCAUUAGACCAGGUAACUUUUCAUUGUUGGUGGUAUCAGUCAGAUUUCCAGUGUCCACAUUCUCCACCAAAGGCCGCUUAGGAGCUGGUGCUCUUUGUCUUUGAGCUCCAUCACAAAACUCAUCUGGAUCCUGAAGCUCCUUCGUUAGGGAAGCAAAACUUGCCUUCCUUUCGUAUGAAUUUUCAGCAAUGGCAACUAGAUUUAAUGGUUUUCGCAGCACAGAUAGUAUUUGACAGGCUGCAUCGAUUUGAUUGUGAGAGAUCAUUUGCAAGCUAUAGUAACACACAUAGGUUCCUCCAAUAAACAUGAGAACUAACUUUCAAAGAAAUGCAAAAUGAAGUGAGCGAUGCAUCAAAAUCAAUAAAACCAAUCCCAAGCUUAAUUGAUGACAUUCUCUUUCUAGAGCAGGUCCAUGAAACAAUCUAUCGAUUUUGCGGGCUUUACAAUGCUUACUGUAAAUUACUUGAUGCACCGGCAUAAGAUAAAAUUAUUUUCAUUGUGCCUAAAUCUAACUACACAUGUGAAAGAUAGUAACAUCAAAAGGCAGAAGAUAAUUAUAAUAUAGAGAAAUUUCUCCAUAGAGUAAUCACCAUCACGUAGAGGCUUGGUCUCGGAAACUCUCCUGAUGCAAUCUGUGCUUUUCAUACCAGAUAUUCCACUGUUUGAAUCCGAAUCUCUCGCUGGAUGGACCUUCCCCCAAGUUUUGUCUCCAUGUUUAUGCCACGGUACUGUAAUAUCCAAAGGUCAAGCAUUAGGCAUCAAAUAAUUGAGGCACGUAGAAUUAAUAUCUAUGAAAGAAAGAAUUAGAUGUUCCAAUUCUGAAUCAUCUUUAGGUGACCAUAUCAGGUGUACAAUCCUCCUCGUAUAAGUGCCCCUACUUAGUAAGGAAGGUAGCAACUUUCUCUUAACAUGUUCUUUCAACAUAUUCAUUUCCAAUUGUAUCUUAACACCCACAGAUCCACCUAAAUAACCUCCUCAGUACUUCACAAGGACAUAGCUAGUCAAACAGGAUGCAUCAAGGAAAACUACAUCUACAAUGAAGUUAUUGAAACAUCUAAAUAGCAUUGGAUGAAUAAAAAAUGCUGCAAACCUCCCAGGAUUGAUUGAUCAACUUUAGUACCAUCCACCUCCUCACGGCCUGUCCUCAUUUCUCCGGCAGCACAACAUGUUUUACGAUCAUUCAAACCCAUUGCCCCCUUUUCUUUUACCACAUGCUCCCCAAUAUCAACCAAGUGAGAAUCGAACACCAGAGAUUUUCCAGUUCCCAACACUUCAUCUCUCCUAAGAAAUUUAUUCACCAAGAUUUUCCUACUAGCAUCAUACAGUGUGACCUGAAUGAUCCAGGGGGAAGAAAACAAUCAGCGGAAAAGUGAUUCCAGGACCUGUAAAAAGACCUUUGGACUUUUUUGGGUAAUGAAAAGCACUUGAAUUAGUGUGAUACUUGGGGCACAAAAUGAAACACUAUUUAAAAAAACAGAAGUGAUUCAUGUUGGAUCAGCAAACAAAGUGGCCAGCCCAGUUUAAUGUAAAAAAAGUGGCUUAAUGAAAAAAUCCAUGAAAGUGCCUCGAAAUGACCUGCCUCCCUAGGGAUCCGUGAACUUCAAGCUGCAGAAAACCAUCAUGGUAUUUCUUGGCCUUUUGAGUUACUUGUGUUGUGUACAAAACCUGCCAUUCUACAUGACAGGAAAAUGUCAAUCUCCAAGAAGGACAUGCUCAGAAUAAUACAAAACAGCAGGAGCACAUAGCCCACAAAAGAACAUUCACACGCUCAUGGGUGUCAAAAAUGGCCGAAGGACAAUAGUGGACCUGUUAUUGAUUUCAUUAUUUCAGUAACCUCAAGCUAAAAGGAGGCAGUAAAUACAAAGUCAUAUCAAGACAAUAACUGGCUACUUAAUGAAAACUUUAUUAGAAAAUCUAUCGGGAAGUCGAAUGAGCAACCAGCUCGUGAAUGAAAACUUCAAUAGAAAAUGUAACAACCAUAAAGAAAUACACAGGAGAAUCCCUGUAACUUAGCUGAUAUGCCCUCCUCUUUUGCACGGGGUUCUCUUAAAUGGGACUCAUUUUUGAAUACCUAAAGCAUGGCGCUAGAGCUAGGAAAAUACCAAGAACAUAACCUGACAAGGUAAAUUGUGGAUUUUCCAAGUGAAAGGACAACCUUAGACCACCUCUAAAGCACAAACUCAGCAGCUUUAUACAUAGUUUUUAAUAUGGUGAAUCUUCUAUCUACUGUACAUUUUUUUUCCAUUUUAACUCAAGUGCGAUAUCUGUCAUAUGUAAGGAAUUUCAAAAAUCCAUCUCAUUAAGCAGUAUAGAGUUUUGCCUAUGACAAGUGCGAAAGUUUCCUAACGGGCAACUUUGAUUUCACCGGGGAAAAAAAUGUGAGUUCAUAAUCACAUAAGAACGUGCAACAAAUGUAGAGACAAGGCAACUAGCAAACACUCUUAGCAACCUGAACAUGCAUACAAGCAAAAUCUGACCUGUUAUGCCUGAUUUUCCAGCAUCUAAUAUACUCCCCUUUGCCCCAUUCUGAUGCAUCUGGCCAUUUUUUUCUUCUGAAAGAGUACUAAUGAAUACAUGUUUCAGUGCAUCACAAUCAGAAUCAGGUAAUUAUCAUAGAUCAUACAAAACAUGAAGAGAAGGGAAUCUCGCUCCUUAACAGAAAAGGAGAAGAUGAUAUAGAUAACAGAGAUCGUUUUCAAUUGUGAUCUCUCUAUAUUUGGUCAAUGAAGAAAGCAUUAACUACAUAUAAAACCAAUAAACUGACUCUUGGCAUCUGCAAGUUCAAGAAUUUGUGGAAAUUCCCACGAUCAUAAACAUCCCAUGAAUUUGUGUCCGUAAAGCUCCGAAUCACAUUGUGUUAAAGUAUCAAUUUGGUGAGUACGGAGCCUCCCCUAGUUACAUAAAUUUGCAGAGCAGCUGAAUGAUAGGAUCGAUGGGAAUAUAAACAAUCAGGGAGAAAAUGUUGACAAUCAAUUGACAGUUCAAGACUUUAGGAGAGGACGUAAGGCAAAUUACCUCCAAAGAAAGAAUCAACAGGGAAAAAACAGCUAUUUAUAGGACACCAGCUAGCAAAUCAAAUUGAACUCUAUUCCAGGGUACCUUCUACAGCCGAUUUAACAGUAGUAACAUUACACUGCUGCUUUUGCAUAUAUAAUUUGUGAAGAGAACUGAAGCAGUUUCCUCUUGCAUUUAGAUUUAGUUCCCUCGAAGUAUCAUGGUUUGCUUCACAAUUGCCAACUUCAACCAAAUGACCAGGAAAUUCCAUCAUCUCCCCAGGGCUUACUUCUUCAGCUUUGCUCAGGAACCUACUAUCUAAAAGUUUCCAGCUCGUAUCAUACAAGAAAACCUGGUAAAGGCCCCAAAAAGGUUUCAAUGAUCUGAGCCAUGUUUAUCCUAAUAAAAAAUUUUCACUAAUCUGUAGAGAAAGGUAUACACCAUGAAGAAGAAAACUAACUAAUUAAGGAAGGAAGACCUGAAAUAUGAUUCAGCAACAAGACAGCUGGUAUUAUCUAAGGUUAAUGAUCAUGAUCAGUAGAGAUGUAGACUGUAGAGCUUGACCUGUCUAGUGAUAGAUCCACUGCUUGUACAACGCAAGAAGCCAUCAUGAUAUUUCUUCGACUUUUGAGUUAAUUGUGUUGUAUACAAGACAUGCCAAUCUAUAUCAAAAAGAAUAUCACGUCAACCACAGUGCUAAGACAACAAUAAGAAACUAAUGAAUGUAACUACAUAGAGAAUAUAGAGACCAGUUUUCUGAGGGAAAGUCUGGAAAUAUGCUAGGAAGCUCCAAUUUUCUUCAAGAGAAGUGAUUUAAAUAUGUGAACAUAAUACUGCUGUGACUGAGAAGAUUUGAUAUACAAAGCAUCAAAUUUGAGUAAAUAUUUUUUGAAUGGAUGCUGCAUGUAGUGUAACAACAUGCAGCGAUCAUACACCCAGAGAAAAUCGAGAACAGAUUCACAAUCCAGGAGACACAUCAAGAGAAAGACACGGCCUGGCAUGGGCAUAGAUGAGUCAGUAAAAGUCCAAACUCACCUGUCGUACUUGAUGUCCUUGAGUUCGGACUUGCCUGCAGUAUGCCAUACCUGUUCAUUUCAUUCUUCUUGAAUUCUGAAAAUCAAAAAAACAAAAGAACAAUGCAUGCUAAGUUUUGUACCCAGCAUUUACUUGCAAUUAAGAGAGAAUUAGAUUACGUAGGAAUUCAUCGCCAACCUGUAAUAAUCUUCGCAAUGGGCUUAGGCUGAUCGUCUGCUGUUUAUGGUUCUCCACUAUGGUCUUCUCAUCUCCUUGAAAAGAAAGCCAAGUCAAUUAUAUGAUAAUACAGGUAGAUGAUGGGCACAACAUUGCAAACGUAUGAGCACGAGUCAUCGAUUUUCAAACCAACGGAGACACCAGCAUUUAGAAAGACAAAUAUGUAAGAACAGACAAUACCGGCACAAUCAGAUACGUUGACAAACUUGUUUCUGUGAAGCAGAUUCGUUCGCUUAGGGACUUUAUUUUCUCGGCUGCGAGCAUAAGUAUCAUCGAGAGGCUUUUGCCCUUCUUCAGGCUCUCCAACAUCAACCAAAUAAGCAUUGAACGUCAGCGUCUCACCGGAGCAAACAACUUCGUCAUUCUUCAAGAUCCUGCAUUCCAACAGCUGGUCGCUGUCGUCAUACAGCAUUACCUGUCGAAAAAUCCGAUCAUCAAUCACGGCAUGGCCUAAUCCACUCAGAACAAGCUCAAUUGCGGGAAGCACAACGACCGAAACCACAGAACAGAACAAUCCGCGAGGACAGUCGAAAUCGAAAUCCUUAGCAACAUCGAGCCGUUGCUAUCUAGCCUGAUCGAGCGAGCUAAAUUCAGGGAAUCGAUCGCCACUGCAGUUUCGACAUGGACUACUACUAGCCGAUCAAAACCGAAUCAUGUCCCAGCCCAAUCGAAGGUAACCAAAUUCGCCGAUCGAGUUGAGCUGGACAUCAAUGGCGGAGAUAAGUAGCGAGUGAGAGAGAGAGGGAACGUGCCUUGGCGGAGGAGGAGUGAAGAGAGAGGAAGCCGUCGCGGUAGACCUUGCGCUUCUGCUUGAGGUGCUUCGUGAAGGUGACGUUCCAUUUCGUCGGAGCCUCAUCCAUGGUGGUUUCUGCAUUUGGAGGAUGAUGAUGAUGAUGAUGAAGAAGAAGAAUUUCUAGGGAUUUCGGAGAGCUUCGAGUGAAGUGAUACCGCUUUCGAGAGCUGAAAUGUUAUGGCGGGAAACGAGGUGGGUGCAUUUAAUUAAGUAUUUUGAAAGCCGAUUGAAAAAAUAUAAAAUAGUUUAACUUAAAGAAUUAGACAAAUAAAAAGGCCAUUAGUAAAAUAGAUUUUUAGAAAUAAUUUUGAGAUAAAUACCGUUGGGUAAAAAAUAUAUUUGUAAAGCUCUUUAAAUGAGCAAUAUAAUUUUUUUAAAAUUUAAUUUGUUUAAAAUUAAAAAAUAAUAUAUGCAACUUUUUAAAUAUAAUUUUUUUAUUAUAAUACUAAAAAAAUCAAAUAUAUACAAUUAAAAAAAAACCAUAAUCAAUUCGGUGAAAGGCUAUAGUUGUCAAUAAGCUAGAUCUAGCACUGAUAACCGUCAAUGGUGGUCCUCACCAAAGGUCACCUGACUAGUGAGGGUGACCUCAAGCGACCUUGAUCAAUGACCAUGGCGCUAAAUCUAGCUCGCCGGCGGCCAUAACACUUUAUCAAAUUAGUGAAGAAUGCAUUUGGUUCCGUCUUUAAUCUUUAUUUUACAACAAAGAAUCUUAUCUCAGGUAAGUAAAAAUGCGACGUAAGUGAAAGUUUGGAUGAGUUUUCAACCAUAGGAACCAUCUAUACUUGGCGAAGUGAAAAUUAAACUUAUAUCAUGCAUUUAAUCAUAGACAGACUUUUCGAUCAGAAAAAGAAAAAAAAAAUCAUACACAAACUUUGUUUUUUGCCAAACCAGUAACUUACUGAAUGAGUUAACAGUCUCUCAUUCCAAUUCUAACUAAUAAACACGACCCAAAAAGGCUAGAAGGAAAUCGACCUCUUAUAUUUAAAAGAGAGGAAAAAACGAAUGUAAAGACAUUAAAUUUUGCCAUCCCGAUGACUACUUCACAUUAUGUUAAAGCUCCUUCACCUUUAACAAAGAUGAAAAGAAUGAAGAUAGAUCUUUUUUUUUUUUUUUUUGGUCAUCGAUCAAAAUUGUAAGCAAGAACAAUAACUUCUAAAACUAUGUUUUCCAUAUUUGAAUGGAUCUAACAUAUAAAUUGUGUCUAUUUGUUAUAUUUCAACUCAUAACAUACUACAUUAAAAUAGAUCUCACGUUGUUUCCAUUAAUGACGAAUCUCCCAUAGAAGGUUGCAGUGCAAAACUAAUAUUACAUCUCUUCUGACUACAGUGCCAUUUGUUGAUAUCGGCAAAAGGGAUCCCAAUUUUGAACCCAUUAAAAUAUUGACCAAAAAGCACUCAAAUCAAUGAAUUGAGAGUUAAUUAUACGAUAUCAACAACCUCAUAGCCGACAUGAACUUUUGGGAAAGAUUAGCCUGAUCUACCUAGAGUAAUUUUUAUCUAUUAAGCAAUGGCCUUCCUCGUGGCAUUGUUGGAUCACUAAGGCCGACUUUUGUCCUUACUUAGCAAUGGGUCUUGCAGUAGGGACAAUCUCCAUUUGACCCAAAGAAACCUUUGAGGCCUUCAUUACCUUUUAGGAUAGGAGGCGUACACCCAUAAAAACUCUGUCUAAACUAUCCCUUAGCUCGUAGGUCUUUAACACAUCAAUUCCCUUACGUAAGACUAUUCUAAUAAAACUUACUUGUAAGUCUUGACAAAGGUAUACGUAUACAAUAUCAUCACAUAGUUAAAUUGAUUUUCCUUAAAUCAUCAUCAUCAUUCUUUCAGCUAAGAAUGUCAAACUCUCCCUUUCUCUCUCUCUCUCAACCAUCCUCCUCUCCCGGAAAAUCCCGUCCUUUCCCGAGAAAAUGCCCGAGCUGGAGGACGACGGCCCCGCCCGCACCCACCGCGACAGCCCGACGGCUCCGCCGCCCGACGCGGCGGCGGCGGCGGCCCCCGGGGAGUCCAUCAUGGACCUCGACCUCGACGUCUACAGUCCCUGGCCAACGAUGGAUCAGCAGCUCCCCUUCGGCGCUUUCCUGUCCGCCUCCGACCAGCCCAGCUCCCCUCUCUGGGCCUUAUCCUGCGGGUUCGAGGACAAGCUCGCCGCCGCACCCGGCGGCGGGGUCCGCCUCUCCGAUUGCUCUCGGUUUGUCGCAUGUCAGUCUUGAGUUCGUUUGAAUUCGUUCGCUUUUGGUUUCGAGUCGGGUUUGUGCGGAUCGCAUUGAUUGAGCUGGAGUUGGGUCGUUGAAAAGCUCUGUUUUUUCGGCCCUCUGAGACUUGAGCAUUGACGGUUGACUAUUUCUCCACCCGCGUUUACUUGCUUGGUUUUCGUCUUCUCUGGUUUUGCGAUUUUUGGAAAGUCGAAAUUUUUCCUCGUAUGGAACUAAUCUGAAUUUGUUGCAUGUUAUUUUGACUGUUUUUUCCUCUUUGACUAAUCGAGAAAUUUGGUCUGAUGAUACGGUUCUGUUUUCUAGCGCUUCAAAAAGCUUGGGAAUCAAAGCAAGGAGUUUGAGUUAAUUGUUGGGAUUGCUCCUUCUUCCACCUCCCAUGUCACCUGAUUUCCAAUAUAUAUAUUGUGUGAGAAUUAUGAAUUCUGAGAGUCCUGAACUAUGAAGUUGCCUCUUGCUUGAAGUUUGAUUUGUUCCAACUGUCCGCAAUGGCCUGUGAAGCCGCGGCUACUGAGUUUUGACUGAGAAGUUGUUUCCAAAUAAAUAGAUCGUCACAAUUCAGAACCAAAGCCCCUGCUGAGGAUGGUGAUCAUAAAAAGCUGCCAUCGCCAUAUUUGGGGCUGANNNNNNNNNNNNNNNNNNNNNNNNNNNNNNNNNNNNNNNNNNNNNNNNNNNNNNNNNNNNNNNNNNNNNNNNNNNNNNNNNNNNNNNNNNNNNNNNNNNNNNNNNNNNNNNNNNNNNNNNNNNNNNNNNNNNNNNNNNNNNNNNNNNNNNNNNNNNNNNNNNNNNNNNNNNNNNNNNNNNNNNUCUUGCUUGAAGUUUGAUUUGUUCCAACUGUCCGCAAUGGCCUGUGAAGCCGCGGCUACUGAGUUUUGACUGAGAAGUUGUUUCCAAAUAAAUAGAUCGUCACAAUUCAGAAACCAAAGCCCCUGCUGAGGAUGGUGAUCAUAAAAAGCUGCCAUCGCCAUAUUUGGGGCUGACGGCAUUUAAAAAUCUUGAUGGAUAUUGUAUCAUCAAAGUACGGAUGACCCAGGCUCUUCGUUACUUCAAAGAAUCGACUGAGCAGCUUGUUCUGGCUCAGGUUUGGGCUCCAGUAAAGAAUGGUGGUCGGUACAUCCUCACGACUUCAGGGCAACCCUUUGUUCUUGGUGCAGAUACUAAUGGGCUUCACCAGCACAGAACGGUGUCUAUGAUGUAUUUGUUUUCUGCGGACGGGGGAAUGAUGGAGAACUGGGACUUCCUGGUCCUGUUUUCCGGCGAAAGCUGCCUGAAUGGACUUUUAAUGUACAAUACUACACCAGCAAAGAAUAUUCGAGGCUCGAUCAUGUUCUUCAUUAUAAUGUUCAGGGAACCUUGGCUUUGCCCGUCUUUGAACCAUCGGGCCAAUCUUGUGUGGGUGUUCUUGAACUCAUUAUGACUUCACAGAAGAUUAACUACGCACCGGCGGUUGAUAAUCUGCAAAGCACUUGAGGUUGGGUUUCUUUAAAAAUCAUGCUUUUCUUUAGAAAGUGUGCUUUUUCUUUCUUCUACAAAGCACUAGAAAUUUUUUAUCUAGAAAUAAAAGCAAAGAAUUGGCUCUUGGCUUCUGCAAGUUCAAGAAUUUGUGGAAAUCGUCCUAAGUUUUAUAAAUAUCCCAUGAAUAUGUGUCCUUUAAGCUUCGAAUCACACUGUCGAAAUAUCAUUUUGGCGAGUACGGAGUACCCCGCAAUUACAUCAAUUGCAGAGCACCUGAAUGAUAAGGCCGAGGGAAAUAUAAACAAUCUGGGAGAACGCCUAAAUUUUCCAUAUCGAUUAAUAGUGAUCUCCACGGUUUCUUCUCGGGUGGGCGUGGUCUCAGGCAAGGUCCCCUUACCUCUUUACACUAGUAAUGGAAGUGUCUUAUGGUAUCUUGAUAUCCCGAACUGCGAGUCAAAAUUUUAAGUAUUAUUGGAGAUGCAAGCCGGUUAAGCUAUCACAUUUGUUUUUUGCCGACGAUGUAUUUCUGUUUUGUCAAGCGGACUGGUCCUUAGUCGCUAUGUUGAAAAGAGGAUUAGAUAUCUUCUCCUUUUGGAGUGGCUUAUGCCCCAACAAAAAUAAAAGCGAGGUAUUUAUCUCUGGAGGGGACACGUCUAUCCGAAACAGAAUUCUCUGGGCGUUUGGCUUUCAGGAGGGAAAAUUACCAGUCCACUACUUAGGUGUUCCUAUUAUCUCCUCGAGACUGAGAAGGGCGGACUCUAUUGCUUUGACGGAUCGUAUUACCGCUAGGAUUCAGUCAUGGGCGCAUCGAUUUCUAUCAUUUGCAGGUAGAAUGCAGCUUAUAAAAUCGGUACUCCACUCCGUCCAAGCAUUUUGGGCAAGCGUCUUCACCCUUCCUACCUCCGUUUUGGCUGAUAUCGAACGCAUCAUGAGACAGUUCUUAUGGAAAGGAGCGAGUCUUGGUCGAGGCGAAGCAAAAGUGGCGUGGGAUGAUGUUUGUCGGCCGAAAUUUGAAGGAGGCCUUGGCUUUCGGAAUCUCAAAGAAUGUAAUAGAGCCUCUAUGGUUAAAUUCAUCUGGAUCCUUUUCUCGGAUAAGGAAUCCUUGUGGUGCCGGUGGGUUCAUUCAAUCUUCUUGAACAAGAGGAAUUUCUGGAUUUCUAACCAGCCUGUGAUUUGCUCGCGGACUUGGAAGAAAAUUCUCUAGCUUAGGAGUCAUCAUCUUUUAGGUGGUCGGUUGGCAACGGACUAACUGUUUCUUUAUGGCAUGAUUACUGGCUGCCUUGUGGCCCCCUUGAUGGCUUUAUACCUCGUUCAUUGAAGGAUGGAGUACACAUUCCCGACUAUGCGGUGGUCGCUGACCUCUUCAAACCUUUGGGCGAUACGUUAAAAAAUUUCUUGAUCAGAUGGGGAAACUCUCCCAUCCUUGUCGAUGGAGUGUGACAGGUUCAUUUGGUGCCGCGAUACCCCCGGAUCCUUCACGGUUGCAUCGGCGUGGGAGUCCAUCAGAGCUAGAAAACCGUGUGUUGAUUGGGUUUCUCUAGUCUGGGACAAUGCUAUAGCCCCUCAAUACCAGUUUCUUCUGUGGCUCGUAUCCAAAAAUCGUCUUCCCACUCAGGUGAUGCUUCUAUCCUAUGGUAGAAUUGAUUUUAACGUGUGUGCUUUUUGUAAUGAAGUUCCAGACUCCGUCGAUCAUCUAUUUUUCGGGUGCGGCAUCUCGGCUUUUCUGGCCUUCUUUUGGGCCGCCAAGUGUAAUCUCCCUUGGAGGAAUAGAUGCUGGAAAGAGGCGCUCCUCUGGGCCAAGAAAUUCUUAUCUGGGAUUGAUUUCUACCAUAGGAUUGCACGCUUCUCUUUUGGAGCUUUGUGUCAUCUUAUAUGGAAAAAGAGGAAUGCAAUCAUCUUUCGUGGUGAAUCUUUGGUGAUUCUGGCUCUCAAAAACCACCUUCUCAAGGUGGUUAGAGAUAGAGCCAUCACUUUCAGCAAGGUUCCUCCAUCUCCGAGAAAUAGAAGACUUCAAAGAGGCUGGGGUCUUGAUCCGACGAUCUUCUCUCCUUAAGCUGUCUUUGCUUUAUUUCGCCUUGUGGCUGUUUUUAGUGGCUUCUCCGUUUCUUUGCUUUGGCAUUAGGACUAAGGUUCGCCUUGGUUGUUCUGUGUUUGUCUGGUUUCAGGUUGUCUUCCUUGUACCCUUGUGGUUGUUCUUCUAGCUGGUAUUUGUUUUGCAUCGGAUCCCCUUCACUCUUACAUUGUUUGUGAGGGUGUACGUUUUGGAACCGAUCUUUUGUACAUUUGUCCUUGCUCUAUAUAUUUAUUACCAUUACCAAAAAAAAAAAAAAAAACAAUCUGGGAGAAAAUAUUGACAUUCUAUUGGCAGUUCAAGACUCUAGGCCAGGAGAUAAGGCAAAUUACCUCUACAAAAAGACUAAACAGGAAAAAAAAAAAUUAGAACACCAGGGAAUGGAUCAAAUUGAACUGCAUUCCAAGUACCUUCUACACCAGAUUCAAUGUAGUAAAGUAUGCUGCUGCUUCUGCAUAUUUAAUUUGUGAAGAGAACUGAAGCCGUUUCCACAUGCAUUGAGAUCCCUCAAAGAUUCAGGGUUUGCUUCACGAUUGCAAACUUCAACCAAAUGACCAGGGAAUUCCAUCAUCUCCCCUGGGCAUACUUCUUCAGCUUUGUUCAGGAACCUGCUAUCUAGAAGUUUCCGGCUCAUAUCAUACAAGAAAACCUGGUAAUCUAAGCCAUAUUUGUCCUGACAAAAAAUUUUGGCUAAUCCGCUGAGAAAGGUUUGCGUCAUGAAGAAGAAAACCAACAAUUAAAGGGAGGAAGAGAUGAAAUUAAAUUCAGCAACAAGAUAGCUGGUAUUAUCUAAGGGUAAAAAUGCGAAGGAGAUGUAGACUGUAGAGCUUGACCUGCCUAGUCUUAGAUCCACUGCUCGUACAACGCAAGAAGCCAUCUUGAUAUUUCUUCCAACUUUUGAGUUAAAGUAUGUUGUAUACAAGGCAUACCACUCUACAUCAAAAGGAAUAUUAUGGCUAACUGCCGUGCUGAGACAACAAUAACACUCCUCCAACAUGACUGCAUAGAGAAGAUGGAGACUGGUUUUCUGAGAGAUGUUUGGAUGUAUGCUAAAAAGCUCCGAUGAUUAUCAAGAUAAGCCAUGAAAAUAUACGAAACCGCUGUGAUUGCAAAGAUUUGAUACACAAAGCAUCAGAGUUGAGAGAAUCCUUAUUGACCUUGAAAAGACUAUAUAUGUUGUAUAAAGAUGUGCAGAAACUGUACCUCAAAGAAAAUCAAGAACGGAUUUACAAUCAGGAGAUACGUCAAGAGAAAGACACGGCAUGGCAUGGGCAUAGAUGAGCCAGCAGGAGUCCAAACUCACCUGCCGUACUUGAUGUCCUUGAGUUCGGACUCGCCUGCAAUAUGCCGUACUUGUUCAUUUUAUUCUUCUUGAAUUCUAGAAAUCAAAAGAAAAACAAAAAAAACAAAAGAAACACACGUGGUAAGUUUUUUAUCCAGCAUUUACUUGCAAUUAAGAGAGAGAUUAUGUAGGACUUUAUCGCCAACCUCUAAUAAUUAUCCGCGAUGGGCUUAGUCUGAUCGUCUGCUGUUUAUGCUUGUCCUCUUUGGUCUUCUCAUCUCUUUAAAAGGAAAACCAAGUGGAUUAUACGAUAAUACAGUUAGAUGAUGAGCACAACAUUGCAAAUGUACGAGUACGAGUUGUCAAAUUUCAAUCCAAUGGAAACACCAGCAUUAAGAGAGAGAAAUAUUUAAGAACAGACAAUACCAGCGCAAUCAGAUACUUUGACGAACUUGUUCCUGUGAAGCGAAGCUGUCCGCUUAGGAACUUUCUUUUCUCGGUUAUGAAUAUAAGUAUCAUCCGAAGGCUUCUGCCCUCCUUCAGGCUCUCCAACAUCAACCAAAUAAGCAUUGAACGUCAGCGUCUCGCCAGAGCAAACAACUUCAUCAUUCUUCAAGAUCCUGCAUUCCAACAGCUGCUCUCUGUCAUCAUACAGCAUGACCUGUCAAAUCAUCCCACCAUCAAUCACGGAACGACCGAAUCUACUCCGAACAAGCUCAAUCCUGGAGAGCAUAACGACAAGAACAGAACAAUGGGCGAUGACGGACAAAGUCGAAAUCCCAAGCAGCAUCCAGACGUCGCCAUCUAGUUCGAUCGAGCGAGCUAAAUUCGGGGAAAGAACGGUCACAUAUCGAUUGCCACCGGCACGGACUAGCAGAUCAAACCGAAUGACGUCCGAGCCCAAUCAAAGGUGACUAAAUUCGCCCGAUCGAGUUGAGCUGGACACGAAUGGCAGAGGAGAUCGGUAGCGAGAGAGAGAGAGAGAGAGGAAGCCGUCGCGGUAGACCUUGCGCUUCUGCUUGAGGUGCUUCGUGAAGGUGACUGUUCCAUUUCGUGGGACCCUCGUCCAUGGCGGUGGUUUCUGCAUUCGGGGGAGGAGGAAGAAGAAGCAGAAGAAGAAGUUUUCUAGGGAUUUCGAGAGCUGCAAAAGUAAGUAAAUUGCUGCGAGAGGGAUUCAGCUCUCGAGAGCUUAAAUGUAAUGGCGGGAAACGAGCAUAAGCGCGGCAAGACAGUCCCCGAGCAUUUUGAGGUUUUUCGGUUGAGUCAUUGAAUUCAUUAUUAUGUGCCAAGUAGGAAUUAUCGAUUGCUUUUUUUAUUUUUAUUUUGUUUUUCAUCUCUAGACAUUCGACGCAGGAUUUCUUCUUUCCCACGGUUCUCACGGGCAUAUUCGGUUUUUCUCUAAUUUUUGUUUUUUCAUCAAAGUAUGUUCCGUACAUAAGUCUUCGUUCCCGCGAUUUUAUUUUACUACGGCUGAGGCACGAAGAGAAUGGGUGAUUUGAAGCGUGUGGUUAGAAAGCGAGAUGAGGAUGGUUUGGUUGCGCCUCGACUAUUUGUCAAAAUGCCUGUCAAUAGAAUAUGGCUUUGAUUUCUAAAUUGAAUGUGGAGAGCGCGCAUAAUAAUCAUUAUGUUUAUCAUUUUUUCUAUUUUUCUAUUCUCGAAAAUAGAUUUGAAAUAAAAAUCUAUUCCGCAAUGCAAUUUCAUUUUUCUAUUUUUGGAAUAAAUUUUUAAUUUAGAAAUAGGUUUUGAAUAAAAAUGAGAAGUUAAAGAAAAAAAAAAGUUACUUUUCUACUUCUAGAACAAAAUUGAGAAAUAUUUUUUUUAUUACUUGGUUUCGCUACUAGUAAGUUGCUCACCUGUUAUCAGCUGCCAUCUAUCCAACGCCAUCCGCUAGCUCGCAUCUCAUCGUCACUCGAGAAAUAGAAUUUUUGUGUCAUUAUCAAAUGAAUUUCUAUUCCGAUAAUAGAAAUUUUAUAUAGUUAUUAUUUUGGGCUAUAAAUUGAUCUCUUGAAAAUAAUGGUUAUCGGGCCCGUUUGGUUCGGCUUUUGGAGAAUACCAUUAGGAGAAUGCAAAUAUCUUUGAGGGAAAGGGGCUUUCGGAAAUGUUAGACCGUUCGGUAAAUUUUAGCAUUGAAAUGCAACUUAGCAUAAACACUGUUUGGCAAAAUUUACAUUUGUAAUUAGCUUUGGUUAUUUUUUUAUUUUUUUAAAAUUUUGAAAUCGAAUUCUGGCAGCCAGCCACUGCCGGCCAACCGCCGGCCACCGCCGGACGGCCAGAUCUGGCCGUCGAAGGUCGCGGAUGCCAGAUCUGGCCUCGCCUGGUUGCUUGGCUCGCGCGAGACCAGGAGGUCGCCCGACCUCAGGCCACCUCGGCUGAGGUUGUGUGACCUCAGGCGAGGCUUCUCGGCGGCCAGAUCGCGGCUGAGUGCCGCCUUUGGCAAAGAAGAAGACGAACGGCGAAGAAGAAGGCGAACGGUGGAGGAGACAAUGAACAGUGACACGAUGAACAGUAAAAUUGCAUCUCCAGAAUGCCCAAUGCUCAAAGCUAGUCCCCCCCCAGCAUUCAGCUUUCAGCAUUUAAAAUGCCCACAUUUCGCAAAUGGGCAUUCAAAAGCCUUUACCAAACACCCAAAAUUUCCCCCAAGGGGCUUUGGGUCCCCAAAGCCCCUUGAGAAUGCCCAACCAAACACCCCCGAUCAUUCGUGAAGUAUUUGACAUGUUGCUACCACAACAUGGAGCUUUGACUUCAUGAUUAUGUGGAUGAGUAUAAAUGGUUUGGGAAAAAGUCGAAUCAUUUUCAACUUGACCCAAACCCAAUUCGACCCACUCAUCUAACAAACCUAUUUUAUUUGUAACUCCUUUAUGUGAAAAUAUAUUUUUGUUAUUCAUUACAAAUAUUUAUGAAUCAUAUAAAAUAGAGUUAAUACUACAGAAAACUCCAAAUUGGUAUACUGAUAACAAAUUUACCACAAACUAAUUUAUUGACCACAAAAAGCCCUAAACCGGUAUAUAUGUGACAAACUUUCUUUUAAUUAGUUUCCGAUAAAUUUUAUAGUCUAAUUGCUGAAUUGAAUGACAAGAGUACCAAUUUGAGGUUUUUUUAUUGUAAAAAAAUUAUUUUGGAAUAAAUUUAUUACAAUUAUAUCAGAUUGAAUUUUUCGUGAUUUUGACUCUAUAAAAUAUCGAUAACAACACUACGUACGCUUCGUUCAAAACAAAACAAAAAACUACGUACGCUAAUUCAUUUAUUCAAGUUGUUCUUUAUAUUAUAAUCAUUAUCAUCUAAUAAUAUGUUAAUAUUUAGUUUGCCCUAUGCUUAAGUACAUAGUUCAUCACUUUUGUCAUAAAUUGAUCAUGUACCUUUUUUUUUUAUCAAUCAUAUUCUACUCUUACUCUAACUUUCAUUCUCAAACUUUUGCCCUGCCUCCUUACAAAACAUGGUAGUCGAACCCACACUUGAAAUUAAAUAAUCCCUACUCCUAAGAAAAUGGAGAUUCAAAUCCCUCACCACCUCUUUCUAUAAUGGAAGGGUGGUCACUAGGGAAUUUAUCAUGUACUUCACCUGUUACAUCUAGUCAUUUACGUCAUGGGUAUGGGACAUGAAUACUGCUCCAUCGUUUUCCACGCCCUCAUUAAUUCAAACCUUUCCUCCACAAGAAGAUUAGCAAGGAGGAUCUUGGAGGUUUCCUAGAUAAACAACAAAUUACUGAGUAAUUAGCAUUUUUGAGGAUGUCUUAACAAUCAAUAAAUAAAUGUGUUGGCAUUUUAUUUUGUAAGAAAUUCCAUCUUUAACUUUUUCUCAUGCAAUGGAGAAGAAGAAGACGAAGGGCACUAGACCCGUACUAGGAAGAACUCUAUGGUAUGCAGUUUCAUUCGAUGUUUACUUGAGCCAUGGUUCGGUAAUAAAUUAUAGAUAUUUCUCUUUUUAAAAUUUUAAUAUUUUGAUUGGGCUAAAAUAUCUUUUCAUUCAGGCUCAACUACAUGAAAUAAUGACCUGGUCCUCCUUAAUUUGAGCUAGCUCAUGAAUAGGGCAAUUUGACCUAAAGGGACUUGGUGCUUCGAACUUAGGAUAGCAAGAAGAAGAAUGAUCACAUCGAUGAGGAGGUUGAAAAAAAGGCAAGAAAGAAAACGUCGAUGAUAGCGAGAACGCGUAACUUGAGGAGUUAAGGAGAAGAAAAUCUCUCAAACACAAAAAUAAUCUAAAUAUGAUUUUGAUUUGUCAUUUUUCACCUGACAACCUAAACAUUGCAAGUCGAGUUUUUCUGACGGACAUUUAUAUAGUAUAAGAAUGUGCCAUACAUUAUUAAUCAUCAGUGAUUACAUGACAUUAAUUGAUAGGAAAAGUUAACUAUUUAACAAAAGUCAAUAAGUGACAUUUGAAUGGUAUUUUAAAUUUCAGUGGUAUAGAGUGCUUAAAUGGAAAAAAUUGGUCCAUUUGAAAGAAUAUAGUAUACUGUUUAGAUGUGAUGGGCGGUACCAGCAAUGCUACAAGGAAAAUUUCUUGCUGCACUUGCUCCCCUUCUACACUCUCUGAUGCACCCAUUAUUUAACAAUUCUUUCUUCUUUCCUACAAAUACCCUCAUCUUAAAUAAAAAUUUAGCUACAUAAAAAGACAUUUAAAUCAGGAUAAAUUAUGCUAUGUUCAUUUCUCUCAAUAGCAUCCAAACGAUAUUAUAACUUAAUGUAUCUAUUUUCUUUGCCUUAUUUUCUUCCAAAUUAUUUAUAUAAUCUCUAUUCCUUUCUAAUUAAUCACCUCUAUCAAUAUAUAGCAUAAUCUAUCUAGUCUUGUUUCCAUUCAGCAGAAGAACAUGACAUCUUAUUGGGGAGAACUCUCUAAUAAUGAAGUUUUGUUAGUCAAAGCUUCUAAGGAGUCCUCAUCAAAUUCGGCAUGAUUUAAUCGUUAUUUCUUGUGAAACCUCAUCUUUUAUAGGAUGUUAUAUUGAAUUUGCUAAUGAAUUCGUGGGAUGACCGAGAGAUGCAAAGGCAUCAAACUUACCUAUUGAUGGGAUAAUUAAUGGUUUGCAACUCAUGUCCAUGCUUAAUCAUUUUUUAUGUUUUAGUAUUGCAAGCUCUCUCUAAAUAACGAUCGAGUAAUUUUUGAUGUUAUAUUUUAGCGAUGUUAUGGACCUUAUAAAGCCAGUCCCCCCUUCUAUUAUGGAACUAAUGUUGACUUCUUGUAAGUUUAAGUAUUGCCACGUAUCUUGUGAAGAACUGUUUGGUGCUCUUGAAAGAAAUAUUAUUUAAAGUAUAAAUCAAUAGAUGAUUGUGUCUGGCUACAGGAUUUUGGUCCCUUUGAAGAAAACUCAAAGAGCUAGAAAAAUAAGUUCAAGUGUUCAGCUGCACCGUGAGCUGAAAGUAUGUGAGAUUUGCUCGGCUUAGACAAUUCCAAUAAUUAAUGCAGUCGACUAUAAUGUUUUUUUCUUCUCAAGGAAAAUUAAGGCCGAUAUAUAAUUGAUUUCUUAAUCGGUCAAGGACCGACUAAACCACUAAUAUCAAAAGCUGUAUAAUUCAGAUUGAGCCUGAGUGACAAAAUGAAGGACGGUUCUAUAAAAGAGUGCAGGGAUUAAAUAUUUUACUUUUAAUUUAAUCUUUCAACAACGUGGACUAGUAAGUUAUGUUAAUAAAUAAAUAAAUAAAUAAAUAAAUAAAGUAUGGCUCCAAUCUAGCUCAUGCACCUUUCUAGCGAAUUGAUGUUUUAUGGCUCCAAAUUGGUUUGUCGGAGUCAUUUGGAUUAUGUGUCGGCUGAAAGGAUCAGUUAGCUUAAAUCAGAGAGCACAAAUACCACUUUGGCCAAAAUUCAAUUUCGAGGACCAAAUUGAACAUUAACUAAAAUUUUGGGGACCAACUUUUAUUUUCCCUCUCAUCCUUGGGGGCUCCAAAGGCGGAACCUCUGUUAUUCUGCUCGCCGUAGAGGGAGCUCGUGACUCACUCGAUGAAGAUGCACAAUUCUCGUAGGCUGCGGGGGGACAAUUGGAGGGCAUGCGAGAGGAGGCGACGGUGAAUCCAACGUGUCUCGGAGGACGCUGAUGCGAGACAAGUAGAAAUGAGCGUCACUGCUCGUGGCGUUGGAGACAUCGUCGUCAAAGUCAUUGCGGAACCGAAGAAGAGGGAAAGAUCCGAGCAUUUUCAAGUGGUGGCCAGGUGCUUUGACAAAAUGGCCACGUGGGGAUUUGAAACGGUGUUCAGGCGCAUGAAAUGGAAGCGACCGGUUGCUCUCGUUUUCGUGGUUUAGUUUUUGCAUCGUGAUGAACGAUGGCGAAGGAUAAAAAUGCGACCAGCGAAAAAGAAGAAAACGGCGAUUAAGAAAAAGACCAAUUGGCGUCUCCACUAGACAUUAAUCGAAGGGACGAGCGAUGCGGAGAAAAACGACGAAGCAACGUGGAGGCACCUCCUCGGUUUCUUCUCAUAAUUUCUUCGGCUUUUGUGCUUUUCUUUAUAAUUUUUCGUGCGGUUAUCCAUCGAAGGGAUCCAAAAAGACAAAAGAAGAAAACAAGAAACCAAAAGGGACAAAGCAAUUGGUGGUCAGAAACGCGAAGCCAUGAAGCAACCUCUCUCGUUUUCCGCCAUUCUUUGUAGUAUUCCUGUAAUCCAUUCUCCGCUCCAACUUCUCAUUUCUUCUUUUGUCUUGACAGUUUCUGUUUACUAUUGACUACCCUCUCAUGUUCGUUGGUCUUUUUGGACAUUUUCUUUUCUUACAGUUGUCCGGGCGAAAGUGUUUGCUGCAGAAGAAGUCUGAAUCUUGAAGCAAAGAGGUUUUCCUUUUUCAAAAAAUUUUAGUCAUUUUGCUUGAUGAGUCGCCAUUAAUUUUUCAGCAUGCUAGAACUGCAAUAACGAAUAUUAACAAAAUAUAUGAUGCUAAGUGAUUGCUAUUAGUAUUAGCCCAUGGGAAACGAAUGUUUUGAUGGCACAUAAAACAAAAUGGUAUCAUUACCUGUAUGUCAUUGUCCAUUAAUAGUUAGCGGUAGAGAGUGAUGAUGAUGGUAAUGGUGAGGAUGAAGAUGAUGAUCUCAUUGACCCCAUCCCAGUAUUAUUGUUGAACAAUAAUCAUUCUCCAUUAUAGUUUCCGGUUACUCCUAGAAACAAGUUCUGGCUCAGUCAUAAGAUUGGUAGCUGAUCAUAAGUAGAGAUCUACUUCAGUGGACAGCUCGCUGACUAAUACUUGAUUUUUGCUUUAUCCAUUCUGCUUUUUAGUUUGAAUUUGUUCAGAUGAACGACAAAGUCGCCAUUAAGCUUGUGAGUGGCUCUUCUCCCUGUUAAAUUGAUUGUUGUGUUUUUCUAGCUUUUGCUUAAUUUAGUUAAAUUUUAGUAUUGCUGUGUCAAUGGAUCGGUGUUUUGUUGAUUUAGAAUUUUGAUGUUUUAUCUUUAGGUUCUCUCAGGCGACAUGGAUUGUGCUUUGUUCCGUUUCUUUCUUGGGUUGUGCGACUGGCAUAGAUAUUGAUAGUUUCACUUGCUUCCAGCAAGCCACGGUGGUAACUUCUUUAUUUCAAAAACACUUGCGAGUAUGUGUUUAAUGCUGUGAUGUGUGAAUUGAUGUCGUGCUUCUGCUAUGAUACGAUUGUAUGCCCAAGUAAAUGCCCCUUCAUCCCUUGUUGAGUACUUUAAUUCUCAAACUAAUAAUGGAUCUAAUAGAAGUGCAAACCUUCUUUUUGUUUCUAUUAGUACAUUUUUUUAGCUUAUGAAAAGCAUGCGUUUUUUAUUAAUAGGAUAACAUAACACACAUAAAACACACAUUCAGAUAAAGUAAUUCGGUUUUCUUCUUAUUUUGUAUCCUUUUUUUUUCAUGUUAUUAUAUGUGCAAGAACAUCGGGUUUAUACAAAACUGACCUGAUAUAGCUAAGUAAUUACGAUUUCUUUUCAAUCAUUAGAGAUUUUAUUAUUGAAUGUAGAUAUUUGUGAUCAAAAUUUUUACAUGCUUAUUAGAUGGGCAUAAUAUAAUAUGUGCAGUUUGCUCAAUUAAAACAUAUUUGAGGCAAACUUAUGAUGACAAAUUUUUGUUCCAAUUUUUUUGCCCAUACUUUUAAGACAAUCUCAUUAUGAGCAAGCUUUUGACAAAUUUUUCCUUAAUAACAACAUAUUUAAGGAGCCAGAACCCGAAGACUUCUUUUCCUUCUGGUUUGCAGGUUGAAGGUGCGAUUUUCUUUUAUAAUAAAAAUUGGAGCUUGUGCUUGUAGCUCCAAGAGUUGGCAAGCUUCGAGACCCAAUAAGCCUCAAUUCUCGUGUGGGGUGAUUUUCUUGCGCACCCGUGGAUGUGGAAUAUGCAUUGUCAGUGCAAUAUGCAACUUUUUAAGUGCUUAUUCCUCCUCUCUUCUUAGCAACUCGCAGGCUUAUCAGUUCAGAGCUUGUUAACGCAUGAAAAUUGAAUUUUCAAUUUUCAAGUCAUUCCCCACUGUAAGUUCCACUGAUCAUAGUCAAGUAGUCAAUGCCAAUGACCAAGUCUGUUGUUUUGUCGAUGGGCAGACAAUAGGGAAGCUGCUUAUUGACGAGGCCAAAUUCUUGUGGGUUGUGGAGGGCAAGGUCGAGGACCUGCAAAAGGAGCUGAAGCUGAUCCGGUGCUUGCUGAGGGAUGCAGACACUAGACAAGGGCACGACCAAGCUGUUGGAGAAUGUCGCACAACGCCGUGACAUUGCUUAUGAUGCCAAGGACGUCAUAGAGCAAUACAUCCUCAGAGUCGUGUUGAAGAAGGGACAAAACAUCAUCAAAGCAUAUGCUUGCUUCGUGUCGAAGUGCACGUGCCUGCAGGUUCAUGUGGCGAGGACAGAAAUUGAGGCACACUUUAUGAUGCAAAGAAACUGAGAUAUGGUCUAUCCGGUUUCUUUGUCCACUGUUCUUCCUAGUUCCCGUCCAAGAACUUGUAUUACUAGCUGUCCUUUCUCGACUUCCGCGUGCCAAGCAAGGCCUUGAGGAGACGUUUGUUUUUGCUGGAAGAUAGCUCGGUAUCGGUUCUUUGAUUCCACAACCUGAAUAGACAUUGAAGUGGAUCUUCGGGGUUCUGAUGGGGUAUUGGAUGUUCAUUUGGGCAUAUAAGAGAAUUGGUCAUAAAAGAUCAUGUCCUCAAGACAUGUCUAACCAAAAAAAAAAACAAAAGGCUUAAUAGCUAAUCUGCACCGAAAUUCAUUGAUGCUUACUCGUCUUUUGACAUUAGAAGGGUUUGGAGAAGUAGAUCUAUGGACAAGCGAACCCUAACGUAUGAAUUGAAAUCAAAAUGGGGAGGCGUGCUUUUCUGGUUAGAAAAAAGUGUGGCUUCCAUUAGGAGCUUGUCUACGUACAUGACAUAUGAUACAAUAAGAGAGAAUGAAAACAUGAUGUAAAUGUUAUGUAUGGCAAUUUGGAGCAUUUAAGUCGAUUGCACUGCUAAUGUCCACGUCAUUGAGUUUUGGUCAAGGUUGAUUGGAUGGAUCUCAAUUAGCAAAAAACAAAAAUAUUUAGGACUCAAUCGGUAAAAGUAAAAAAAUUAUGACUGAAUUGGUAAAAACAUAAUUUGUUUAAGAUCUUUUGAAUAGUUUUUCUAAAAAUAAACCCAUGAGAACCGAAUCUUUUGAUGGCAAAUAAAGUAAAUGCUGAAAUGACGGCCACAUAAAAGGAAUCUGCCCAUGAGACUUUUGACGACACAUAAAGUAAGAAUAUGAUGCCGAAUUAUCACUAGCAGCCGAUGUGCAAUUAUUUAAGAAUAUUUGUCAGUAGCCGGUGCGCCAUUACUUUAAGAAUAUGAUGCCGAGUUAUUGCUAGCAGUCUUUGUGCCAUUACUUAGAUGCCAUUACCUUUAUCUAGUUACCUCUAGAAAGUGAUGAUAAUAACGGUGAUGAAGAUAAUGAGCUCAAUGACCUAAACCCAUUGUUAUUGUUAAACGAUAAUGAUGCCCAAUUAUUGUAAUGACCAGCACACACUCUCUCUCCUUAUCAGUGGCUGCGGUUUGAUUACGAUGAAGUCUCUCCUAUAGUCUUUGGAUAAGAGCGUGCAUAGCUAGGGCUCCUCCCCUUUGAAAUUUGCUCUCCGAUGGAGCUGCGCAUCGGCAAUAAGUUCCAGCUCGGUUAUAAUAUUGUUCGCUUAAAGGGGUAUAGAUAAGGUUAGCUCUUCCUAUGGUCCAUAGUUGUUACCUUCCAAGAUCCUCGGGCGGAGAUUUUAUUGUAUUUAAAGAGAAUAUUAGAGAUAUAAAGAUUGGUUUAUAAAGAGAUGCAUCAUAUACUCUUGUUGGUGGCAUGCAGUGAAGGGGAGUACUGCGCAUGCCUAUCAAGAAGGCUAAUCACGAUCAUCCAAUUCUUUCCCACUAGGAACUUGAAAUUACCCACGUGGCUGCAUUUACUCUCACUGUACUGCAGUUCGCCAAUUUUAUUGCGUCUCUGCUAUGGAAUGCCAGAAUCCAGAAACCAAGGAACUUCCUUCUGGUUGCUGCUGAGUGCAAUGCCUGAAUCCUGCUGUUUCCAGGAAAUCCGGCCUUUACGUUUGUCACCCUGGUUUGUUAAAAAAAAAAAAUGCGACAACCUCUCAUUAAUCUUUUGUAUGUGAAUACACAAAUACAAAUUACACAUCAUAUAUAAUUAUAAAGUUGUAUAUGGCAUGUUGCAAUCGUGUUCAAGGAUUCAAAAUCACUUGUUGAUGGAGCUUUUAAUGGGCAUUAAAUAUAUGUGGUUCUCUUUCAUCUAGUUAAUUACUGAAUUUUUGGAUUAUGAUUUCUCAUAUGAUAUCGUAGAAAACUACUACAAUUUUAUUGCAGAGUUAAAACAUUUAACUAUUAAUGCACCACAAAAUUGCUGUAACACUUUCUAAUCAUGCAUAUAUGGAGUUUCCAAAUUAUACGUGCAGUUCCAUCAUCGUAACUUAUCCUUAACUUUGUGGAGUUGAAUUUAAUUACAUGAACAAGUUUGAUCAGUUUGUGUGUGCAUAUAUAUUAAAUGGUACAAGCCAUGAUAUAUCUUACAGUAGAUAUGAUUUGCGAAGGUAUGUAUUCCAACUACAAAGAACAAAAAUGUUGCUAUCAGUAUUAGCCCAUUUGAAACUGAUCUUUCGACGACACAUUAAGCAAAAAUACGAUGCUAAGUUGAUGACACGUAAAGCGAUUCACCUUGAUAAACUCAUCUUUUGACAACGCAAAGCAAAGACGUGAUGCCGAGUUAGUGCCAUUAACCCAUGCGAAACCAAUAUUCUUUCGACGGGGCAUAAAGCAAGAAUAUGAUGCUGAAUUAUUGAUCUUUGCCUGUGUGUAACCAAAUCUUUUGACGGUACAUAAAGCAAAAAUGCGAUGCUGAAUUAUUACCAUUAACCCAUGUGCCAUUACUUAUAUGUGUGUGCCAUCGCCUUUAUCCAGUUAGUAGUUGCGAUAGUGUGUUUGAUAGCUAAAUAAUUUCGAAUUCUUUUUCAAUUAUAGGAUGUAUUGAGACUUAGCUAUUUGUAAUCAAAAUUUUUACAUGCAUAUUAGAUGGGCGUAAUUUAAUAAUUGAAUUUUGCUCAAUUACAACAUAAUUGAGGCAAACUCAUGAUGACAAACUUAUAUUCUGAUUUUUUUCCCAACUUGCAAGACAAUCUCAUGAUGAGCAAGCUUUUGACAAAUUUCACUUUAACUACAACAUAUUUAACUGGGAUCACUGCUAACGAAGCCCAUAAUCAAAUGGGUUCACAAAUAGACCCACUAUAUUGAUAGUAUGCUUUCUCCAUAAAUUCCAUACUUAACACACUCUAGUCCCACGCUAAUUUAAGCAUCGGAGGAUUCUUAAUGGGCCAUAACCUGGGAACUUCUUUUCUUGGUGGUGUGCAGGUUCACGGCACAAUUUACCGGAAAAAAAAGAAGUCGAAGCUUAUGCUUGUUGCAACUCCAAGAAAAAGAAUAAACAUAAUUAUCAGCUUAGUACACUUCGACGAAACGUUGCCAAGCCUGGAGACCUAAUUAAGCUCAAGUCAUUCGUGGGGAUUUUGUUGCAUACGUGGAUGUAGAAUUUGUACUAUCAAUGCGAUGCGCAACUUUCUAAGUACUUACUCUUCUUUUUUCUUUGCGACUCGCAGGCCUAUAUGUGCAGGGCUUGUUAACGCAUAGAAAGUGAAUUCUCAAGUCAUUCUCUAUCAUAAGCUCCACUGAUCAUAAUCAAGUAGUGCAAUACCAAUGGCCGAGUCUGUUGUUUCGUCCGUGGGGCAGACAAUAGGAAAGCUGCUCAUCGAGGAGGCCAGAUUCUUGAGGGGCGUGGAGGGCAAGAUCGAGGACUUGCAAAGGGAGCUGAGACUGAUCCGGUGCUUGCUGAGGGAUGCGGAUGCGAGACGAGAGCACAACGAAGCUGUUGGAGAAUGUGUUGCACAACUCCGAGACUUUGCCUAUGAUGCCGAGGACAUCAUCGAGAGAUACACCCUCAGAGUCGCUCUGAAGAAGGAACAAUACAUCACCAGAGCGUGUGCUUGCUUCAUGGCGAAGUGCACGUGCCUGCAGAUUCAUGUGGUGGGGACAGAGAUUGAGGGCUUGAAAUCUAGCAUCUACAACCUUAGAACGAGCAUGCUGGCUUUUGGCGCACAACCUGGGAAUGAGGGCGACCGCAAACGGGCAACGGAUUUGCUGCCGAAACCUACUUAUUGCCAUUUCGAGGAGGAUUUUGUUGGGAGGGAAGAUAGUAUUAAGGAGUUGGUGAAAGAGCUGUUAAAGGAUGGAAAAUAGCACAGAGUUAUUUCUAUAUGGGGAAUGGGUGGUUUGGGUAAAACCUCACUCGCUCGGAAAGUCCUCGCUCAAGAUGAAGUGAAGAACCAUUUCAAUGGUUCAGCUUGGGCUUGUGUAUCUCAAGAAUACGACGUGAAAGAAAUUUUGGUGGGAAUUCUCGUUAAAUUGAUCUCUGGCCAAAAUGACAGUAUUAAGAAGAUGAUAACUCAGGAAUUGUUUGAAAAACUACACAAGACCCUACAAGAAAAGCGAUGUAUCGUGGUUCUUGAUGAUAUUUGGACCAAAGGGGCAUGGGAUAGUCUUCGAGAUGCAUUCCCAGUCGAAAACACAAGAAGCAAGCUAUUGAUUACGACCCGCAAUAGAGAUGUAGCUAAGUAUAUCAAUCCUCAAGGGAUCCAUGAACUUCAAUGCUUAUCGGAUCGAGAGAGCUGGGAUCUACUAAAGAAGAGGGCGUUUCCCGAAACAAAAGGUAAGACUUCUUUAAUGUUAUAAUAUUACAAUAUAGUAGCUUCAAGAGAUUAUAUCGCCUAUUUGAUUCUGAUUUAUGGUAGUUUGGUUAUCAUUGUAGGAUUAGUUGUUGAAAUUUCUACUGAUGGACCUGGAGUUGGUCAAGGUACUGUUGCGGGCCAAGCUAUGGAAGGUAUCGCAAAACUGUCAAAGACGGAGGGACAACCAGGUACUUCAUUGCUCAACUUGCCAUUUUGGAAGCUUAAGCAAUUUAUGAAGAGAUAGUUGCAUCAGAAUUCAAAUGACCGAAAUAUCGAGUAUUAAGCACCAUAAUUUCAAUAUUUUGGGAAUCAUAUGCCUCUUUUGUUUCUUAAUAGCUAACAAUUAUACCACUAAACCAACACCCAAAAUUAUGUUCCUUCUUUCCUCUGAUGAGGUUAAAUGUCGAAGCGGCUUUAAGAAGGCCAACAUAAUAAGCAAUUUUGAUAGGAUUUAUGAAAUAAUGUGAAGCCUAGCUAUGUUACUUCUUCCAUGGGCUUCAUCUCAUGUCCUCAUUUUUUGCAUAUAUGAAUAGUUGGCUUAACAACAAAAGUAGGGAUCGAUAAGGAAAAUCAUGAACCAUUAUGCGGCAAAUGAAGAUUUCAUUAGAAUUUAUGCUAGAGGUUAGUAGCACAUUCAAGUUACGAGAGAUCACACUCGAAUUGUCCCUGUGUUGCUUUCAUUUUUCUUCCUCAGGUAGGAUUAUUGUUGUUAUACAUUUACUUGAGUCACUUAAUUCAAGUCACAUAUGACAAGGAUGAUACAUUCCAUUUGUUAAUUUAGACUUCUUGAUCUUUGAGGCGUAGAUGGAGGCAUAUAAAAGAGCUUUGUUGUGGUCCCUAUUUUCCCCUUACAAAAGCAUAAAUGAACCACAAAUUAUAAAGAACUAUAGCAUCUUACUUAUACAUCUAAAACCAUAUAAUCGUCCUUGAAGUAAUCUUCUUAUUACAUUUGCAUCUUCCUAUGAUUGUUGAGUUGCAAUUUGUUGCCUGAUAUUGUGUAGUAAUCACUCAAGACAUGAAGAGAUUAGGAGAUGAACUCCUUAAGAAGUGUGAAGGAUUACCCUUGGCUAUCACCGUGCUUGGUGGACUUCUAGCAGUCAAUGAAUGGGAGAUAGUUUACAAAAAGAUCAAUUUGCAUUUUGAUGAUAAGAGUGAUGUACCAAAAGUAUUGGCCUUAAGCUAUGACAAUCUACCAUGCCAUUUAAAGCCAUGCUUCCUAUAUAUGGGCAGCUUUCUGGAGAAUGCCGAAAUCCCUAUAUCGAGGGUUCUUCCCAUGUGGAUUGCUGAAGGCUUUGUGUCGCUAAAUGAAUAUGAUGAAGAGAGAGAAAUACCAGUGGAAGAUGUAGCAGAGCAAUAUUUAGUAGAGUUGGUUAAUAGGGGAAUGGUUCAAGUACGAUUCAACUUGAGUAGAAAGAUCAAAACCUGCCACCUCCAUGAUUUGAUGCGAGACUUAUGCCUCUCCAAGGCUAGGCAGGAGAGGUUUCUUAGCAUUCUUAAUAUCCAGCAAAACCAUGAAAUGAAGGAUUGUUCUUCUUCGAUGGCAAUAAAAGUGAAGUCAACUUGCAAAACACGAAGGCUUUGUCUCAAUAUGAAUGUUGAAGGAAACAUGAUUCCAAGUGUAAAACAAAUAGGAAGGACUAUGCUCCACCUUCGAACUUUCAAGUUCUUCGGAUUUGCUAAAGGGAAGUGGAAGCAAUUUCAACCUAUUUUCAUCAACUGUAAGUUUCUCAGAGUUUUGAAACUCGAGUGUCUUUAUAAUAUGAGAGGAAAUUUACCUAAAUCAGUGGGAGACCUAGUUCAUUUGAGAUUCAUGAGUUUAGCAAACAGUAGUUUCAAGGGCUUGCCACAAUCCUUGGGAAACCUUAUAUAUAUGGAAUUCUUGGACAUGGACAUUCGUAUGGUUCCAUAUAAAAAGGUAACCAUGCCAAAUGUGUUGUGGAAGAUGACAAGGUUGAGGUAUCUCCAUCUUCCUCUCCAAUUUGCCGUCAAGAAGAGAUUUUGUGGGGAUCGGAGGAAGUUGCAGUUGGACACUUUAAAUAGCCUACGGAUAUUGAAAAACUUUUUUUUGAAGAUGUGUGAUGUGAACGAUUUAAGCAAAUUGACUAAUCUGCAAAAACUAAUUAUCAUCGGCGAGCAAGGCUCUAAUGACUUGAAGACAAUUCCACAACUUGCUAAAUUCAAUUUGAAACAUUUGCAAUCCUCGUCUUUCAUAUUCACAAGCUCUUCAUUCACUGAAGCCGAAUUGAGUAUGACAUCAAGCUGUUGUCAUUACUGUAAACUAUUUCUAAGUGGAAAAAUAGAGAAGUUUCCAGAACAUAAGAAUCUACCCCAACAAUUGAGUAAGCUAGUCUUACUAUGGUCUGGACUCGAAGAAGAUCCGAUAUCAUUAUUGGAGAAAUUGGAUCACUUGGUUAUCCUCAUGCUGGGUAUAAUGCUUUCUUGGGAAAAGAAAUGGUUUGCUCUGCAGGAGGGUUUCCUCAACUCAAGCAUUUAGAACUUCUUGCGCUAGAUAAUUUGGAGGAGUGGAGGGUCGCCGAAGGAGCCAUGCCUCAUCUUUCCCGAUUAGGGAUCGGCAACUGUCUCAAUUUGAGAACUUUACCUCGAGUGGUCCGCCCGUAUGACGGAUCUGGUGACUUUUAUGACCAGCUUACAAAGGUCGGGUGGUUCGGGUGACCUUUAUGAUCAGCUUACGAAGAUCGGGUGGCUAUAGGGGGGAAAAAAGGAAGAUUGGGUGGUGAGAGAGACAACGAUGCGGGUGGUCGGGGGUGGCCCCAGCUUUCCAAGAGAGAGAAAAAGGGAGCAUUGGCUUGUGUGUUGUCGGGGGGUGGGCCCCCAGAUUAUAGCAGAUGCGGAAAAUGAAAAGCACAAAAUCAGCUUUUCACUAUAUUUUAGCUCAAAUUGGUUGUGGUUGUAUCACAAUCCUUUAUAGAAUUUCUCGAGUAUAUAUCUUAUCAAAUAUAUUACAUGAAAGUAUACAUUGUACAUUAGAUGCAUAAAUUGAAUGGAAUGAGUCUCUUCUUUCCCCAAAAAAGAAAAAUAAUUAAGAGUAUUGCUAAUAAUGUUAAAAUUGGAAUAAAUGUUUUAAAAUCUCAUUGUAUAUAAUACCCGAAAAUGUUUCAUUAUAUUAUCCUUUUUAUACAUGCAAUAGAAUUGACUGUGUAGGAUAGUUAUGAAAUUUAGAAAAAUAUUUCAUGCUGUCUAACUAUAUCUCUCAUAUGUGACACGCUAGAAUCUAUUAUCAUAACCAGAAGAUUAGAAUGUGUGAAAAGAAUGAUAUAUAAUUAUAGUAAUUAAAAAAUAUUUAAAAAAAAUUAAAGAUAAAUAGGAAGCAUGGACAGAGCACCAAUUGCUUCACGCCACGGUAUUUGACAUGACCAACCCAUCUUCACCAUUCAUCAAUCGGACAUUAGUUAAUCCUAGCUACCAAUUUUUGCUUACGCAAAUUGAUCAUGCAUGAUUUCAACGAUUCUCUCUUCUUAGUCAAGCACUUUAGCACUUACAAGUGGAGUGCCGCCCUUCUGAUUUUGUAGCCGUAAUAAUUUUUCGUAAUAUGGCCAAUCGAUAAUUAAUUUAAGUAACAUACUUUUAUUUUCUAUGAGAGAUAUUGGAGCCACUAUAGCAAUCCUGUAAAUGUAGUUUCCCCAUUUGUGCCAUGAUCGAUCAUCAAUUUUGUUAUGUGAGAUUUUUCCUAUACAAUUUCCUAUUCUAUUUGUGAUCUAGUGGUAAUUGCCAGCUAAUUUUGCAUAUCAUAUAGACUACAUCUGCAUCUCUAAUUUGAUUACAUAAAAAUGAUCUGUAUUUUGAGAUGCUUCAUUUACAACAUAAGAUUGUGAUCAAAGCAAAAUCAAGCAAAAACCUUCACUCUAUUGGAGAUGUAAAGUCUCCUAAUGAUUUUCAGUGCAUUAGACAUCUCUAGACCAAAAAAGAAAUGUUCACAACCCCAUUAUAUGGCGGCUUUUGCUUUCUUGAUCAAGGGGCGAAUCAUGAGUUUCCCUGAUGUUGCUUGUUAAAUUUGAUGCUUUCUUCUUAGAGGCUUGCUCGCGGUGAGAUUGUCUUAAAAGUACGGUGCGAAAAUGGGAACAAAAGUGCCACAUAGCCAACCAGAACCAUGCGCUUUAAGAUCUGGAAGACGAGGAGAAAGUCACGUAAGCGCGGUUACCCGAUGAGAAGCCCGUCCCGGCCUUCGGCCUCGUUAGGAUUACCCAAAAAAAAAAAAAAAUCCAAAAAAUCUUAAAUUUAUUGUACUUUAAUCAAUUCAAUUUUAAUCUUUCGGUUUUAUCAAUUGAGUCUUUAAUAUUUUCACAUUUUACCAAUUUUAGUGGGAAAUUACUAAUGUGAACACCACAAUACCACGUAGGACAAUUAAUUAAAAGAUUUAGAAUUGAAUUGAUUAAAGUGCAUAAAUUUAAGAUUUUUUUUGGAUAAUUGUCCCAAAAAAACCGAAUGUUGGCGACUGUCCUAAUGCCUUUAAACUCGUUUUGCUCAUCACCGGGAGGGAAAUCAAUGUGAGAAACAAUGCCUUUUUCCAAUGGUUCCGAAGAUGAAUCUUUCUUUUCAUAUUUCUUUUCGAUCUUCUCAGCUACUCAAAUUUCAUAAUACAGCAAAUCUUACCACUAACAUAGAUCCCAUGGAGGCUUAUUUGGUCUUGAACCUUGCCAACUUUCCUUCAAAGUGUAAAAAGCUAGUUAUUAUACAAUAGUACGUCAUGGACGGUAGGUAGAAACCUGGUCGCGCUCACAUUCAUAAUUUGGUAUUCUUGUAUUACUUUACAGAUGUUAAUAAAUUAUAUAAUGUUGACGACAAAAUAGUGUUUGGGAAUUCAUUUGUUCAAGUUGUUCCUAAAUUCUUGAAUUUACGUCCUAAUUAUUAUUAUCUAAUAAUAAAUUCAUAUUAAGUUGUCUUCAUGCUGAACACUUCGUACAUCAAUUUUUUUUAAUCAUUAAGCCGCUAUUUUUUAUCUGGUAAAGAUAUCACGAUUACUUUAUCUCUGAUUAUAGAAACUUCACGUUUGCUCUUUUCUAGAAUGUCAAUAUUAUGACUAGGCUAAAUAGUUUUACUCAAGCCUAACUUAUUGAAAAAAGAUUAAGCUGUGUCCUCUUUAAUUAGAGUUAGCUCAUGAAUCAGGCAAUUUGGGCUAAAAGGACUAGGUCCCUUCGAAUGAGAAUAGUGAGAAGAAGGAUGAUGACAUUGACGCGGUCUGAAAAGAUAUGAAAAUGAAAAUGUCGAUAAUAGAUGGAAUACAUAGCUUGGGGAGUUAAGUAGAAAAAAAAAUCUCACCCUCACAAAGCAUCUUCUUCUUACCUUUGUCGUCUUUUUCAUCGGAACAAGCCAACCAUGGUAAGUUGAGUCCAUCUACAUUUCUAUGAUGUAAAAUUGUACCGUACAUCAUAAACUAUUAAGAGUUAGACGACAAUGAUUGAUUAAAAAAAAGUCAAAUAAUUAGCAAAUAUUAACCAAUGAAAUUUAAAAAUUAUUUUGAAUUUUAGUGGUGACUCGAAAAAGCACUUUUGGCCCCUCUGAAUGGGUAUAGAAUCCUUGAUAGAUGUUAUGGGAAGAUCCAGCGAUAAACGAGGGGGAGUCCUGGCUGCGCUUGCUCCGUCCCACACUCCUUCUCAUGGACACACUCUUUUAUUGUUUAGCAAUUCUAUUUUCUUUCCUUCAAAUACACUUAUCUUUAUUUCAAAUUUCAGCUACAUAAAAUGACGUUUAAGUCAUAAUUCAUUAUUUUAUGCUCCUUUCUCUCGCUAGCAUCCGAACAAUAAUAUAACACAAUGCCUCUAUUUCCUUCACCUUCUUUUGUCUCGUGAUUAUUUUUGAAUAAUUUCUUUUCCUUUCUAAUUGAUUACCUAUUCACGAAAGAGUGUAAUUGAUCUAGUCUUGUUUCCAUUCGGCAGAUGAAUAGGAGGGGAAGAACAUGAGACGUCUGAUGAGUGCGACCUCUCUAAUGAUGAAGAUUCAUUGCUUGAAGAUUAUGAGGAGCACUCAACAACUUUUGCAAUAGUCUAUUCGUCAUUUCCUGCGGAACCUUCUCUGCUGCGGGAAGUCAUACUCAAUUUGCUAAUAACUUCAUGGGCUGAUAGAGAGAUCCAAAGGUAUGAAAGGAUCUAUAUAUUUCAUGUAGUAAUCAAUGGUUUGCAGUUCAUGUCUGUCUGGUCGUGUGUCGUAUUAAGUGUCAUGGUCUCUAUCUAAAGAGUAGCCAAGUAAUGCUCAAUCUUAUAUUUUAGCGAUGCUGUGCAACCUCCAAAGCCGAUCUCCCUUAAUUGGUGGUAUAAGGCACGGUAAUGCUAGUAGUACAAGUCUUUGUCUUUAAAACAGUCAAAUCAUGUUACCUUUUGAGUUUUCAGUUGUACUUUGAUGUGGUUGGAUUUUCGGCAACUGGGGUUUUAUGGUGUAACUGAUGCUGCUCUAAUGUUAAGUUUAAGUUAUGUACCAUGUGAAGAAUUGUUCGGUGCUCCAGAAAGAACUAAUAUCUAAAUUUAGUUCUCUUUUGUAUAUGGCCAGUUAUUAUCAAGUAUGCUGGAGCUAAAACACCCCAUUCUCUUGUUUUAAGCAGAUGACGAAUGUAUAAGUUUAUGAGCCAUCUCGCGUGUGCCUAUUGUAAAAUGAAGCUAAUGUUUGUCAAUCGAAGUUCUUAUAUUGCAAAUUUUACCAGGCAGUUCCUGCGUGAUUGGGUUAUUAGUUCCACAUUCAUCCUUGAGCCCUAGGUUUGCUCAAGUCCGCCUUAGCUUCGGGACCAUGUUGAACAUUUUCCUGAUUUUUAUAGCUCGUAUUGCUACACAAGGCAUUUGGUUGUUUCGAGUUUCUUGUAGCUAUCAUAGCCAGCACCACCAACUUUGGUCGGUGCAUAGGAUAUGUUUUGUUUGAGGACCACCGGUAUGUUUGCACGUAGAGCCAAAUUCUCAUGCUGACGAUGGGCAUCUUAGGCCCCACUUUCCUGGAAUUCAAUAUUUAAGCGAGCACCAACAAGGAUUGAACUAAGUCACUGUCUAUACGAAGUUUCUUUCCUGCUCUUGGGUGAUUAUAUUUAGUGUCGUUGCAACAAGCCUAGUGUGUCCGCUGGAUCUGGCCUUAGGAGAAAAUCGGAUUGCGGGGUUUAGGAGGCGCCACCAUCCGUAUUAUCUCCAACCAAUACCUUGAGCACCGUACUAUUAGUUCAGCUCUAAAAAUCAGUAUCUCAGCGAAUAUACAAUUCAACGAGCUGCAACACUUGACCCGCAUAAAGAAAUUUUGGAUUAUUUGUUUGUGUGUGACCAGAAGCACGCGUCAAGAUGAUCUAAAUCAAUAAAAACCAAUAUAUGAUUACGUUCUGCUGCGCGGCAGGAUCUUGGUCAAUUUGACUUAGCCUCAGUGAAGUGGCAGCUGGAUUUGUUUAGGCAUGGGUAUGAGUGUAAGUUUUACUAGAAUAACAGUGUUUGGAUUACUAUGAGAAUAACAUCUUGUUGUUUGUCACGAAUUCUUGAAUGAGUGAGCCCCACAACAAUUUAUAAUUAUUUGUUAUUUGAUUUUUCGUGAUCCAUAAUAGACCAUUAUUUUAAGAUUAAAUUAAAAACCGUCACAAAAUCAUUUCCCUAUAAGUUUCCAGAUUAAAUCGAGGGAAAUGUUAAAUUGGUGUUAGUUAAGGAUGGGAUCGACAACAAAUUGGUUAAAAGAAGCUCAUAACGGCUUGUCUAAAUUGGGAUUAUAUGUUCACUUCUGUUAUUCAAACUGAUAGAUCGGUGCUAGUAACUCAAGGAUCACUAUGUAUUUGGCUAAUGGAUCAAGAAUUAGUCUCAUGAAAUCUAUAUGUCGUUCAUAGAAUUAGAAAAAUUGCUUCUAUUAAACUUCAUUUACUAAAAUACAACCAUCUCAAUCCAAGAUUGACAAUCACCUCAUGCUAAAUUGGGAUUGGAAAUCUUCAUUAGUGCCAUAAAGAAAAGUUGAUCACAAUAAGGUUUUCAUGGCACACACGCAAUGUAAUUCCAAUCUUGUUACUAAAAGCAAGAUGACAUAUCAAGCCAUGUCAAUUUCAAGAUAGUUAUAUUAUUUUGGAUUCCGACUCCUCUUAAUAAAUUUGUAUCAUUUUUUUUCUUCUUGACAAUACCCUCUUUUGCUUUCAAUAAAUUUAUGUCUUGCUUGACUCGCUUGAAAGAAUCGAAGGCUCCAUAGAAGUGGGGCAGGACUUGGAAAAUAAGUUCAAGUGAACAGGUGCACCUUGAACGGGUAUGUUAGAUUUGCUAAGCUUAGACAACUCCAAAUAUUAAUGCAGUUGAUUGUACAAUUUUUCCCCGCGCACGCAAAGAAAAAUUAGCCCAAUAAUGAUUUCCGAUUCAAUCAAGCACUGACUAAACCGCUCAUAAAAGUAAAAAGGUGUACAUGCACUAAAUUAAUUCAUAUAAUUCUUUAUUUCAUGCUCGGUCUUCUCUUUUGCUUGUUGAGUCACGGACCCUUGCAUUUAACAUAUGAUCUUGUUUUUUUUUUCUUUUUCUUUUGAGUGAUAUAAAAUAAACGAAGAGAGAGUUUAUAUGUUUUUAAGAAUUUAAGUUCACAAUAAAAUUCAAUUUUCACAGGUUGAGCGAAAAAUCAAAUUAAUUCGCUCGAAAUCGCCGUCGGAAUUGAAGUGUCGUACUUUUUUUUCUUUUCUUUUUUAAGAGCUUUCACAAGAAGGCGUCGUAGAGUGUUUCGAAGCUGACAUGACGUAUUCAUUAUCAAAAAUUCCAUCCAUUCUGCAAUUUUGCAACAUCCUGUUCGUUUCGUUUUCCCUCUCAUCCUUGUGGGCUUCCAUUCGGGGGGAAUCCGUCGUUUCGCUCGCUGUGGAGAGGAGAGGAAUUCGCGACUUGCUCAUGGAAGAUUGUGAAGUUCUCCCGAGCGUCGGGAGGGGAACAGGUGAAGGGCGAAGAGCACGCGAGAGGAGGUGGAGCGAAUUCCACGCUUCUCCAAAAAGACGCUGGAUGGGAGGCAUAUGAAGAAACGAGAGUCGUCGCUCGUGGUGUUGAAAUCGUCGCCAUGAAAGCUGCAAUGGAAAGGGCAGAAGAUCCGAGCGAUUCGUAGCGCUGGUCAGAUGUCUGACGAAAUGCGCGGGUGAGAGUAGAAACUGGGGUGGCUAAAAGCCGAAAUCGGCAUGUUGCUUCCAGAAUGAGUAAUUCAUUUCUUUGUAUAUCUAAAGAUUCUUUUCUGUGUGCCUACUUGUUUCUUUCCCUUUGGAUAUACAGAGAUGAAGUUGCUGGAGGUAGCGAGAAAGCAAAUGAUUAUGUGUGGAUUGGCGACGCACGGCAAAUGCUGCUGUUCUCCUGCGAUGAGGGAAUUUUAGCUUUCUCUACUCGGAAUUCUGUUUUUAAUUUCACUAAUUUACUCAGAUGGAUAAUAUACUCUCCAGCAUCAGUUCAGACCUUCGGAAGUGUCUCUCAUAAAUUGACAAAUGGACCCUCGCCCCUCGGUGACGGCAAUUGUCUUCAUUGGUCAAAGAGUCACAGAGCAUUGAGAUAGUCGUUGCACAGCCGCGGGCUCAUGCUUAGUCUCGAUUGUUUGUAUUCGAAAGCCAUCUUUUAAGAUCGAUUUGGACGAGUCGCGUAGGAGAAUCGUGUCGGAUCUUUCUUUUCCCCUAUAUUUUCUCCUGGUCUCCAGAUCGAGCUCUGUGAACAUGAGAUUCUGCUUUCUACAUUUUCUGCAUAAAGCCCCCAGGACGGAGCAGAAUCGAUUAUUCUGGGGUUUGCAAUUUCAGUGAGUCUUGCCUAAUUGAUGAUUUGGCCUCCGCGUGGUUAAAUGUCACUAAAUGAUGUUGCCCGACUAUGAUAAUUGAUGUUCCUCCUACUGGGAUCAUAGCUGUUGCAUUGCAACAAUCAUCGACAAAUCUCAUCAUAUAGUACAAUGAUGUAUCAUCAAAGUCUGAUAAGGAAUUCCUAAACACCCAAAAUGUUCCAAUUUCUUGGUUUUUUAUAUUGUGUUCAUUCCAUUAUUUUCUCAGAUGACUUGCUUUUUCUUGUUUCUCUUCAAGUAGGCUCUUCUGGUUUCCAUCUUUACCAUGAAAUCUUGCUUGAUCUUCAAUAUGACGAUGUUAAUAAAAAGCUAACAAGUGCAAAGAUUUUGCCACCUCACUUUUAGGGUCUGUUCGUUUUGCAGAAAACAACUUCCGGGAAAAUAUUUUACAGUAUCGCAUGCUCCACUGAAGCUAGUUUAGCAGCUGGCGCUAUGUCUUUCAGCAACAUCAUAAGAAUUAUCUGAAUGCUGAAGCUCCUCUAUUAGCGAAGCAAAACUUGCCUUCCUCUCGUAGGACUUCUCCGCAGCAGCAACUUGAUCUAAUGGUUUUUGGAGGACAGAUAAUAUCUGAUAGGCUACAUCGAUUGGAUUACAAGAGCUCAUUUGCAAGCUGGAGUAAGUAAUACAACAUAGGCUCCUCCAAAAAACAUGGGAGUUAACUUUGAAGGAAAUGCAAAAUAAAGGGGGACAGCGAUGCAUCGACAUCAAUACGACCGCUCCCAAGCUUAGUUUAAUGACAUUCUUCUUUCAAGACCAGGUUCAUGAUUGCCCAGGUUCAUGAAACAAUCCAUCCAUUUUGUAACUCAUUUACGUGAAAAAAUAUUUUCGUUUUACUUGUUAAAUAUCUAAAUUAUAAAAAAUAUUAAUGACAAUAUCAAUUGUAUUCAUUAAUUCAUUUGUCCAAAGUUGUUCCUACAUUCUUUAUUUGUCAUUGAUACCGAUUUGAGGUUUUUUUUUUUGUGAUAAAAAAAUUAGUUAAAAGUAAAUUUUUCAUAUAUAUGUACAUAUAUAUAUAUAUAUAUAUAUAUAUAUAUAUAUAUGAAUUUGUCACAUAUAUACCAAUUUGGAUUUUCCAUGAUAUUAACCAUUUGUUAAAAGAUCCAACUAAAAGUGCAUUAUUUAAUCCAUGCAUUCAAAGAACCAUUGGUCACUUUAUCAAUCAUGCACACUCCUUCAUAUGCUCCAUGUUAAACCUCAUCAAUCAAUUACAAGUUCGAAUUGUACGUUCGAAUUGUACGAAGUUGAAAUAACUCUCACUUCAAUUGGGGUCAAAGAUAUUUUUUUCCCCAGAAAUACACAUAAAUAAUCCACACAGAUGAUAGGGGAAAAUGAAACCAACAAAAUGGGAAAAUUGCAGAAGGAUAAAUUAUGAUAAUGUAUACGUGAGCUUCGAAAUUAUUGCACCCACUGGCUGAAAAGAGAGAAUCUAAGUUCCAGUUCAUCCUUGAAAAAAAAAAUGACAAACUCCUAUAAAUAUGAUGCAAUCAAUUUUAGAGAUGAUUGUUGUGUAAGCUAAGCUUCAGCUAGCGGUCUAACUUGUUGCCCAAAUUUGGGACCGACAAUAUAGAUGCAACUUUCAGCUAAGUGGAUCCUCAAUUCCAUUGUUCACAAUUCAAUUGUUAAUGAGCAUAGCAUGCCCAAAUUCUUCAAAGCGAUGGUGAUUCCCUUUUCUCAAGCAUUCUUUUCUUGACCUUUGAUCAUCAAUUCUUUACACAAGAGUUUCUCUUUUAUCAUAUCCAACUCUCUUGACCCAUUGAGCAUCUUACUCAUGCUAAAUGCCUUUUUCUCAAAUAUGCUGAAAAUAAAGGAUUAAAUAAGGUACCAUGCUGGUGUGAAAAAGUUUUCAAAUAAUCAACGAUAAAAUGGAACUUAAAGGGAAUGCAUUCAUUUAUUAAAAUUAAAUAAAGUAUACGUGUCAGCAUUAGAACUUGGCUUGUUUAAUGAUUUCUUAUCAUAUCAUCAGUGCACAAAAUAAAAGUGAGAAACAAGUAGUUAUAGAUAUAGAAAUGUUGAAGCUCCGCACUCAGGAGCCACUCAGGAUGUUCCUUCGCCUUCUGGAAAUAUACAAACACACUGGGGAUGUUCCUGCAUUCCAACAGAUAAAGAAAUGUUUAGAGGCUCCGCACAACUUUUGACAUGGAUGAAUUCUUCAACCUACUAUGAAUCUACUAUUUGCUAUCUACAUCGGCACUUCUUGAAGCACGAGGUUUCCGUACUGAGCCUACCUUGCAGGCCAAACGACACGUAGAUGUGGUAAGUGUCAGUUUUAUAUCUGUCCGCAGUACCACAAUAGGAUAAACUUUCCUAACCCUUGAAAAGGAUAUAAAUUUGCAACCCCAUAGAAGAGGUUUCAUGAGACCCUCCGGAGGUCUGAACUGGUGCCGGAGAGUAUAUUAUCCUUCUUAGUCAAUUUAAAAACAGAAUUCCAGGUAGAGAAAGCUAAAAUUCCCUCAUCGCAGGAGAACAUCAGCAUACACAUAAUCAUCUGCUUUUUCGCUACCUCCAGCAACUUCAUCUCUGUAUAAGAAUAAAGUAGGCACGCAUAAAAAAUGACGUUUAGAUAUACAAAGAAAUGAAUUACUCAUUCCUCAAGCAACACGCCGAUUUCGGCUUUUAACCACCCCAGUUCCUACCCUCGCCUGCGCAUUUCGUCAAACAUCUGACCAGCGCUACGAAACGCUCGGAUCUUCUGCCCAUUCCAUUGCAGCUUUCAUGGCGACGAUUUCACGAGUGAAGAUUCUCGUUUCUUCAUAAGCUUCCCAUCCAGCGUCUUUUUGGAGAAGCAUGGAAUUCGCCGCACCUCCUCUCGCGUGCCCUUCCCCCUUCAACUUGUCCUCUCCCGGCGCGUGGGAGAACUUACGCAAUCUUCCAUGAGCAAGUCGCGAGUUCCUCUACUCUCCACAGCGAGCGAAACGACGGAUUUCCCCCGACUUGAAGCCCACGAGGAUGAGAGGGAAAAUGAGACGAACAGAAUGUUGCAAAAUUGCAGAAUGGAUGGAAUUUUUGAUAAUGAAUACGUCAUGUCAGCUUCGAAACAAUUGCAUACGGAUGGCUGGAAAGAAGUAGCCUAGCGUUCUUGCAUAUAAUGCAAGGGUGCGUUGACUCAAUAGAGAAGACUAAAGCGAGAAAUAAAGAAAUAUAUGAAUUCGAUUAGUGCGCGUGUAUACGGUUUAAUUUAAUAUUAGAUAAUAUAUAUAUGACAAAAAUUUAUCCCGUAUUAAUUUUUUUGAUAAUAAAAAAUCUCAAACUGAUACGCUUGUAAUAAAUUUAUUAAAAACUAAUUUUUUAACUAUGAAAAAUCUCAAAUCGGUAUAUCUGUAAUAAAUUUAUUUAUACACCAAAAGCCCUGAACCAUUACAUUUAUAAUAAAUAUAUCAUCCAUUAAAUUAAAUUAAUACCACAAAAAAUCACAAAACUUGUAUAAUGUCACAUGUCAUCAAACUCAAUAAUUUGAUAAUAAAAUUUAGCGAAAAUUAACGGAAGGUAAAUUUAUCCUAAGUAUACUAGUUUUUGGUUUUUUGUUGUCAAAAAAUUAGUUUGGAGUAAAUUUAUUGUAGGUGUGCCAUUUUGGGAUUUUCGGUGGUCAAAAAAUUAAUUUUGAAUAAUUUGUCGCAAAUAUACUAAUUUGAAAUUUUUCAUGAUCAAAAAUUAGUUUUAGAUAAAUUUAUCAUAGGUAUAUUAGUUUGAGAUUUUUCAUAAUAUUAAUUUUUUAACAAAUUGAACUAGUAUUUCUUGCAAAAAAACAAAAAAGAUUGGCUUUGAUCUAGCUUUUGCACCUUAAAUUAAAGAGAACAAAGACCAAUUCAAUCGGAAAUAAAUUUCAAAGAUCAAAUUGAAUAUUGAUUAAGAAUUUAGGGACCGACUUUGAUAUCAGCUUCCCAUUUAAAUUUGGAGCCCAAUGGCCGAGUCAACUUUCAGAAUUAGAAAGCUACUAAACACAUGCGUGUCCACCUUCCUUUCACGCCCAUAACAACAAGACAUCGAAGUCUCGUGAAAGCUGCAUUAUCUUAGAACACUGUAUUUUGGAAUUUACUCAUUUUGUUCGUUGCAUUUUCCCUCUCAUCCUUGUGAGCUUCGAUAGCGGAAUCUGUCAUUCCACUCACCGUGGAGAAAUCUCGCAACUUGCUCGUAGAAGAUGUGAAACUCUUUAUGGGUUUGGCGUGGGGACAAAGCGAAGGCCACGAGAGAGGAGGUGGCGCAAAUCCAAUGCUUCUCGAAAGACGCUGAUGCGAGACUAGACGAAGUGAGAGUUAUUCCUCGUGGCGCUGCAGACGUCAUCGUCAAAGUUGUUGCUAAACUCCUAAACCAAAGAAGGGGAAGAUCCGAGCCUAUUUUUCAAAUGCUGGCCAGGUGUUUGACAAAAUGCCCACGUGAGUUGAAAUCCACACUACGAAUUGGGACUGGAUGCACUUAUGGAAGCAGAGCAGUUUGCGGCCCUGAAGUCGACGAGCAAUAGCAGAACUACGCCCUUCAUAUGAAGCGUUAGAGAGACAGAUUCGAACACGUAAAUAAUGGGCUUUUGUUCAUUUGCCAUCCCACGGCCCAAGAGAAUAUGGGCAGGUAAAAAUGCAUAAGUCCUCAACCCUUUUCUUCAAAAAAGUUCGAUCAAAUCAAAUCUCUAACGAGCAAAUAAUUCACAACUUUGAUUAUAUUAUAAAGAAUCGAGAUCCAGCUGAAUUAAUCAAAAGAUUUUAAGUUCUUUUCAACUCAAAUAGCCAACCCCAAUUGAAGCAUAUCAUUUUGGAUCGUUUCUCAAUCAAAGGAGUGCCAAACGAAAGAACAAAAAAGGACUGAAUAGAGACCGAUAGCACAAAUCAGGGACGGCAGUACAUCACCGUCGUGGACCAAGAAGUAACCUUAUCACAUUUUCGGUCAAAAUAUGCUCGAAGCAUAUGCCUUCGAGUCAUUAAAAGCUCUAUCUCGCACAGCCAUAAUUAUUACUAUAUCAACGUUAUCAUCACAUUACAGGCCAACUAAGUCUUGAUAGGUGAGGUCGAAAUCAUGCAAUACAACAAAAGAUUUGAUUUCGUACAAUUAAGAAAUUCAUAGUUAUAUUCUUUCCCUCAACGAGGGAAAAAAAAACCAUCAAGAAAGAGUAGCUAUGAAUUUUUACAAAGCUUUUGAGAAUUUAGAGGUAAUUAUAAUGAUAAUAUAUCAGCAGACAGCGAGCGGUUGAAAUUUUUCGAUCUAUCUUUGGAAACUUGAAUCAUCCCUCAUCUUUGAUUAGAGUGACUUUGCCAUUAGGAAGCAACUUUUGAAAAUUAGCACAAGUUGUUGCACAUAAUUUUUGAAGUGCACAAAAUAGAAGCAUCGUGUUGCUUUUGGUUUAUAUAGUCCAAUUUUUGCAUGUAGAUGAACAACGAGACAUAAACUAUAAAAUUCAAUGAGAAAAACAGAAAACCGUGAUUAAAUAAAUACCAAUUGGCUUUUUCAAUAUAUAUUAAUCGAAGGGAUGAACAACAACAAUGAGGCACCUCCUCAGAUUUCUUCUCAUAAUUUCUUCAGCUCCUGUGCUUCGUUCUUUCCUUACAAUUUUUCGUGCGGUUGUCCAUCAAAGGAACCCAACGAAGACAAAAAGAAAAGAGCGAAAGCAUUGGUGUUCGAAACGUGAAGCAUGAAGCAAGAAGUAACCUCUGUCGUUUUUCACCAUUCUUUACUGCGUCCUUGUAACAAAUUUUUAGCUCCGACUACUCAUUUCUUCUCUUUUUUCUGUUGUGACAAUUUAUUGACUACCCUGCUAUGUGCAUUGGUCUUUCUUUACAUUUUCUUUUGUUACAGUUGUCUGGAUAAAAGUGUUUCCUGAAGGAGUUGUCAUUUAUCUACUAAACUUUUUCUCCAUCUCUUUCGGUGCUAAUGGUUGAAUCUGGAGAUGAAAGGUCACAUCUUAAUCUUAUGGGUAAUCCUUCCCUAAACAUGUGAAUGGAAGAAGUGAGAGCGAGCCUCAAUUGAAGCAUAUCCUUCUGGAUUGUUUCUCAAUCAAAGAAAUAGCGCCAAACGAAAGAACAGAAAGGGACUGGAGAGAGACUGAUAGCGCAAACCAGGGACAGCAAUACAUCACUGUCGCGGACCAAGAAGUAACCUUAUCGCAUUUUCAGAAUAUGCUCGAAGCAUAUGCCUUCGAGUCAUUAAAAGCUCUAUCUUGCAUAACCAUAAUUAUUACCAAAUCAAUGUUUAUCAUUGCGUUAUAGGUCAACUAAGUCUUGAUAGGUGGGAUCCAAAUCAUGCAAUAAAACAAAAUUUGAUAUCACCUUCCCAUUUAAAUCUGGAGCCCACUGUCCGACUUCCUUUCGUGCCAAUAACUCUAACAAGAUAGCGAAGUCUCGACUUUUACUAUAAAAAAAAAAAAAAAAAAAGAUAUCGAAGUCUCGUGACAGCUACAUUAUCAUAAACCCUGUCAUUCUGCAAUUUACUCAUUUUGUUCGUUUCAUUUUCCCUCUCAUCCUUGUGGGCUCCAAUGGCGGAAUCUGUUAGACCACUCGCUGUGGAGAAAUCUUGCAACUUGCUCGUAGAAGAUGCGAAACUGGUGCGGGUUUGGCGAGGGUACAAGCAAAAGGCACGGAAGAAGAGGUGGCUCAAAUCCAAUGCUUCUCGAAAGAUGCUGAUGCAAGACUAGACAAAGUGAGAGUCAUUUCUCGUGGCGUUGCAGAUGUCAUCGUCAAAGUCGAUGCUAAACCAAAGAAGCGGGAAGAUCCGAGCAUAUUUUUAGAAUCCUGGCCAGGUGUUUGACGAAAUGCCCGUGUGAGUUGAAAUCUACACAACGAAAUGGGUCUGUGUGCACUUAUGGAAGCAAAGCAGGUCGCGGCCCUAAAUUCGACGAGCAAUAGCAGAACUAGGCCCUUCAUUUAAAGCUUUAGGGAGACAAAUUCGAACACGCAAAUGAUGGGCUUUCGUUCAUUUGCCAUCCCACGGCCCAAGAGAAUCUGGGCUGGUGAAAAUGCAUUAGUCCUUAACCCUUUUCUUCAAAAAAGUUCAAUCAAAUCAAUUCUCUGACGAGCAAAUAAUUCACAACUUUGUUUCGAUCGUAAAGAAUUGACAUCCGGCUGAAUCGCUUCAAAGAUUUUAAUAUCUUUUCAACUUGAUCCAUCAACUCCAAUCGAAGCAUAUCCUUCCGAAUCAUUUCUCAAUAAGAGAAAAAGUGCCAAACGAAAGAACAAAAAGGUACUGGAGAGAGACUGAUAGCGCAAACUUGGGACAGCAGUUCAUCAAUUUCGUGGACCAAGAAGUACCUUAUCCCAAUUUCAGCAUAAGCUUGAAGCAUAUGCCUUCGAAUCAGUAAAUGUGCAUGAUAAUUAUUCUAUCUUUUUGUCACGGAUGUUUUUCUUUUCGCGAGAAGAGAUUCGAAACAGAAAUUCGUUUGAUAAUACAAUUUUAUUUUCUAUUUCUAGGACAAAAUUUUAGUCCAAAAAUAGGUAUAGAAUAAAAAUGAAAAGUAAAAAUAUAUUACUUCUCUAUUUUUUAGAAUAGAAAUUAGAAAUAAAAACUCUUUUUUAUAACUCGUUCUUACCACAAGAUUGAUGCCCACUUGUCAUUUGCCAUCCGCUGGCCGCUAGUUGCCGCCAUCUACCACUAUCGCCGCUAGGAGAGAGAAAUUUUGUGUUAAAUUUCUAUUUUAAGAACAUAAAUUUUAUAUCAUGAUCAAACACGUAUUUUUACUUAAAAACUCGUCUAGAGAAUGGACAUAGAAAAAUUUAUUUUUAGCUAGAAAUUGAUAUCAAGAAUAGAAUAAUUAUCAUUCACUCCUUUAAUAGUUUGUCUCACCUCUGUCAACAAGAGGGAUCACACGUAGUCUGACGUCAACGUCACCACAACAACCACGAAUGUUGUUACAGUCUAAAAAAUAUUAACAGUUCCCAACAAUUUACGAUCUAAAAGUAGUUGAGAAGAUAAGUGCUGUAUCCUCUCCAUAACUUUCGUGUACCCAAAAAAAAUCUCAAUCUUCUUUCUUUCGUUAAUUGACCACCUGAAAAUAGGGCUCCAUAAUAUUACUUUUCCUUUCGAAUUUAAUAAUCUCAAAUCAUUUGAAAUGCAAAAUCUCGACCAUCUUAACAACUCUCUUAUUUCUUGUUUGGUAGGAGCAUUAGGAGCUUUUCACGCUUCAAAAUAGAAGGUUGCCCAUUAAUGUCACCAAUUUCAUGCAAAUUGUUCUAGAUGAAGCCGAUUGUAUAAACUAAAUGUUGGAACUUAACAAGUUUGGGAGGUUUGUAGAGUGUUCCACGGGCUUUUAAGUAAUGGAUUGUGAAAGAAUAAGGAAAAAAAUUACGCAACAACCUCUCAUUAAUCUUUUGUAAGACUCUGCAUGAAUAGAUAAACACAAAUUAAAAUAAUAGCCAUAAGUAUAAAGUUGAAUAUAGCAUGUUGCAGUCUCAUAGAUACCAUACUUAGUUUUUACAGUCCGAACAUUUGACCAUCAUAUUGUGGGCAAAAUUACUGUAGCACUUCACUAAAUCUUCGAAAUGUGAGAAGUGAAUGUACAGAGUUUCCAAAUAAUAAGACCGGGUUCGAUCAUCCCUGUUGGCUUUAAUUUCGUGGAGUUGAAUUUAAUUGACACGGACGAGUCCGAAUGAUUUAUGUGUUUUUGGUAGAUUGUAUGGGCCAUAAGAAACAAAAAUGUCGCUACAAUUAGCCCAUGUGAAACCAAUCUUUUGAGGACACAUAGAGCAAAAGGUCAUGGUGAAUUGACCGCGCAUAAAACAAUUGGCCCAUUAGAAAGCAAUCUUUUGACAUAACAUGAAGCUAUUCGCCAUGAAAAACCCAUCUUUGACGGUCAUAUAUAGCAAAGAUGUGGUGCUGAAUUAUUGCCAUUAUAGCCCACGCGAAACCAAUCUUCUUUGGACGGCACAAGAAGCAAAAAUCUGAUGCUGAAUCAUUGAUCUUACCCCGAGUGAAGCCAAUCUUUUGAGGGGACUGCUGUUCAAUAAUUGCCAUUAGCCCAUGGGCCAUUACUUAUAUGAGAGAGUGACAGAUGAUGAUAAUGACGAGGAUGAAGAUGAUGAAUCCAAUCCCAGUAUUAUCAUUGAACAAUCGUCUUUAUUGUUUCUGGUUGAUCCCUGAAACAAAGGUGAACUGCUCACUAACGAUUUUUGCUUUACCCGUUCUGCUUUUAGUUUGAUUUUCAUUGAAGUUUUCUGCAAAUUUUCUUUAGGUUCUAAUAUUCAGACGAACAAGGAAGUCGAAAUAAAGCUUGUGAGUGCCAUUUUCGCGGUUGAAUAGGCUCCUUUUCUUUUUUUAAGUUUUUGUGUUUUUUUAGUAUUGUCGUGGUCAUUGCAUCAGUAGCUUGUUGAUUUAGAUUGUCGAUUCUUUACUUUCAUUUUCUUUUAGGGGAUAUGGACCGUGUUUUGUUCUGUUUAUUUCUUAGAUUGUUUGAAUGACAUAGAUAUUAAUUCACGUGCUUUCAGCAAGUCCGCCGUGCUAACUUUGCUAACUUUUAGUACGACUGUAAGCCCAAGUAAUGCAUCUUUGGUGAUCUUUUAUGAUGUAUGUCUUGUUGGGGGCAUGCAAUGAAAGGGAGUACUGUGUAUAACUAUCGUGAAGGCUAAUCGAGUUCAUCCAAUUCUUCCCCAUUAACAACUUCAAAUUACUCACAUUGCUGCAUUUACCUCGCAGUGUACUGCAGUUUGCCCACUAUGUUGCGUCUCUGCUGUGGAAUGCCAGAGUCGAGAAACCAAGAAAAGCUCUAACCAAGAAAAUUAAGGACAUGUUUAGCAACGUUUCUGUUACGGAAACAAUUUCUUUUCAAAAAUAACAUUUUUUCUAUUUUUUUUCCUAUAAUAAUUUAUGAGUAAAAGAAUGUAUUUGAUAAUUACACAAGAUUUCUAUUGUCUGAUUAGAAAAUGAAUGGGAAUGUAUUUGGUACGACCUAUAAUUUUUUUUUUAUAAUGUAGAAUUUCUUUUAAUUUUUUAAUAAUGUUUUUAGAUUUUCUUUUUUCCUUAGCCGGUGGUGACCGGUAGUAGUGACAGUGGCCAACGGAGGUAGGCAAUAGCAUGCGGUGGGGGCAGCAAACAACGACACAUAAGAAUAAUAAAAAAAAAAACGACUUAUUUCUACAAAUUCUUCUUAGGAGUAAGAAGUUAUUUUUUUUCUACUUCUUGUUUUUAUUCCAAAUCUAUUCCCUAGUUACUUUUUUAUUUCGAGAAAUAGAAAAAAUAAUUAACAUUACCAAACGGAUUUCGGUUCUUUUUUUAUUCCGAGAAACUAAAGAACAUAAGAACAAAGAAAUAUGCAAGUUACCAUGCAUGAUCUAAAUUACCUUUUGGUUGUUGCUAAAUGCAGUGUCUGAUUCCUAUUAUUUCCAGGAAAUCUGUCCCGUACGCUUGUCCUGGGAUUGUCAAAAAAAGAAAAACAUAAAAAAAAAAAAAUGUGACAAACUCAUAAAUCAUUAGUAGGUUUCCAAAUAAAUAAAUUCAAAUUACACAUCAUAUAUAAGUAUAAAAUUGCACAUAGCAUGUUGCAGUAACAUGUUCAAGUAUUCAAAAUCAUUUGUUCUUGGAGCUUUUAAUGGGCAAGAAAUAUAUGUGGUUCUCCUCCAUCUAGCUAAUUACUUUUAAAUUUUUGGGUUAUAGUUUCUAACAUGAUAUCGUAGAAACCAACUACACUUCUAUUGUAGAGUCACAAAAUUUAACUAUUGACUCACUAGAAAAUAGCCACAGAACUCUGCUUUAUCUUCAUAAUGCGAUAAGUGCAUAUAUGGAAUUUCCAAAUUAUACGGGCGGUUCCAUCAUAGCAAAUUUCCCUUAACUUGGUGGAGUUGGAACAUCACUAACAUGGACGAUUCUAACUGAUUGUGUGAACAGCAUACAAAAAUGUUGUCCAUCAGUGUUAGCCCUUGUGAAGCCAAUCUUUUGGGGACCCAUAAAGCAAAGACCAUUGACGGCGCAUGAAGCUAUUGGCCCAUGAGAAUGGCGGCACAUGAAGGCAUACGCUACCACGAUGACCCAUCUCUUGACGGCACAUAGUACAGUAAUUGAUGCUUGAAUUGUUGCCAUCAGCCCAUGCGAAACCAAUCUUAUGAGGACCCAUUAGACAAAAGUAUGGCGAUGAAUUGACGGCACAUAAAGCUAGUGGCCCAUGAGAAACCAAUCUUUUGACGACACAUAAAGCCAUUCGCCAUGAUAAAGUCAUCUUCUGAUAGCAGACAUGGAGCAAAUAAUUGAUGCCGAAUUGUCGCCAUUAGCCCAUGCGAAACCAAUCUCCUUUUGACGGGACAUGAAGCAAAAGGCCGAUGCUGAAUCAUUGCUCUUAGCCCGUGCGAAACGAAUCUUUUGGCGGGACAUAAAGCGAAUAUGUGGUGCUGAAUUAUUGCUACCAGCCCAUGUGCCUGUAUGCCAUCGCCUAUGUAUAGUUCGCCGUGGAGAGUGAUGAUGAUGAUAAUAAUGAUGAGGAUGAAGAUGAUGAGCUCGUCCACCCAAUCUCAGUAUUAUUAUUUGGCAAUAAUCGUUCUCAGUUAUUGUUUGCGGCCAGGUCAUAAGAUUGGAAGCGAAUUGUUUGGAUAGAUCUAUUUAGGUGGAUUGCUCGUUAAUUCAUACUCAGUUUUUGUUUUAUCCAUUCUGCUUUUAAUUUGACUUUAAUUGAAGUUUCUCGUAAACUGUUUUCAAGUACUAACAUUCGGACGAAAGAAGAAGUGAGUUGCUAAUUGAUACUUGGUUUUUUAUUUAUAUGCUCUGCUUUUUCUUGUUUUUGGACGUUUUAUUUAUUUUAGGAUUGUUAUAGUCAUUGCAUCGUAUUUUGUUUAUUUAAAAUUUCGAUGUUUUAUUUUUAUAUUUUUAAGGCGAAAUGAAUUAUGCUUACUUGCAUUUUUUUUCUUGGAUGGUUUGAACGACAUAGAUAUUGCAUCACAUGCUUGCUGGAAGUCGGCGGCGCUAACUUUUAUACUUUAGAAUGAUUAUUACAAACAAGUGGAAGCUUUCCUCAGUUUGUGACUUACCACAUGCACGUGUAUGUGUAUCGUUUGUUUAGAGUUGUGAUGCAUGAAUUCAUGUUGAGAUUCUGGUAUAGUACCACUGUAAGCCCAAGCAAUUCAUUUUUGGUGUUCUUUUACUAUUUGUGUCUCAACAUUUUUGUCAAGUCCAUGCUCCUUGUACCUUGUUGAGUAUCAACUUUUUCCGUUACUUACAAGAUAGAGAAAAAAAUGGAUUUUCACCUGAAACAUGUAUGUUUUGACUGAGUGCUCCUUGUACCUCUCAUCAAUUCUUUUAGGAUUUUACAAUAAUAGAUGAUACAAAUUACACAUAUCAUCCAUUAGAACAAAGGAGUACAUGGCAAUGUUGCAAUCACAUGUUAUAGUAUUCAAAAUUGUUUUUAUUUUUAUUUUUAUAAAGCUAUGAUUAUAUAUGUGUGGUCUUCCUCCAUGUAACUUAUUACUUUCAAACUUUUAUAUUAUAAAUUUUAAAUUGAAACUAUAGAAAUCACACUUACAAUUUUGUAUCGAAACAUCUUACUAUCAACUAACUGCAAAUUGACUUAAGCACUUUGCUAAAUUUUCAAGUAAUGAGGUUUUCCUUUUUCUUAAAAUUUUCAUUAUUUUCAUCAUGAGUCGUUACGAGAAAAGUGAAUAUAUAGAGUUUUCAAAUUACACAAUUCACAACUUACCCUUAAUUUUGAGGAGUUGAUUUAAUUAACAUUACGAGUCUCGCCGGUUUGUGGGUGCGUCCAUGGGAUGGUACGGACCAGGAUAACGCAUCUGUGAUGGUUUGUUUUCCCCCCACAAGAAACAAAAAAGUUGCUAUUAGCUUAAGUCCAUGUCUGACCAAAAAAAAAAGAAAAAGAAGCAUAAGCCCAUGUCAAACCCAUCUUUUGAGGGCACACUGAACGGAAAUAUGUCCUUUUGACAGCACAUUAAACGAAAAUUUGAUUCCUUUUGAUGGCACAUAAACAAAAAAUAUGAUGGUGAACUACCGCGAUUAGCCCAUGGGAAACUAAUCUGGAAGCUGAACUCUUGCUAUCAGCCCAUGUGAAACCGUGUGAAAUCAAUUUUAAAAAACUUAUCAUGCUGAACUCUUACUAUCAGCUCAUGUAAAACCGUGUGAAAUCAAUUUUAAAAAAAUUAUCAUUGCUGAACUCUUGCCAUCAGCCCUGAAACCGCGUGAAAUCAAUUUUAAAAAAAAUUAUGAUGCUGAACUAUUGCUAUCAGCCUAUGUGAAGCCAAAAAAGUUUUCGUUCCCGAUGUCACAGGGCGGACGAAAUAGCAGCUUCUUUUUGAACGGCCUAUUUUAACUCUAACCCAAGACCGACGGCAGCUAGCAAUUGAGCACCUGCAAAAUCUCUGCCAUAAGCUCCACUGAUCAUUAUCGAGCGGUGAAUACCAAUGGCCGAGUCUGUUGUUUCGUUCGCGGUGGAGACAAUAGGAAACCUGCUCAUCGACGAGGCCAAAUUCUUGAGUGGAGUGGAGGGCAAGGUCGAGGACCUGCAAAGGGAGUUGAAGCUGAUCCAGUGCUUGCUGAGGGAUGCGGAUGCGAGACGAGAGCACAACGAAGCUGUUGGAGAAUGUGUCGCACAACUCCGGGACUUUGCCUAUGAUGCCGAGGAUGUCAUCGAGAGAUACAUCCUCAAAGCCGCGCCGAAGGAGGGACAAAACAUUAUCAAAGCGUAUGCUUGCUUCAUGGCGAAGUGCUCGUGCGUGCAGAUUCAUGGGGUGGGGACAGAGAUUGAGGGCUUAAAAUCCAGAAUUUCCGAUAUUGGAAGGAGGAUGCAGAAUUGUGGCAUACUAUCUGUGAGGGAAGGCGAACGCGAACGAGCAAGAACUUCGAUGCCGAAACGGACUUAUGACCAUUUCAAGGAGGAUUUUGUUGGGAGGGAAGAUAGUAUUGAGGAAUUGGUGAAAGAGCUGUCGAAUGAUGGAAAAAAGCAGAGAGUUAUUUUUAUAUGGGGAAUGGGUGGUCUGGGAAAGACCUCACUCGCCAAGAAAGUCAUCGCUCAUGACAAAGUGAAGAACACUUUUGAUGGUAUUGCUUGGGCUUGUGUAUCUCAAGAAUAUCAUCCGAAGGAUAUCUUAGUGGGAAUUCUCGUUAAAUUGAUCCCUGAUCAAAGAGAGAGGGUUAUGAAGAUGAUGGAUGAUGAAUUGUUCAAAACUCUAUACGAGAUCCAACAAGAGAAGAGAUGUAUGGUUGUUCUUGAUGAUAUUUGGACCAAAGAGGCAUGGGACAGUCUUCAAGCUGCAUUCCCGAUCAAAAACAUGAGAAGCAAGCUAUUGAUAACAACCCGCAAUAAGAAAGUAGCAGAGUAUAUCGAUCCUCAAGGUUUAUUCCAUGAACCACGGUGCUUAUCAAACCAAGAGAGUUGGGAUCUACUAAAGAAGUGGGCAUUCCUCGAAACAAAAGGUAAGACUUCUUCAAGGUUAUUAUCCUAACAUAUAGUAGCUUCAAGAGAUAAUAUUGCCUGCUUGAUUUUGAUUUAUGGCGCAUCGGUUAUCAUUGUAGGAUUAGCUGAUGAAAUUUCUUCUGAUGGACCUGGAGUUGGUCAAGGUAUUGUUGCGGGCCAAGCUGUAGAAGGUAUCGCAAAACAGUCAGAAACGGAGGGACAAUUACUAGGUACUUCAUUGCUCAGUUUCGCCUUUCGGUAGCUUUAGCAAUUUAUGAAUCAAUAGUUAUAGUGGAAUUCAAAUGGUCGAAAUAUCAAGCAUUAGGCACCAUAAUUUCAAUAUUUGGGGAAUCAGAUGUCCCUUUUGUUUCUUACUAGCUAACCAAUAUACCAUUAAACCAAAAUCCAAAACUUUGCUCCUCCUUUCUAAUGAGGUUAAAUAUCGAAGAGGCUUUUAUAAGGAUAAAUAAUAAGCGAUUUUGAUAGGAUUUAUGAAAUAAUGUGAAGCUUGGCUACGUUACUUCUUCCGUAAGCUUCAUCUCAAGUCCACCUCUUUUGCAAUUGUGAAUAGUUGGCUUAAAAAUAAGAGUAGAGAUUGAUAGGGAAAAUCAUGAAUCGUUAUGUGGCAACAUGGAGAUUUCACUCGAAUUUGUGUAGGAGAUUAGUAGCACAUUCAAGUGACAAGAGAUCACACUCGAGUAAUCCUUGCGCUACUUUCAUAUUUCUUCAUCAAUUAUUUUUAUUGUUGUUUUGCAUUUGCUUGAGUCACUUAAUUCAAGCCACAAUUUAGACUUACUUGAUUUUUCCAAGGCAUAGAUGGAGGCAUAUACAAGAGCUUUGUUGUUCUCCCUAUUUUGCCCUUACAAAAACAUAAAUGAACCACAAAUUAUAAAGAACUAUAGCGUCUUACUUAUACAUCUAAAAGCAUAUAUUCAUCCUUGAAGUAAUCUUUUGGGAAAAUGUCACAAAUGGUCCCUAUACUUUUGCCUAAUGUGCAAUUUCGUCCCUGAACUUUCGAUCGGCUCAAUUUGGUCCAUGAACUAUUGAUAAAUGUCUAAUCUAGUCCCUGAACUUUGAUCGGCUCANNNNNNNNNNNNNNNNNNNNNNNNNNNNNNNNNNNNNNNNNNNNNNNNNNNNNNNNNNNNNNNNNNNNNNNNNNNNNNNNNNNNNNNNNNNNNNNNNNNNNNNNNNNNNNNNNNNNNNNNNNNNNNNNNNNNNNNNNNNNNNNNNNNNNNNNNNNNNNNNNNNNNNNNNNNNNNNNNNNNNNNNNNNNNNNNNNNNNNNNNNNNNNNNNNNNNNNNNNNNNNNNNNNNNNNNNNNNNNNNNNNNNNNNNNNNNNNNNNNNNNNNNNNNNNNNNNNNNNNNNNNNNNNNNNNNNNNNNNNNNNNNNNNNNNNNNNNNNNNNNNNNNNNNNNNNNNNNNNNNNNNNNNNNNNNNNNNNNNNNNNNNNNNNNNNNNNNNNNNNNNNNNNNNNNNNNNNNNNNNNNNNNNNNNNNNNNNNNNNNNNNNNNNNNNNNNNNNNNNNNNNNNNNNNNNNNNNNNNNNNNNNNNNNNNNNNNNNNNNNNNNNNNNNNNNNNNNNNNNNNNNNNNNNNNNNNNNNNNNNNNNNNNNNNNNNNNNNNNNNNNNNNNNNNNNNNNNNNNNNNNNNNNNNNNNNNNNNNNNNNNNNNNNNNNNNNNNNNNNNNNNNNNNNNNNNNNNNNNNNNNNNNNNNNNNNNNNNNNNNNNNNNNNNNNNNNNNNNNNNNNNNNNNNNNNNNNNNNNNNNNNNNNNNNNNNNNNNNNNNNNNNNNNNNNNNNNNNNNNNNNNNNNNNNNNNNNNNNNNNNNNNNNNNNNNNNNNNNNNNNNNNNNNNNNNNNNNNNNNNNNNNNNNNNNNNNNNNNNNNNNNNNNNNNNNNNNNNNNNNNNNNNNNNNNNNNNNNNNNNNNNNNNNNNNNNNNNNNNNNNNNNNNNNNNNNNNNNNNNNNNNNNNNNNNNNNNNNNNNNNNNNNNNNNNNNNNNNNNNNNNNNNNNNNNNNNNNNNNNNNNNGGACUAUAUUGGGACAUUUAUCAAUAGUUCAUGGACCAAAUUGAGCCAAUCGAAAGUUCAGGGACGAAAUUGCACAUCAGGCAAAAGUAUAGGGACCAUUUGUGACAUUUUCCCUAAUAUUUUUAUUACAGUUGAAUCUUCCUAUUGCUGAGUUGCAAUUUGUUGCCUAAUAUUGUGUAGUAAUCACUGAAGACAUGAAGAACUUAGCAUAUGAACUCCUUAAGAAGUGUGCAGGAUUGCCCUUGGCUAUUAUUGUGCUUGGUGGAUUGCUGGCCGUCAACGAGUGGAAGACGAUUCACGAAAAGAUCAAUUUGCAUUUUAGUGAUAAGAGUGACGUAUCAAAAGUGUUAGCCUUAAGUUAUGACGAUUUGCCAUGGCAUCUAAAGCCAUGCUUCCUCUAUUUGAGUAGCUUUCCUGAGGAUGCAGAAAUCCCUGCAACCAAAGUUCUUUACAUGUGGAUUGCUGAAGGCUUUGUGUUGCUGAAUGCAUACGACAAAGAGAGAGAAAUUUCAGUGGAAGAGGUAGCAAAGCAAUUUUUAACGGAGUUGGUUAAUAGGGGAAUGGUUCAAGUGCGAUUCAAUUUAAGUGGAAAGAUCAAAAGCUACCACCUCCAUGACCUAAUGCGAGACUUAUGCGUCUCCAAGGCUCUACAAGAGAGUUUUCUAAGCAUUCUUAACAUUCAACAGGACAAUGAGACAGAGAAUUGUUCUGCUUCAAUGGCAAUAAAAGUCAAGUCAAAUUGCAAAAUACGAAGGCUUUCUCUUUAUAGAAAUGUGAUUCCGAGCUUAAAAGCAUCAAGAAGGACUCUGGUCCACCUUCGAACUCUCAUGUCCUUCGGAGGUGUUGAAUGGGAGUUGAAGCACUUUCAAUCUAUGUUCAAAGACUAUAAGUUUCUUAGAGUUCUGAAGCUGGAGAAUCUUUUGGACAUGACAGAAAAUUUACCUAAAUCAGUGGGAGACCUAGUCCAUUUAAGAUUCUUAAGUUUAGCAGAUAGUAGGUUUAACGGCUUGCCACAAUCUAUGGGGAACCUUGUAUGUAUGGAAUUCUUGGAUCUACUUGUGAAAUCAUAUGUUAAGGUAACCAUGCCAAAUGUGUUGUGGAAGAUGAAAAGGUUAAGGUAUCUCCGUCUUCCUUACAAAUUUGACAUCAAGGAGAGAUUUCAUGGGGGCUGGAAGAAGUUGCGGUUGGAAACUUUAAAGAAUCUACGGACAUUGAGAAACUUUAGUAUGAAGGAAUGUGAUGUGAACGAUGUAGGCAAGUUUACUAAUCUACAAAAAUUGACCGUCCGUGACAACUUUGGUCCUAUCGAGCUAGAUAUAUUUUGGCAACUUGCUGAAUUCAAUUUGAAACAUCUUCGAUCCUUCUCUUUUUAUUUUGGAAACUUUCUUUGUUCAUGGACUGAAUGUGAAUUGAGUAAAAUGUCAAUCUAUCCCCAUUCUUGCAAGCUGUUCAUUAGUGGGGAAAUAGAGAGGUUACCAGAACAUAAGAGUCUACCCCAGCAAUUGAGGAAGCUGGUCUUACAUAAUUCCCGACUCAAAGAAGAUCCGAUGCCAAUAUUGGAGGAAUUGAAAAACUUGGUUUCUCUCGUAUUGAUGGAUGCUUUCUUGGGAAAGGAAAUGGUUUGCUCUGCAGGAGGCUUUCCUCAACUCAAGCAUUUACUUUUUGGUGGAUUAUAUGAUUUGGAGGAGUGGAGGGCCGCUGAAGGAGCCGUGCCUCAUCUUUCUCAAUUAGGGAUCUCCAGUUGUCCCAAAUUGAGGGUGGCACCUUCACAUGUCUCUACAUAUGACGGUAGGGACGAAAUAUUCGAGGAGGAGAAGAAGUGCCUCAUUCUUCCAUAGGAGAAUAAGUGCUGCCUUUGAGAGAGGGAUAUUGAUGUGGGUGGGCAAGGUGGCCCCAGCUGUCCGGUGAGAGAGGAGGGAGGGGGCGUGAGCUUGUGGGUUGUUAGGGGGGUGGGUCCCCCAGAAUAAAUAUCUAAUCUCAUCUCAUAUAUCAUGAGUGAAAAUAGAGAGUAUUAUGGCAUAUUCCUUGACAAAAUUUAUUUUCCAUGUCGUCUUUCCAUCAUAAUCAUCAUUUGUUUCGUUUUCCCUCUCAUCCCUGAGGACUUCCCAAUCAGUGGGGGGCGGGCGCCGCGAGGAGGAGGAGGAGCGAAUUCUUUGCUUCUAUAAAAGACGGUGGAUGGGGGAGGCAUCUGAAGAAAUAAGAGUCGUCACUUGUCGUGGCGUUGGAAGACAGUCAUCGUUGGAAGCUGCUGCCUUGGAGAGGGGAGGAAAGGAGGGGAAAUCCGAUCAUUUCCAUAGUGCUGGUCAAGUGUUUGAGAAAUGCGAAUGUGGAGUAGGAACUGGGGUACAUUAAUCUGAUCAUAUGCAUAGUGCUGGUCAGUCUCCUACAUUUUUUUAAUUUUAUCAGUAUCCCUGUCUCCUACAUGUAAAGGCUGCAAGCUAUAAUUUAAAGAUUCUUUCAUGUGUGCUCACAUUAGUCUUUCCCUUUGAACGCUCACAUUAGUCUUUCCCUUUGAACGACGUUGAUGAAAUUGCUGGAUGUAGCGAGAAAGCAUAUGAUUAUUUGUCAAAUUGGUGACACACGGCAAAUGUUGUUCUUCUCCUGCGACCAAGAACUAGCGGCAUAUGUAAGGAGCUGGAAUUCUGUUCUCAAUUGACUAAUUUAGUCAAAAAGAUAAUAUCCACUCCUGUAUUAGUUCAGAUCUUCAAAGGGUCUCAUAAAAUCUGUUCUAUUGAGUUGCUAAUCUAUGUCCUCUUGAAUUAUUACGAUUGUUUGUCUUCUUCUGGAAUCAAGGAUUGAUGUUAAACUUACGCUUACAACAUCUAUGUGUCAUUUGACCAUUGCUAUCACUCUGCUGAGUUUGAACUUGGCAAGGUGUGCUUGGUAUGGAAACCUUGUGCUUGAAAAAGUGCUUCGGAGUGUGUGUGGAAAAAUUUAUCCACAUAAAAGCUGUAUUGUGGAGACUGAACAAUUACAUAUGUUACCUGUUGGAAUGCAGGAGCAUCCCUAGUGGCAGAUUAAGAGCAGGUUUGUAUAUUUUCAGAAGGUCAAGGAAUCUGCAUCUUCAAAGGAACUUCCUUCCCUGCAGCUUAUCAAUCAGACAUUGGGUUACACAAGAGAGCUGGAGCAGGUUGUUUAGGACCUGCGGUAGUGCAUGGUGGUUUGCAUUGGUAUUUGCACUUUUUUUUUUUUGAUCUAAGGUAUUUGCACACUUUGAAGAUUGGUUAUUUUAUCCUUUUGCUCUUUUUGAGAAAUUUGAUACUUAUUUUUAGUAAUCAUAUCCAUUUCGUUGUUGAAUACAAUUUUGUAUUUGAUCUUGUUGACACCUAAAUUUUUGGGGUUAAUUUUUCCUAAAUAAAAAAUCAAUAAAAAAAUCAUAAUCACAUGGCAUAUAGUUUAGGAAAAUUUUAUUUUGUGUCAUAUUUCGUUAAGAUUUUUCACAUAUUUAGGUAAUAUACAUUGAGAGAUGCGUUUUUUGAGCAAAAGGGGAAUUUUUUCUGAUCGAAUAUGCAAAAAAUAUUGCGCAGGGUGAAACGAUAUAUUCAAUGGAAUUUUACACGAGCAAAAUCGGCAAUGAAAUAUACCAUGGGGAUACAAUUUUUUGAUGUAUAAAAGGAGUCGCAUACGGUGGGAGUGGGGGGAGUUCUUUUCCGUAAAAAAAAAAAGGCACCCAAAAGAGCAAAAAGUGAAAAAGUAAGUGAAGAGAGAGGAAAAGUAAAAAAAAAAGGUAAAAAGGGUCCCCCACGACUGUUCAUCUUCCUCGUGGGGGAGGGAUCCCUACCGGCGGCCGAGCCGCCGACCUUCGCCCGCCUCCGCGAGCAGCACCGCCGCUUCGCCGAUCUGUUGCCAGAGCCGCAACCCGAAGCUCGCGCCGACCCGAUUCCCCCCGCCGCUGCGUUGUCCUGUCACCGAUCUGCAGCACCGGAGUUCGGGCGCCCCGCCCCCUGACGCCACUCUGCUCUGCCAUCCGUCCAUUGGAAGCCGCGUCGCCGAGCCGUCCGCCAGUACGCCCGAAGCCCGCGACGCCGCCCCUCGUCUGAGCCGCCCUUCUCCGCGCUGUGGCAGCCGCCAGUCUCCGUCUGCACGACCCGCGCCGCCUCGACGUCGAGCCCUGCUUUGCGACACCCGUCCCAGAUCCGCUCGUGGAGCCCCUAUCGCUGCAGAUCCGUGGUCCAGACGUCGGGAUCUCUCUGCCUGCAGGUCCGAAGCCUCGGCGCUCCCGUCCCGACGCCGCCGUGCCGCCCCGAUCGCUGAUCGACGGACCCCGCGCCACGAUCCGAUCUUUGCAGCCUGCGUGACCGACGCCAGGAGACUCGAAGCCCCUGCUCCGCCCGCAACACUGCCCUCCGGUUUCGCCGUGCCGCCUGCGUCGCCCCGAGCUGAUUCCGAAGCCCCCUGGUGCCGCGCCGCCGUCACGCCAUCCUCCGGAGCCUCGCCGGAACCCUAGCCGGCGAUCUCCCCUCGCCGGACCGGCCACCAGCUUUAUUUUCCUUUUUCAUUUUCAGAAAAAAAGAAAAGAAGAAAGAGAAAAGCAAAAGAAAUUUAGGUAUUUUCUUUAUCUUAUUUUUGUUUUAUUAUUUUUACUUUUUUAUUUUAUCUUUUUAGUGUAAUUAUCCUCUUAUGUGAAAUUGAUAAUUCCAUGAUAUGAAAUUGCCUCGAAAUUAGUGAUUGUCAGUUCGAUUUUUGCGCUUGAAAUCUAACUCGCAAUUACUUAAAAAAUUGCCAAUCCGAUCUCCUGCCCGAGAUUCGAUUUGUGAUUUAUGUGAAAUUGGCCAACCCGAUCUCAUGCGUGAGAUAUGGUUCAUCAAUUUGGGUAUCAAUAUGGCUUGAUUUGCUGUGGUGUUACUAGGGGUGUGCAUGGUCCGGGCGGGUGGUUCCCAACCUAGAACCGGGAACCGCCCGCUAAGGACCGGUUUCGAAAAAUUAGAACCGGGAUCCACCCGUUUGUUGCAUGGAUCCACCCGGGAACCGGACCGCCGGUCCGGUCCGGUUCCUGGGUGGAUCCAUGGAACCGAUCUUGACGCGAAACAAUUUUGAUUUUCAACAUGAAAUGAUUACGUGACAUCAAAGCAAGCCAAAAAAAGAAAAACCAAAUUUAAGUACGUGGAACAAAAAUUCAUUUGUUGCAACUAUAAAUGCAACCAAUGAACGAAUGGAUGUACGUAAGUUGAUAUAGAGGCAGAGAGAGUAGUAAGUGUUUAGGAAAAAUGGGUCUCUCUUAAAGCUAUGAACUGGACAUAUCCCUCAUUAGGUUCGACAAAAUAUCACAAGUCACACAAACAAAUCAAAGGAGGUGAAAUGAGGCACCAUCCAAACACAGGAAAACAAAGGAAGUGCAACUAAACAAGAGUUUUUGAAUACAUCACCUUCAUCAUUAUAUUAAUAAAUAAACUAAACAACGAAAAAGUAUAAGAAUUCCCCAAUAUUUAGCUUUGUAUUCAUCCUGCAGCAAAAACAAUUGCCACAAAACAAUUGCUUUGUAUUCUAUUUUAGUAUUUUUUUUUAAAUAUUAAAAGGGAACCGGUCCGGUCCGGGUGGGCGGAUCCGCCCAUGGAACCGGGAACCGGACCGGUUCCCACCGGUUCCCAAAAAUUGGAACUGAGAAUCGGACCGGUUCUCUCAAGAACCGCCGGUUCCGGGCGGUUCCGGUCCGGUUCCGGUCCGGUUCCGGGCGGUCCGAGCGGUUUCCGGGUAUUUUGCACACCCCUAGGUGUUACUUAAAUUAGUUUUCUUUAAAAAAUUAAAAAAAAAUGUAGUUUUAGGGUUUGCAUGCUCACAGUAGAAAUUUUAUUUCGAGUUUUUUCAAAAAAUAAAAAAAAUCAAAUAAAUUAAUUUAGGUUGCUAGGUCUUUUUAAAAAAAAAUGGAUUGCAUGUUUAAUUAUUUGGCAAUUAUCAAUUUCGAAAUUAAAAAAAAAGGAAAAAAGGAAAAACACAAAAAAAAUCAGUAUGCAUAUGUCAUGUAAAAUUAAGGCAUCCUUUGCACGUCAUUGCAUAUUAGGGUAAAUUGCAUUUAGUUUAAUUUUAUAUGAUGUUUUUUCUUAAUUUAUUAUAGGUUUAAGUAUUUUAUCAAAUAGAUUGCAUUUUAGGAUUAUUUAGGUUAAGAUAAUAUUUUAGUUUAAAUUAGAUUUGGUUCAACCUAAUUCCUCAUAUAAAUUAAAUAGGAUCUUAAUCUAAUUAAGUCAUUUUCACAUUUCACCUAAUUUCGAAUUUCUUAAAAAAUACAAAAAAAGUCAUAGGUUAAAUCAAUUUAUAAUUUAGGGUAAAAUACAUUCUAUUAGGAAAAAGAAAAAAUUGUCAUAUGCACGUCAUUAGAGUUAGAUUCAUUGAGAUGCAUGUCAUUUAGUAUUUUCGCUAGGACCAUUUAAUUAGAAAUUACAUAUCAUUAGAAUUAGGUCAUUCAAUUAAUAUUGCAUUACAUACUGCAUUAAUUAAGCGAAAACAAAAAUAAAAAUUGCGUGUUAAUUAGAAACCAUAUCUAGGGUUGUUGAUGUGGAUUUUAAUUUAACAUUGUAGAUGCUUUCGUUGCUUUGAGGUGAGUUAUUUAUUUAUUUAUUGUUUAUAUAGGUGUUAAAUUGGUGGUUUGUGUACCCGCAUGAUCACCUUACAUGUAGGAAAAUAGACUUAAAAUCAAUCCAAACCGCUUGCUAAACAUUUUUUCAAAAUAAAAAGAAAGGUACCGAAAGGGUGUUAGAGAAAUCUAGCGUAACCAAGUCCCCGAAUCCUUAGUCUCUGGUUCGUAGGAGUAAAAUGAAACUCCUGUUACUUUACUUGGGUUUCUAAUUGACCCACCAAAAAUAUAUUAGUGGCGACUCCUAAUUGAAAAUCAAUUGCGUGUUAAGAACUUGAAUCUAAGUCGCAAAUUAGUAUGGGCUUGGGAGAGCCCGCGUUAAAUUUAGGCUUAAUAAUUCAUUAGCCAAAACCUAGGUGGUUCACACCCGAAAAAUUUGGUCGCGAGAGAUCUGUAGUAUAUUUUCCUUGGCUUACCUGCUUGGAAGAACCGGAAACCGAAAUUAGCCUAGUCACAUGGAGAUGGACAACUUGGAGAAUGUAUACGUCAUUCUUAAUCAAUCUAACCCUAUGGAUAGGUCUAGAUACACUUAGGUUUAAUCUGUUAUGGUAGAAUUGAAAAUAUGCACACCGGGUGACAUCAAUUGUCUCUGUUGGUCAAAGAGUUGCGAAGCAUUGGCAUAGGAAGGCCAACUAGGGUUGCUUGUGUCCAGUUCAAUUUUUAGUUCAGUAGGUUGAAAUAGCCACCGGCUGUGGGCUUGUGCUUGCUUCUAAUUGAUGGUAUUUCGAAGAGACGGCAUAAGACAAUCAUAUAAGAAAUUUCUUUUCCCCUUAUUUUUUUCCUAGACUCCGGAUUGAGCUCUGUGAACAUGUGAUUUUGCUUUCUACAUUUGCUGCAUAACACUCUCAAGACUGAGCAGAAUCAAUGAAUCUGGGGUUUGCAAUUUGAUAUUGUCUUGAGUGAUCCAUGAUGUAGCCUUUGCAUGGCAAAAUCGUUGCUAAAUGUUGUUGCCUCUCUCUGAUAAAUGAUGUUCCUUCUGCUGCAAAAGAACAAUGAAAGUCAUCAUUAGUUUGCUUAAUUGAUACUUCUGACGGAUCGGGAAAGAGAGAGGAAUUUAAUGGGUGGGUAUGCAACAAUGGUCCGCCUCUUUUGAAUCAUGGCGUUAUGAUGAAUCAACUCCUUGCUGUUAGGAUGUGACCAUCAUUGAUGGAUCUCAUCAUCUUUUAUGAUGAUGUAAUACUGAACAUUUGAGGAAUUCCCAACCACCCAAAUGUUUCCAAUUUCUUAAUACUUAUUUCCUUGUUUAUUCCUUUUUCUUUUCUUUUCUUUUUCAAAUUAUGUUGGCUUUUCUUGUUUCUUUUCAGUAUGCCCUUCUGCUCCACAAUGCGUGUUUUGUUUCCAUCUUUACAAUGUAGUCUUACUUGAUCUUCAAGAUGACAAUACUAAUAAAAAGCUGACAAGUGCAAAGCCUUUGCCUCCUCACUUUUCAUUGGGUUUACAGGAUCUUUUGCAAAACUGCACUUUCAUUGGAUUUGCAUGCAUAGUGGACCACGGCAAAUGCUUGAGACUUAUAUAGAAGAUGCACGACAUAAGCUAGAGUUGGUUUAUGGUGAGAAAGAUUAAAUGUCAUUCAGUUGCUGAAUUGAAUUUGGAAGCCUCACAUCACCCGACUUCCUAAAGAACUCUUUAGUACUUAAUGAGCGUGCUGUUAUUGUAAGUGUGAAGAUGGAAGAUCAAGAUGCCUUUGAGCAAGAUUUUUUUCAACUGAAGCCUUAUUAUACAAAUGCAGGGUAACUUUUGUCCUGGCGUUGCUUAAAAUUGUUUAUUCAUACUCAUGGGCAUGUGCAAUUGCAGACGCUACAAGGUAUUAGACCUGAAUUGCUAGAUCAUGGGAAAGAGUUCCCAUCCUUAUUGCUUUAUUUACCAUUUUGCACUCAUCAUUUUUAUGUAAACUUACUUGAGAAUUCUUCUGGUUGAGCAGUGGCCAUAUUCCACCAUCUCCUCAAGAGUACCCCAUUUGAGGUCUCAACCUGUUGAGACUCCUUGUGCAGAAUGGAAUGGCAUAUCAAACUUGAAUUGCUUUCAUUUGCCACCCUAGAGAAUCCUUGCAUCAAGCAUGCUGUUGAGUUGGAGCAAUCUUCAUAGAAGGGGCCUAUAAUCAUGUUUUGAGUGCUAGGCAGCAGUGCCUCAUGAGACUCAUGUUUAUGUUAUGGACCUUCUGGCCAAGACAGUCAGGUAAUUACUGUGCCUUUUUGUUAAGAUGUUAAAUCGGUCAAAAGAUUUGAAGCUAGCUUCAACUGGAUACGUUUGGAUCAGAAAUCAAUAGAACUAGAUAUAUGUCUCUUCCUAUAUUUGCAACAGAAGGUAUUUUUGGAAAUGUAUAGCAUUUUUUAUGGGAUGAUUGAGCCAUAUACUUGUGUGGCUUUUUGUUGCUCUUGAAUUAGAAUACAAGAGUACGUGGCCUGUACUAAUUGCUAUCAACCAUCGCAAUAUGCAAAUAGAAGCAUGAAGUGUGACCCAUCUAGAUUUCAAGGUUUAGUCAAGUAAUGAGAUUAUCAUACUUAAAGAUUCUUUUUUGUGUGCUUACUCUGUUUUUUUUCCUUUGUACAACAGAGAUGAUAUUGCUAGAUGUAACGAAAAAGCAUAUGACUAUUUGUCAAUUAGUGAUGCAUGGCAAAUGUUGCUAUCAUCCUUUGACCAAGAACUUGCAGAGUAUGUCAAGAAGGUAAAAUUUAUAAGAGGACUUUAGAUUGAAUAUUCUACCUAGAAUUCUAUUCUAAUUGACUAAUUAAGUCAAUAGGAUAAUAUACUCUCCUACAUCAGUUCAAAUCUUCGGAGGAUCUCAUAAAACCUCUUCUAUGGAGUUGCUAGUUUAUAUCCUUUUCAAUGAGUAUGAUAAUUUAUCCUAUUCUGGGAUCAUAGACAGAUAUAAAACUUACACUUGUCACAUCUACUUGUCAUUUGGCCCUUGCUGUCACUCUGCUGGGGUCAAACUUGGCUGGUGGGUUCAGUACUAAAACCUCAUGCUUGUAAAAGUGCUGAUGUAGAUAGUAAACAGUAGAUUCAUGUCCAUGUAAAAAGCUGCAAUGUGGAGCCUGAACAUUUCUAUCUCCGUUGGAAUGCAGGAACAUCCCGAGUGGGAGACUAAGAGUGGGUUUGCAUAUUUCCAGAAGGCAAAGGAAUCUGCACCUUUGAAGGAAAUUCCAUCCCUGCAGCUUAGCAAUCAGACUUUGAGUUACGCAAGAGAGUUGGAGCGGAUUGUUUAGGACCUUCUGCCGUGCACGGUGGUUUGCAUUGGUAUUUGCACACUUCAGAGAUUCAUUAUAUUGUGCUAGUGGAGUCCUACCUUUUGCUCAUUUCGAGAGACUUGAUAUUCUUUUUAAUGUCUGUAACUUUAUUUGAUCAUUAUGAUGGAAUUUAUCUUAGCGAUCAUGUUAGUACUCAUAUCCAUGUCAUUUUUUUCGAACACAUUUUUGUAUUUGGUCAGUGGGAUAUUAUCCUUGUCUUGCCUGCUUGGAAGAAAUAGAUAUUGAAAUCAAUGUUGUCACAUGGAGAUGGACAACUUGGAGAGUGCACAUCGCUCUUAAUCAAACCCUAUGAAUAGACCAAGAUACAAUUAGGUUUAACCCGUUGUUAUAGUAGACUUGAAUCUUUGCACAGUUGCUGAUAUCAAUUGCAUAGGCCAACUAGGGUUGCUUGUGUCCAGCUCAAUUAACUUUUGAGUUCAGCGGGUUGAAGUAGUUGGUUCUCUGGCUGCGGGCUUCUGCAUACUCUUGAUUGUUGGUGCAUGGAUAUGUUUGGUUUUAGGACCACCGGUGUGUUUGCCGAUAGAGCCACAAUCUCAUGCUAAUGACGAGCAUUUCGGGCACCACUUUCCCAGAACAAUAUCUAAAUGAGCAUAGAUAGAGAUUGAACUAACUUUAUGUCUUUACUAAGAUCUCUUCCCUACACUUAAAAGAGUAGAUUAUGUAUAGUGGUGUCAUGACAAGCCUAGUAUGUCGGCCAGAGCUGGCUUAAGGGGAAAAAGACAGUUUGCGGGAUUUGGGAGCCGUGGCCAAGUGUAUUAUCCCCAACCAAUAUCUGAAGGACCAAAUUAUUAGUUCAGCACUCGAGAUUAGUAUCUCAGUAAAGAUCUAAUUUAACGAGCUGCAGCACUUGGCCCUCCAUUAGGAACUUUCCAAUUUUUGUUUGCAUGCGUGACUCAAAACCCGCAUUAAGAUGAUCUUGAAUAAAUAAAAACCAAAAUAUGAUUAUGUUCGGCUGUGGGAUCUUUGGUCAAUUAGAGGAGAACUCAAAGAACUCAGAAAAUAAGUUAAAGUGUGUAGUUACAUCAUGAGCUGACAAUAUGUACAAUCUGCUUAGCUUAGACAACUCCAAUAAUUAAUGCGGUCAGCUCUAUAAUUUCUUUUUUUCUCCUGAAGGAAAAAUUUAGCUCAAUUGGUGACUGAUAUCUGAAUCGGUCAAGGACCGACUGAACCACUAAUAUCAAAAGCUGUACAUGGACUAAACGAAUUCAUUCGAGUCUUUUUUGAGGGAAAUAGAGAGAAGUUGGCUCCCAACCGUACCAAGCGAUUUAAGGGGCACUCACCCCACAAUUAACACAUGAUCGUUCAAACCCAGCAGCACUUUUUCUUCUACUGCAUGUUCCCCAAUAUCAACUUAGUGAGAAUCGAAUACCAGUGAUUUUCCAGUUCCCAGCACUUCGUCUUUCUUAAGAUAUUUAUUUGCCAAGACUUUCCUGCUAGAGUGGGACCUGAAUGAUCCAAGGGGGAUAUAAUAAUGAGCAGAAAAGUUAUUGCCGGACUUAUAAAGAAGGGGUGCUUAGGGCCUUAUAACUUUUCUGGGUAGUGAAAUGCACUUGAAUUAGUGUGAUGCUUGGGUCAAAUAAUGAACCAUUAUCGGAAAAACAAAUGAAGUGAUUCAUGUUGGAUCAGCAAACAAAGUAGCCAGCCCACUUUAAUUUAAAGAACAGUGUCUUAAGGAUGAAACCAUCCUUAAAAGUGCUUCGGAAUGACCUGCCUCCCUAGGGAUCCGCGGACUUCAAGCCGCAAAAAACCAUCUUGGCAUUUCUUGGCCUUUUGAGUUACUUGUGUGGUGUACAAAACCUGCCAUUCUACAUGACAGGGUAGUGUCAAUCUCCAAGUAGGAGAUGCUCAGUUAAAUUAACACAAAAAUAAAGGAAGGACACCACCCUCAAAAGAACAUUCACAUUCUCAUGCGUGUCAGAAACGACUGAAGAAAAAUAAUGAAUCUGUUAUUGAAUUCGUUAAUUCCAUAACCUCAAGCUAAAAGGAGGCAGUAAAUACACAACAAUAUCAAGAACGUAGUCGGCUGGUUAAUGAAAACUUCAUUAGAAAAUCUAUUAGCAAGUAGAAUGAACAACUGGCUAAGUAAUGAAAACUUCAUAAGAAAAUGUAAGCAUAAAGGAAUAUCCGAGGAAUCCAUGUAACUCGGUUCAUUGCCCUCCUCUAUUGCAUGAAGUUCUCGUACUUAUGAGUCAUUAUUAAGUACCUAGAGCACAGUGCUAGAGCUAGGAAUAUCUCAAGAACGUAACCGGUCAAGGUGAAUUAUGGAUUUUCCAAAUGAAUGGACACACUCAGACCUUCUGUGAAGCACAAAGCUGAAAACUCAAUAGAUAGUUUUGUAUUUUCAAUGAAGCUUUUAUCUAUUAUGAAACAAAAUCUGACCUGUUACCCCUGAUAUUCUGGCAUCUAAUAUACUCACCUUUGCCCCAUUCUGAUGCAUCUAGCCAUUUUUUUUCCUUCUAAAAGAGUACUAAUGAAUAAAUGUUUCAGUGCAUCACAAACAGAAUCGGGUAAUUAUUGUAGAUCAUGCGAAACAUGAAGAGAAGGGAAUCAUGCUCCUCAACAGAAAAGAAAGAGAUAACAUGGCUAACAAUGAUGAUUUUCAAUUGUCGACUCUCUUUAUUUGGUCAAUGAAGAAAGUAUUGACUUUAAAUAAAAACAACGAAUUGAUUCAUGGCAUCUGCAAGUUCAAGGACUUAUGGAAAUCAUCCCACAUCUCAUGAACAUCCCCUGGACUUGUAUCCUUAAAGCUCCGAAUCACGAUGUAUUUGCAAUGUAUUUUGGUGAGUAUGGAGUAUCACCCAAUUUCAUCAAUUGCAGAGCAGCUGGAUGAUAGGGUCGAUGGGAUAUAAACAAUGAGGGAGAAAAUGUUAACAAUCUAUUGGGAGUUCAAGACUUUAGGCUAGGAGGUAAGGCAAAUUACCUUCAUAUAAAGACUAAACAGGAAAAAUAAACACUUUAUAGAACACCAGGAAAUGGAUAAAAUUGAACUGUAUUCCAGGUACCUUUUAAAGCAGAUUUAAAAUUAGUAACAUUAUGCUGCUGCUUUUGCAUAUUUAAUUUGUGAAGAGAAUUGAAACUGUUUCCACAUGCAUUUAGAUCCCUCAAAGAUUCAUGGUUUGCUUCACUGUUGCCAACUUCAACUAAAUGACCAGGAAAUUCCAUCAUCUCCCCAGGGCUUCCUUCUUCAGCUUUGUUCAUGAACCUGCCAUCUAAAUGUUUCCAGCUCAUAUCAUACAAGAAAACCUGGUAAAAGACCCAAAUAAGAUUUCAAUCAUCUAAGCCAUAUUUAUGCUGACAAAUUUUUUUCACUAAUCUGUUGAGAAAGGUAUACGUCAUGAAGAGGAAAACCAACUCAUAAAGGAAGGAAGAGCUGAAAUUUAAUCCAGCAACAAGAUAGCUGGUAUCAUUUAAGGGUAAAAAUCAGAAGGAGAUGUAGACUGUAGAGCUUGACCUGCCUAGUCAUAGAUCCACUGCUCGUACAACGUAAGAAGCCAUCAUGAUAUUUCUUCGACUUUUGAGUUAAUUGAGUUGUAUACAAAACAUAUGAAUCUACAUCAAAAGGAAUAUCAUGUCAACUCCAGUGCCGAGACAACAAUAACACUCUCGAAUAAACCACAUAGAGAACAUUGAGACCAUUUUUCUAAGGGAAGUUUGGAUAUAUGCUAAAAAGCUCCAAUGAUUUUCAAGAGAAGCCACGAAAAUAUAUGAAACCACCUCGAUUGAGAAGACUUGAUAUACCAAGCAUCGGAGUUGAGAGAAUCUUUAUUGAUCUUGAAAAGACUCUGUAUGUAAUACAAAGAUGUGCAGAAAAUGUAUCCCAAAGAAAAUCAAGAACGGAUUGACAAUCCAGGAGAUACAUCAAGAGAAAGACACGGCCUGGCAUGGCCAUAGAUGAGUCAGCAAAAGUCCAAACUCACCUGUCAUGCUUGAUGUCCUCGAGUUCGGACUCGCCUGCAAUAUGCCAUACCUGUUCAUUUCGUUCUUUUUGAAUUCUAGAAAUCGAAAAGCAAAAGAAAAGGCAUGCUAAGUUGUUGUAACCAGCAUUUGCAUGCAAUUAAGAGAGAGUUAGAUUAUGUAGGAAUUCAUCGCCAACCUCCAAUAAUUUUCUGUGAUGGGCUGAGGCUGAUUGUCUGCUGUUUAUCCUUCUGCACUUUGGUCUUCUCAUUUCUUAAAAUGUAUGCGAAGUGGAUUAUACAAUAACACCAGUAGACAAUCACAACAUUGCGAGUGUACAAGAAUGAGUUGUCAAAUUUCAAACCAAUAGAGACACCAGCAUGAAGAACAGACAAUACUGGCACAAUCAGAUACGUUCACUAACUUGUUUCUGUGAAGGGAAGUUGUUCGCUUAGGAACUUUCUAUGCUCAGCUGUGAAUAUAAGUAUCAUUAAGAGGCUUUUGCCCUCCUUCAGGCUCUCCAACGUCAACCAAAUAAGCACUGAACGUCAGUGUCUCGCCGGAACAAACAACUUCAUCAUUCUUCAAGAUCCUGCAUUCCAACAUCUGCUCGCUGUCGCUGCAUGACCUGUCGAAUCAUCCAACCAUCAAUUACGGCAUGGCCUAGUCCACUCAGAACACGCUCGAUCAAGGGGAGCACAACGACCGAAACCACAGAAACAGAAACAAUCGAAAUCCUAAGGAAUUAUUAGCAUAUAUAAUACUAUAUUUGUUUGUAAUUUUGACAAAUGUAUUCAUUUUGCAGUUGCAAGUCGUAUGUCAUAGGUUUUAGUCUCCCCUAGGUUAUGCUAUCUUUUUAAGAAAUUAUUAGCAUAUAUAAUACUAUGUUUAUUUGUAGUUUUGACAAAUGCAUUCAUUUUGUAGUUACAAGUCGUAUGUCAUAAGUUUUAAGGGAGAUGCUAUCUUAUUAAGGAUUUAUUAGCAUAUAUAAUACUAUGUUUGUUUGUAGUUUUGACAAAUCCUUUAGCUAUACAAUCGUGCGGUUUCUGGAAAUUUAAAACUCGAUUUCCUCCAUAAAUUCUCUGAUCUAAAUGGCAGAGAAGUUUCCAUAUUUAUACAUUUUCUUGUUGGAGGGGCAACCGUCCGUUGAACUACCAAAGAAAAAAAGGGUAAACCAAUGUGAUCAUGACAUUGUAGGUGCUUGCGAUGGGACGGAUGCAACUUCUCGUUCUUGCUUUGGGUGGCAUAGCCCGUUGCAGAAGUCCUCCUUUUGUUUGUAGUUUUGACAAAUGCAUUCAUUUUGUAGUUGCAAGUCGUAUGUCAUAGGUUUUAGGGGAUAUGCUCUUUUCUUAAGGAAUUAUUAGCAUAUAUAAUAUUAUGUUUGUUUGUAGUUUUGACAAAUGCAUUCAUUUUGCAGUUGCAAGUCGUAUGUCAUAGGUUUUAGGGAAAAUGCUCUAUUCUUAAGGAAUUAUUAGCAUAUAUAAUAUUAUGUUUGUUUGUAAUUUUGACAAAUGUAUUCAUUUUGCAGUUGCAAGUCGUAUGUCAUAAGUUUUAGUCUCCCCUAAGUUAUGCUCUCUUCUUAAGAAAUUAUUAGUAUAUAUAACACUAUGUUUGUUUGUAGUUUUGACAAAUACAUUCAUUUUGCAGUUGCAAGUCGUAUGUCAUAGGUUUUAGGGGAGAUGCUCUCUUCUUAAAGAAUUAUUAGCAUAUAUAAUACUAUGUUUGUUUGUAGUUUUGACAAAUGCAUUUAUUUUACAGUCGCAAGUCAUAUGUCAUAGGUUUUAGGGGAGAUGCUAUCUUUUUAAGGAAUUAUUAGUAUAUAUAAUACUAUGUUUGUUUGUAGUUUUGACAAAUGCAUUCAUUUUGCAGUUGCAAGUCGUAUGUCAUAGGUUUUAGUGGAGAUGCUAUCUUAUUAAGGAAUUCUUAGCAUAUAUAAUACUAUGUUUGUUUGUAGUUUUGACAAAUGCAUUCAUUUUGCAGCUACAAGUCGUAUGUCAUAGGUUUUAGGGGAGAUGCUCUCUUAUUAAGGAAUUAUUAUCAUAUAUAAUACUAUAUUUGUUUGUAGUUUUGACAAAUGCAUUCAUUUUGCAGUCGCAAGUCAGAUGUAAUAGGUUUUAGGGGAGAUGCUCUCUUCUUAAGGAAUUAUUAGCAUAUAUAAUACUAUGUUUGUUUGUAGUUUUUACAAAUUCAUUCAUUUUGCAGUCGCAAGUCGUAUGUCAUAAGUUUUAAGGGAGAUGUUAUUUUCUUAAGGACUUAUUAUCAUAUAUAAUAUUAUGUUUUUUUUGUAAUUUUGACAAAUGCAUUCAUUUUGCAGUUGCAAGUCGUAUAUCAUAGGUUUUAGUCUCGCAAAACAAUCCAUGUGCGGAUUCAUUUAGUGCGAUGGAAGUACGGAAUUGCUCGGUUUUGGAUGGGGGUUAGUUAUCAGAUAAUAAAAACGUAGAAGCUUAAUUUUUUCAAUGAAAAAACGCGUCAUCAUUUUUUUCCUUAAAAAGAGAAAUCGAAGUUGACGGGCUUUAAACUCCAUUCCAUCUUUCUCCCAUCUUCUCCACCAAGUUCUCGUUCGGGGACGCCUAAGUUAAAGUUGGCCAUUUUUGGACUUGUAGAGGUUUUCUCUACAAGUAAGUGCAAAAAUGGCAUCCGAAGUUAGACUACGGUUAAGGAGGGACUCCAACUCCAGGCAUUUAAGAGAGCAUUCCCACGGCUUUUGGAGUUGACAUACGCAAGGGAAGAAAAAUAGGAGGGGAGAAACAGGGGCAGAGGGGUGCGCCUUCAAUUUCGUCGCCGCCCACCGCCGGAAUGACGAAGCCAUUGGUUGCGCUCCUGCUUGUUUGCUCCUUUUUCAUGAGUAGCUGCCUCGGAGGCACCUUGAAGAAGAUGCACGUGGAGAUCCAGAACAGUUUGUCGGCCGGAACCACUCUCACCGUCCACUGCAAAUUGAAGGACGACGAUCUGGGAACCCGUCAAGUGAUGGACAGCUGGGAGUUCUCCUUCAAACCCAGCCUCCUCGUCAGAACCUUAUUCUUUUGCAGCUUUUCGUGGCCCAGACGGUUUGAACACUUUGACAUAUACAUGUAGUCAAGAGACGUGGUCUGAUGCAACGAGAACGCCAUGUGCGCCGAGGGCGAAUGCACUGUGUGCGCUUGGAAGAUCUUUCCUGAUAGUCCAUGUAGGCUCGGGGAAGAAUUUGAUGCUUGUUAUCACUGGAAUGUUUGUACCUAAUCUUCCCCCUUCUGCGAAUGUAUGUAAUCCCCAACCUCACAAACAAAUUCUUCAUUAUAUCUGUUAAUAGUCAUAUGAUAAGUACUGGUGCUGUCAACUGUCAAAAACAGGGGAAGUUGUUGAUGGAGUUACUACUAGUGCGGCCGAGAACAGAGGAAGGAAAGCUGGUGUUGUCGAGACCAGAGGAAGGAAAAUAACGUGUAGCAUGUUUAUAUUGGUUUUAAGCAUGUAAAGUCGAACUUUCUGUUUUGCUUUAUGUUUUUCAUCUCUCUUUGUGUGUUCAUAAAUUAAGGGGAGAGAAGGAAGAAGGUAGAUGAUUAUAACAGGUGUACAGCUAAAGCUCGUCAAUCACAUGUCCAGUCUGAUGCAAGUAGCUGUUGUAAACAAAAGAUAGUAAAAAUGUCAAUUGCUUCAGUUUCUUCCUCCAUGCCUCGUUCCACUGCUCUCUCCCUUCUCUCUUAGUCGAAUUUUCUGUUUUGCUUUCUGUUUUUUGUCUCUCUCUCUCUGUUCAUAAAUUAAGGGGAGAGAAGGAAGAAGGUAGAUGAUUAUAAUGGGUGUACGGCCAAAGCUCGUCAAUCAUGUUUCCAGUCUGAUGCAAGUAGUUGUUGUAAACAAAAGAUAGUAAAAAUGUCAACUGCUUCAGUUUCUUCCUCCAUGCCUUGUUCCGCUGCUCUCUCCCUUCUCUCUCCUUCGCCACACUCGGCUUAACAUUGGACGACGGGCCUCUAAGAAUUGGGCCUCCCAAUCCGUACCCGCAUCCGUUUACAAUUCCAACAAAAUUAUUGUCAGAGCGGGUAGAGACAGGCUUGAGCUGCCCUGUCAAGACACUGCAAAAGAGAUGGGCUGAAAAAGAAAUACAUAAAUGGGCUAAAGGAAAAAAAAAGAAAAGAAGAAGAUGGGCCUAAGGAAUUAAAAGAUGGGCUUGACACACCGGCCUGCUCGAUUUUUUUUUUUUUCAUUUUCAUCAUUUUUCUUUUUAUAUAUCACUUUCCUUCAUUUUUAUUUCCUUUUCAUUUGGUCCAUUUUUUAUGUUUUUUUUUUGGCUUCUUUUCUUUUAUCCUUUUUUUAUAUAAUUUCUUAUAGUUUUAUAAAAUAAAUGGAUACAUAAAAUGUUGACAAAAAUUUAUGUGUCAACAAGUGACUAAACAUAAAUUUGUUAUGGAAACCAUUUAUUUUGCAUAUUUGUAGUAGUUGAAGAAACAAAUCUAAUAAUAUCCAAGAAAGAGAAAUUCAUGAGGAAUUGACUACCAAUUUUAGACGUGGAAAUUGGUCCAAAAUUAAAAUAUUGAUACCAUGUAAUCAAAUGUUGGAAAUUUACAUAUUGUAAAUAAAAAUAAAGUCUUUUACUUAUACCAUAAAUGGGAAAUCCUUGGUGCACUAUCAUAACCAUGAUAUUCAAAAAAUUCAUUGAUGUACUUGGUUACGAUAAAACUUUGUCUACCGUCUUCACAAAUUACUUGAAAGUUUUGAAAAUAUCGAAAUAUCAAAUAACAUAGUUUACAAUUAGUCCAUUUAUGUAAUCUUGAAGGGUACAAUUCAUUCGUUUUUUACUCUCUUUAAAUUUUACGAGAUCAUCUCUUUUACUUUUAUUUAUUACAAAAUAUUUGGAAAUCUUCAAAAUAGUGAAUAUCAAAUACUGAACCAUGCAUUGAUUUAUUUUCAGAACUUAGAGAAAUUAAGUCUUUACUAUAUAUAGAAAUUUUGGCUGAGAACAGCAAAUGGAUGAUGGCUUCCACGUCUGCCUCUGGUUACUUUUCAUUUGAUUUGGAGGAGCUUUUGGCGUGAGUCAUUUUUGAGACUUCAUUCAUGUCAUGAGUUAUGCGUUGGAACCUUCUACCUUAAUUGUCAUUUUUGGGACUUUAGUGUCACAAGAAGCUUUUAAUGGAAAGAGGGAUUAUGAUACUUGCACCCCCGUAUGAUCCAGAGAUCAUAAGCACGUCCCUUCUGGAGGGUCCCUUAACAAACCCUUUGAGAAAUCAAGUAAUUGCUGCUUGAAUUUUUUUAUUUUUUUUAAUUUUUGGGUUGAAAAGAAAGGGUACAUUGAGUUAUUACUUCCCAUCUUUUUUUUUUAGUAUGAAAAAAGUCAUAAAAAAAACUCCAACUUUACCCGCUAAAAUAUAUUUAUCCUAAACUAUUUUUUUAUGACGCCAAAAACCUUAAACUUGCACCAAUGUAACACAUUUAUCACAAAUUUUUUUAAUGACACCAAAAUCCCAUAUUAUGCCCAUGUGACACAUUUAUCCCUAAUUUUUGAAUUAAAUAUAUCACACAGGCAAAAGUUUAGAAACAACAAGUUUUAAGUAGUCCAUGAUAAGAAGGCACUCCUCCUAGUCCCAAUUGAUGUAAUCUGAUCUGUAGACCCGCUUAUCAGAGCUUCCAGCAUGGUUGGACUCAUGUAGCAAAAAGUUCACAUAUCUAUGUCUUCACUCGAAGUUGCAAGUUGGAACACUUCAAGUAUGGCAAAGCCCGUAACAAUUCGACCAGCAUGAUCUCUACAAAUGCUAGUUACGGUGCCAUCCCCAGCGGAACCCUAGUCUGCGAUGUGAUAAAGGUGGGCACUUUCCUUGUUUAUGAUGCAUGAGAGUUCCAUUUUCUAUAAUUUGCUUGCAGGAAAUAUGAUGAUUCUAGAGUCAUUGCGGAAUAUUCGCUCUGGCUCGAAACACAGAGUCACGGUUAGGGGUGAGCAUGGUCCGGGUUGGUCCGGGCCACCCCCUAACCCUAGGACUAAUCCGUACAGUGUUGGUCCUUAGUUUUUAGGACCGAGGACCGACCCUAUUGAGCUUGGGACCAAGGACCGGACCAACCCAAUGGAUUCGGUCCGGUUCCAGGGUCAACCCGGGACCGAUCGAUAAUUUUUUUUUUGUAUACUCCCUAAAAAAGCAAACCUAUGAAUUCAAAUUACACAUCUAUCGACAAUGCGGCAUUGUGCAACUAAACUAUAAAUACCAAUACAUAUUUAGCAAAUUUAAGAUGACACAAUAAUAUAAAUUUCAUACCUGCUAACCACUCAUCGAGAUAUGGAACAACAUGUAAAGUUUUUAUAAUCAUCUAUCUUUAAUAUUCAUAACAUUCCUGCGUUUGAUCAUGUAAAGUCCACUCAACCAAAAAAUGAGCUUCACAUCACUUGACUAGCAAAUCACCGUAGUAACUGCUGUACUACUCUACUCUUCAAAAACUUCUACCAUUUGAUAGAAAUUGAAAAAUAAAGUGCAACUGAAAUUCAUUAGUAAAAUACAAUUAAAUCAUAAAAAGUUUAAAAUACUUAAUAUAAACUAUGAAUAUAUAACUUUACAUCUUGUUAAUUCACUUGAACUUCUAAAAAUCUAAAAACAAAACAAACGACACAUAAUUGAUACUCAACAAAAGUUUUAAAUUAAAAUUACUAUUAGUGCUAUUGAUAGAACAUCCCAAUAUAAUAUAAUAUAACAUAUAUUUUACUUAUGUUUGAAUAUAUAAAAGAAUGAUAUAUAAUAUAAUAUAAUAUACAUGGUUGGUCCAGGGUUGGACCGACCAAAAACUCUUAGGAUCGAGGACCAACCCGCACAGUGUUGGUCCUAGAAUUUCAGGACCAAGGACCGACCCAGUCCCCUUGGGAACCGGACCAGGACCGGCAGGAUUGGGCCGGUCUAGGGUCCGUCCAGGGUCAACCCUAGACCACUGCUCACCCCUAGUCACGGUGGGAUAUCCAGCGGUUGAAUAUUUGCUUUGGCUUUGGCGUAGUGUAGUUCCAUUCCCCAUCAAGAACUGUAACUUCAAAGAAUUUUUACUUGGCCAUGUUCCCAAUUUUCUUGUAAAAAUGUAUUUAUGAUCUUCUCAAUCUUUUGAAUCAUCAGCGAUUCAGCAGUGUAUUAUUGGAAGCCUCGAGGAUUUAUAGCUAAGUUUAGCUAUUUUCUGUUGAUUGCCCAGAUGAGUGAUAAUUAAUGAAGUUGAGUUCUCUAUACAUUUUUGCUUAGAGAACUAGAGAGUUCUUUCGGACAGAACGUCUGCCACAUGCACAAAAGAAAGUAGAAACUUCAAGCAAUUUUACCUUUCUAUAUCUGCUACUUCAUCAACAGAGUACUAUUCAAUCAAAGGCAAAGACUAGGUUUUGAGGAGCAUCCGGUAAGAAACUAUUGUACUUGGUUGCCGCUAGAAAAUUCUUGAUCUUGCCUUUGCUAAUCAGUCAUUUCUCUUUAGGUUAAUUAGAAUACUGGAGGUCGUUAACAUCACCUUCAAACAGAUGCAAAAGACUCUCCAGAUGAUUUGCACUACUUGGCUAUGAAUUCAUUUAGCCGAAUUACUUGACUAUGAAGACAUGAAGAAAACCUAGAUGAGAUUCCUCUUACAGAAAAGUUGCAUCAUGUGUUUCAGCUCCAAUCCUUGCAGAAAACACAAGCAAACUGGAAACUGCCUAUUAAGCUUCUUAUGAGAUUGUCGAUAAUAUGGCCAAAAGGAACAAGAAGAGAACUUGUACUGCCUCGAAGAAGGUGAAGCUUCUUGCCUUCUUGGUAAUGUACACGCACAAAAAUUUCCAUAAUAUACCUGAUUGCCCCCAGAAAAACUAAACCUUGAUUGAACUGCCUCAAAGAAGCUUUCAAGUGAUGGGGACUUCUUAUUCAACUAAAUAACAUGAAAGCAUGAAGUCUAGAGACUUGGUCAGGAGGGUACAAAAUCUGGUUUAUCUACCCUUUUGAUGAAUAGGAUUAAUCAUGGCUGGCUCACGUUCUAAACCUGCCAAUUGAUUCAGAGACUGCUUACGUUGUGGAUGCAAUUGAAAAAACUUAUGUACAACGUACAAAAAUGUAGAUGCGACCCCCCUAAACAUCUUCUGUGAUCCACAGAAUUUAAAAAGGAAUCUGCCAGUUGGCCUAACAUGCCUUACUUUCCAAUUCAAGGAAACAUCAGUCCUGAACAGAGGAAGGCAUGUAGCAAAUCAGGUGGAUGUGUGUGUUUUACAAUGGAUAACUACGACUACAUACUUCAACUUGCACUCAGGGCCAUGGAAAAAAGAUCAGCAGCAAGAAUCUACCUAAUCUCUUGAUACAGACUAAAACAAUAUUAUGCUAUCACUACAAUCUUAUUCUACUCGACAGAAUCAACUCCUCAAAAUGCUUCACCACUUUCAGCUCCAAUUCAAGCCUCUGUGGACCUAGGCUCGGGCAGCAUGGGCUUGAGGAAACCAUAUUUUAACAACCUCUCAUGGGGACUUGAGGAAACCAUAUUUUAACAACCUCUCGUGGGGACUUGAGGAAACAAUGUUCAAGUUUUUCUUUUGAUCGAUAACCUGCCUUCUGUCUUCCAUAAUCUCUUGGGCAUUCUAAGUGGAAUGUAUCGAGUCCAGGAUCUUCUCUAGAAUUUUGCUGUUGUUUUGGAGGUUUCUCUGUUCUUAUUGGUGGUCAAUUGCAGAUUGCAAUUGCAGGCACUCCUUGCUCCUGCAAAAGCCAUUGCAACUAAUGCAGGAGUGGAUGGCAAUAUUAUAGUAGAGUCAAUUCCGAACAUGUGAUUGGGAAAUCAGUUACAAUGCAAUGAUGCGAAAAUGUGAAGAUCUUCUCGUUGCUGGAGUUAUAAAUCCAUGCAAGGUUUCAUGCUGCACGCUACAAAGUGCAGUCUCCAUUGCAGGGAUAGUCCUGACUACCGAAGCGAUAUUGAUGUAGAAAACAAAAACGCCCAGGCCACCCGUUCCACUUUUGCCCAGGACAACACCUUAAAAACGAAUGAGCGGAUGCUUCAUUGCUCAAGAUAAAUACCAAGUCAAAGCACUCCUUGAUAAAUAUAUAUCUGUGCUUCGUGGAUGCGUGCUUUUCCAAAUGAAGAUGGGUACGAUAUGUUUCAGAGAACUGGAGAGGUGUAAUCUCACUUAUCUAGCUGGUCUUCAAGAUCCGCAGUCAUGAUUGAAGAAACUGAGGUUGGAUAGUGAAAGCCAGAUAGUUUCUCUGAAAUGCUUAAUGGUAGUCACAUUUCUACAAUCUGAGGAACAUGUGAAAAUCUCUGUCAAAUAAAUAUUGUUCAAAAAAGUGUUCUUCAGCCAAUGCUCUCCAGUGUCUUAUAAUUUUGUACUUUCUUUUAAGACCGAACAAUGCCUUGUACUGUGAAGAUAGUUAUUGUGCUAUUUUCAUCCAAAAAAGACAAUCCUCAUGAGUCUGAUACCCUUAUAAGAAGCUUUAGCAGCAUCACAAGCAUUGAGGAAGGUGCAUUGGUGGCUAGAGAAAUCGGCAAGCAUCAUUCCCAUGGCUUGCCUACUAGUGACACGUGAUGAACGCAUUUGUUUUCACCCACGUCGUUGUCAUUGCCAUUUUGCAAAGUAAUGUAAGGGGUAUGUCAUCAGUUGCAUCAGAUGAAUAAUCAAAAGGGGAAAAGAUAAAAUGAAACAGGUUUCUCUAGGAUUAGUGCUCCACAGAGCUUUACUUAUUUCUGGAUUGUAGGUGAUGACGCUGGAUUUCGAUUGCCAUUUGUCACCAUUAGCCAGAGUCAUCGAUUUCGACUUCUGUUUUCAUUCCCAAAUUGUCAAAGCACUAGUGAUAGCGGGAAGAUGUUCCCGUCUUCUCCUGAACAAACUCUCUGCUAAGCCAGAAGGAACGAGUAGACUGACUAGAUUGGUGCUGCUAUGUCAUAGUAGAGAGUUUAUUUGCAACCCGGGAAACUGCAUCUAAUCGACAUUCAUUCAUCAAUCACAGUACCGCAAGAUACAAAAAUGAAAAAGGAUUCAAAAGCCAUUGUAAUCUCAUGAGUACAGAAAAGAUAUACAAGUAAAAUGUGGGUUUCAAACAGUACAUCAAGUCGCUCUCUCCUUGUUCUCAAACAACCCUCUGUAUGUAAAUCAUCAUGGUAGGGGCAGAUUGAAUUCGUAGUUGAAUGUCAGAUCCAGAUGCCUUCAUUCCUUCAUUUAUAGCUCGAACAUGAUCUUUCAGUGACGUUCUAGAGUUAAUCAAAUGAAUUGUGCCAGCAGCCUACCAAUAAUCCCCGUAGGAGCACACCCCAUCUUUGAAAUGGUGAAAAUGAUUCAUAUCCUGAACGAGGAUCUCUCUCUUUGUAUACCGGGAAAUGAAUUUCGUCAAAGAGUGCCAGUCUUCACACAACCUUAAGUUCUUGGUAAUCCAUAUCAUCUCCCCCUUAGCGCUGUCGAUGAGUCCAAAGGCCACAGCUAGUUUUUCACUGUGCCCCAACAAAAUGCGUUCCUUCUUACAUCGAGACUGUGAUGCACAUUUCCAGUUUGUGGCACGUGGCCAUCUUCCUUUAUCUCCAUCGACAACUUCAGCAAUAAGGAAUGAAGCUGCUCAAUCUGUGGAUUCAAUUCAUUGACUGAAGCAAAGGGAUAUAUCCUCCUUUUGACUUCAAUCCAACUGCAACCGGGGACCUUUUGCAGUCUCCAAGCUUCUAAAGUUCCUUCACUCUUCUCACCUCAUCCCACAUCUCGGCCUCCGUUUAGAUGUUGGCUAGGAGAACAUAAUUCCCAGCAUUUGUGGGUUCGAGCUCAAAAAAUCAAUGAUGACGACAUUAGAAGAGAAAUACAUGUGGUGCAUGAAUCUCGAUUUAAAAGAUAACAAAGAUGAUUCUUAUUCCAUCUAAAUUGAGAAUUAUGAGUUCUCUAUCAGACAUUCACAUAAGAGGUUUCAAAUUCCAUGGAUAACAAGGAUCAUAUUCUGGGGAGUCUACCCUACAAGGACCAUCGGGCAAGAUAUUCCAAAUACACUGUUCGCAAUAAUGCCAGUCCCUCUUCUCCUUGUAUAUAUCAAACCACUCAAAUCGAGCCGGUCAUGAAAAGCUGCAAAAGAACAAUGUGUCUUCGAAGAAAUUGGUUGUGAAUGAGAAUGACCAGCUUUCCUUUAUAUCGUGGACUCCAAGAUUGACGUCCUUGGAUUUGCAAUGAACUCUUAGAAUAGCACCAUCCCCCAAACGGUUAUUGAUCAAAACAGUUGCCUCGCCCAUAACAAUUCCUGGACAGCUAGCUACAAAUAAAAACCAAAUGAAUGUAAGUGUGGCUAAUGUCUUCAUCAUCGUGGCUUACAGUGUUCAGAUAUCAACAUCUUAAAGCAAUUUAAGGAUGGAGAAUGGAGCACGUUAGAGCUCACCAGCUGGCAGCAACCAUAUUUCUUUCUUAAUUUGACACAAUUAAUUGCGGAAAUAAUUCAUAUUUUUGUUUUUAUCUACUCUGAGAUAAGAAUUGUCACAUAAGGUAAGUUACAAAUCGAGUUUUUGUUUGAUAACAAAAUCUUUCGCAAGGAAACCAUUGCACAAUUCCAUUUUGAUUAUGUAACAAAAAUUAUCAAAUAAUCUUUAAUAAAUAAAUUUCAUGGUACGGACCAAACAAAUUUAACUUUGAUGGUAGCUCUGAAUAUCUCUAGAAUUAUUUGUAAGUUCUACGCCAAAUCCUUUGCAAUUAGGGAUCCAACUAUCAUUUUGCUAAAAUAGAACCAUUGUGCAAUCUCGUUUUGAUGUUGUGAAAAGAGAAAUGCUUAUGUGAUAGUACUUGAGAUCAACAGUUUGUUUUAAGUCAUGAAAAAACAGAUAACAAAUAAUUAAAAAUUAUUGCGUGAUCGGGUACUUCAAGAGUUUAUGACUUACAACCUACUGUUAUUCUCAUAGUGGCCUAAAGGCUAUUUUGCUAGCAAAAGCUGUUGUGAAAAAAAAAAAUCUGGUCGGUCAUUAUGAAAAAAAUUCAAAUGGUCCUUGUAUGCCAAAUCUUUUGCAAUUAAGAUUGAUAGAUUGUAAUUGUCUUGUUUAAAUGCCAAAAGGAAACGGUUGUAUAAUCUCAUUUUGAUUUUAUAAAAAAUUGAUCCAAUGAUCCUUUUUAAAUAACUUUUAUGGUAGCUUUCAAUAUCUCUAGAAUUAUUUAUAAGUUUUAUGUCAAAUCUUUUGCAAUUAGAAAUCUAGCAAUCAUUAUGCUAAAGGAAACGGCCGCACCAUCUCAUUUUGAUCUUGUGAAAAAAUUGAUCAAAUGAUCCUUUUAUGCCAAAUCAUUUGCAAUGAGAGAUUGAUAAACAGUAAUUGGCUUGCUUAAAUGCUAAAAGGCAACCAUUGCACAAUCUCAUUUUGAUUUUGUGAAGAAAUUGAUCAAAUGGUCUUUUUAUGCCUAAACUUUUGCAAUUAGAGAUUGAUCAAUGGUAAUUGGCUUGUUUAAACGCUAAAAGGAAACUAUUGCACAAUCAAUUGUUGAUUUUGUAAAAAAAUUGAUCAAAUGAUCCAGAAUAAAUAGCUUUAAUCAUAGCUCUUAAUAUCUCUAGAAUUUAUUUGUGAGUUCUAUGCCAAAUCUUUUGCAAUUAGGGAUCUGGCUGUCAUUUCGUUAAAGGGAAACCCUUGCACAAUCUUAUUUUGAUUUUGUGGAAAAAUUUAUCGAAUGAUCCUUUUAUGCCUAUUCUUUUGCAAUGAAGAUUGAUAACCGGUAAUUGGCUUGUUUAAAUGCCAAAAGGAAACCAUUGCACAAUCUCAUUUUGAUUUUGUGAAAAAAUUGAUCAAAAUGAUCAUUUUAUGCUAAAUAUUUUGCAAUUAGAGAUUGAUAAACAGUAAUUGGCUUGUUUAAAAGCUAAAAGGUAACCAUUGCUCAGAACCAUAAGUGGACCACAUCUAAUCUAAGCCUGAGGAUGUCAGUUUCACAAGAAACAAAAGGCUAUUCAAGUAUUAUAAUGAACUGACAAUUAUGCCCUUUCUUAUAAAAGUUUACAAAAAGAAUUUUAUGUUAAUUUACAUUGUAUUGUAUAUUUAAAAGUUUUGUACUGAGUUAAAUAAAAUUCUAAUUGAGCGUGGUGUAAAGUUCGAAAAAAAAAUCUGUAACAAGUUAAAAAUGAACAUCAUUCCAAGCAAAUCCAAAGAUGCUAAUGAGAGCAAAAAAAAAAAAAAAAAAUAGACAUUAAUUAUCACAAAGUUGUUUGCGUUUUCUCUCAUUUAAUUAAGCCAUGCAUGAGAUAUUAUACUUGAUUUUUAGCUGAUCGUAUUUGGCAAUUCUUAUCUAAAAGCAAUAAAGAAGAAAUGGCAAAUCUCAUGCAAGAGUAAAAAGGAAAGAAUUUUAAACGUAAUAUGGAAAUUCUUAUCCCAGACUAUAAAUGAAGGAAAGAAAAAAGAGGUCAUAUUCAUAUAGCAAUCCUUUUCCCAUACUGACGUCUGCCAAAAAGGAAAAAAACAAAACUGAUAUCACAAUUCUCCUCCCCAGAAAAGAAGAAGAAAAAUAAAAGGUAAAAGAUGGUUGCGGAUGCUCUAUUCUCCAUCUUUAAAUAUUUGAAUGGUGAUGAUAUUGGAGCAAUGUAGUUAAUCUCACAUGACAAUUUUUAUACCAGUGUAAAAACGAAAGAAUAUAAAAAAUAAGAUGGAACCGAAAAUGUGAUAUGGGAAUUCUUAUCCCAAACUCUAAAAGAAGGAAAAAAAAUAAAAUAAAAGAGCUAAUAUUGCAAUUCUUUUCCCAUAGUGGCGUCUGCCACAAAGGAAACUUCGAUAAAUGGAAAAAAAAAUGAGGAAAAAAUAAUAAUACUAAUGUCGCAAUUCCCGUCCCAAAGUAAAAUGGAAGAAAAAUAAAAGGUAAUAGAUCUGAUAUGCCCCUUUCUUCAUCUUUAAAUAGCUUAAUGGUUUUGAUAUCGAAGCAUUUACGCCACAAUGAAGACAUUAACUACGCUCAUAUUUAUUUGCUCCCUAUUUGUAACUAGAUGUGUCGGAAAAAGCAUUUGGAAAAAGACGUAUGUCGAGAUGAAGAGCAAUAUGGCGGAUGGAAUUACUGUGAGAGUCCAUUGCAAAUCGAAGCAGGACGAUCUCGGAUUCCAUGAUGUUACGACGAGGAGGAGCUGGAGUUUCUCAUUCACACCCAAUUUCUUUGGGAAUACGUUGUUUUUUUUUGUAGCUUUUCAUGGCCCGGUCAAUUUCAUUUUCGACAUAUAUGACCAAAACAGGGACGAAAUGCAAUGCUCCACUUGUAUUGGGAAGAUUUCGCCCGAUGGUCCUUGUUUGCUUGAUAAGAUGACCAGAGGUUUCACAAAAUGUUCUCCUUGGAAUCCUCCUUCACAGAUGGGGAGAAAACCUCUUACAUGAAUGUAUGAUGGAGAAAAAUGAUGUGGCGAAUUGCCAUGUCGUGAUUUGGAUGGAAUAAGAUCACCUUUAUUAAUUUUUUUUUAUCUCUUCUAAUUUCCUCAUCAUUUUGAUUUCGAUUUGCAACUCUUUCUCUCUUCGUUUUGUCUCAUUAAUACAUUGAUUUGUUCUACACUAGAAUGUCUUUGCUUAGACACCCUUCUACUUUGGUUCAAUUGUAACAUGAACCCUGUAAAUAUACAUAAAACCCUUCUUCCAAUCACGAAUCAUGGUUCCUUAGCAGAAAACCUUUCUUUCGAUCAACUCAACUGGAAGAAGAGGUAUGAUAUCGCAGUGGGAUCAGCCAAGGGGCUUGCUUAUCUUCACGAAGAGUGCUUGGAAUGGGUUCUCCAUUGUGACUUGAAGCCAUAGAACAUACUCCUCAAUUCUGAUUACCGACCAAAGGUGGCGGAUUUUGGGCUCUCUAAGCUACUUAACAGAGAGGGCCUUAAGAAUACAAGUUUCUCGAGAAUCAGAGGAACAAUGGGUUACAUGACUCCUGAAUGGGUUUACAAUAUGCGUCUGAUCCAGUCUUGUUAAUGCACAAUUGAUCUAGCAUGGUUUAGAUCGGUAAACAUAAAGGUGCCAUGAACGCACGAGAUGAUACACUUCUUCUUAAUAACAAAUUAUUGACUAGAUAAAAUAGAUACAAUUUGUAAUUUCUGUUGACCCUCGAAUUUUUGUCAACGUUUUAAAUAUCAAUUUAUUUUGCAAAAAUAUAUAAAAAGGUAAAAAUAAAAAAAAUAGAAAUUCGAAAAAAAAAUGAAUGUAAUAGAAUGAAAAGUCGGGUCCAGUAGGCUUCCAAUGAAUUUUCGGCCCUUUCAAAAGUUAAGCCCAUCUUCCCAUUCAUUUGUUCCUUUUGGCCCACUUUUUCCCCCUCUCCGUUGAGCCCAUCUCUUUACUUGAUCUUCAAGAUGACGAUACUAAUAAAAAGCUGACAAGUGCAAAGACUUUGCCACCUCACUUUUCAUUGGGUUCACAGGAUCUUUUGCAAAACCGCACUUUCAUUGGAUUUGCAUGCACAGUGGACCACAGCGAAUGCUUUAGACUUAUAUAGACGAUGCACGACAUAAGUUAGAGUUGGUUUUGGUGAGAAAGAUUAAAUGUCAUUCAGUUGCUGAAUUGAAUGUGGAAGCCCCACAUCACCGGACUUCCUAAAGAACUCUUCAGUACUUAAUGAGCGUGCUGUUAUUAUAAGUAUGAAGAUGGAAGAUCAAGAUGCCUUUGAGCAAGAUUUUUUUCAACUGAAGCCUUAUUAUACAAAUGCGGGGUAAUUUUUGUCCUGGCAUUGCUUAAAAUUGUUUUUUUUAUACUCAUGGGCACGUGCAAUUGCGCAGAUGCUAUAAGGCAUUAGACCUGAAUUGCUAGAUUAUGAGAAAGAGUUUCCAUCCUUAUUGCUUUAUCCACCAUUUUGCACACAUCAUUUUUACGUAAACUUACUUGAGAAUUCUUCUGGUUGAGCAGUGGCCAUAUUUCACCAUCUCCUCAAGAGUACCCUAUUUUAGGUCUCAACCUGUUGAGACUCCUUUUGCAGAAUGGAAUAGCUGAGUUCCAUACCGAACUUGAAUUGCUUUCAUAUGCCACCCUUAGAGAAUCCUUUUAUCAAGCAUGCUGCUGAGUUGGAGCAAUCUUUCAUGGAAGAGGCCUAUAAUUGUGUUUUGAGUGCUAGGCAGACGGUGCCUCAUGAGACUUAUGUUUAUUUUAUGGACCUUCUGGCCAAGACAGUCAGGUAAUUACUGUGCCUUUAUUGCUAAGAUGCUAAAUUGGUCAAAAGAUUUGAAGUUAGCUUCAACUGGAUACGAUUGGAUCAUAAAUCAAUAGAAUUAGAUAUAUGUCUCUUCCUAUAUUUGCAAUAGAAGGUAUUUUUGGAAAUGUAUAGCAUUUUUGAUGGGAUGAUUGAGUCAUAUACUUCUGUGGCUUUUUGUUGCUUUUAAAUUAGAAUAUAAAAUUAUAUGGCCUGUACUAAUUGCUAUCAACCAUCGCAAUAUGCCAAUAGAAGCGGGAAGUGUGACCCAUCUAGAUUUCAAGGUUUUAGUCAAGUAGUGAGAUUGUCAUACUUAAAGAUUCUUUUUUGCAUGCUUACUCUUUUCUUUUCCUUUGUACGACAUAGAUGAAAUUGCUAGAUGUAGCGAAAAAGCAUAUGACUAUUUGUCAAUUGGUGAUGCAUGGCAAAUGUUGCUAUGCUCCUCUGACCAAGAACUUGCGGAGUAUGUCAAGAAGGCAAAAUUAAUGAGAGGACUUUAGCUGGAAUUCUCUGCCUGGAAUUCUAUUCUAAUUGACUAAUAAAUAAUAUACUCUCCUGCAUUAGUUCAGACCUUCGGAGGAUCUCAUAAAACCUCUUCUAUGGAGUUGCUAGUUUAUAUCAUUUUCAAUGAUUAUGAUAAUUUAUCCAAUUCUAGGAUCAUAGACAGAUAUAAAACUUACACUUGUCACGUCUACUUGUCAUUUGGCCCUUGCUGUCACUCUGGUGGGGUCAAACUUGGCUGGUGGGUUCAGUACUAAAACCUCGUGCUUGUAAAAGUGCUGAUGUAGAUAGUAAACAGUAGAUUCAUAUCCAUGUAAAAAGCUUCAAUGUGGAGCUUGAACGUUUCUAUCUCCGUUGGAAUGCAGGAACAUCCUGAGUGGGAGAUUAAGAGUGGGUUUGCGUAUUUCCAGAAGGCAAAUGAAUCUGCACCUUUGAAGGAAAUUCCAUCCGUGCAGCUUACCAUUCAGACUUUGAGUUACGCGAGUUGGAGCGGACUGUUUAGGACCUUCUGCCGUGCACGGUGGUUUGCACUGGUAUUCGCAGACUUCAGAGAUUGGUUAUAUUGUGCUAAUGCCAUCCUACCUUUUGCCCAUUUCGAGAGACUUGAUAUUCUUUUUAAUGCCUGUAAAUUUAUUUGAUCAUUAUGAUGGAAUUUAUUUCAGCGAUCAUGUUAGUGCUCAUAUCCAUGUCAUUUUUUUAAAACACGUUUUUGUAUUUGGUCAGUAGGAUAUUAUCCUUGUCUUGCUUGCUUGGAAGAAGCAGACAUUGAAAUCAGUGUUGUCACAUGGAGAUGGACAACUUGGAGAAUGCACGUCGCUCUUAAUCAAACCCUAUGAGUAGACCAAGAUACAAUUAGGUUUAACCCGUUGUUAUGGUAGAACCGAAUCUAUGCACAGUUGCUGAUAUCAAUUGCAUAGGCCAACUAGGGUCGCUUGUGUCCAGCUCAAUUAACUUUGGGUUCAGUGGAUUGAAGUAGCUGUUGCUCCAGCUGCGGGCUUCUGCGUACUCUUGAUUGUUGGUGCAUAGGAUGUGUUUGAUUUCAGGACCACCCGUGUGUUUGCCGAUAGAGCCACAAUCUCAUGCUAACGACAAGCCUUUCAGGCACUACUUUCCCAGAACAAUAUCUAAAUGAGCAUCAAUAGAGAUUGAACUAAGUUUGUGUCUUUACUAAGAUUUCUUCCCUACACUUAAAAGAGAAGAUUAUAUUUAGUGGCGUUAUGACAGGCCUAGUCUGUCGGCUAGAGCUGGCUUAAGGGAAAGUCAACAGUUUGCGGGAUUUGGGAGCUGUGGCCAACUGUAUUAUCUCCGACCAAUAUCUUAAGUACCAAAUUGUUAGUUCAGCACUCGAUCUCAGUAUUGAUCUAAUUAACGAGCUGUAGCACUUAGCCUUCCAUAAGGAACUUUCCAUUUUUUGUUUGUAUGCGUGACUCGAAGCCCACAUUAAGAUGAUCUUGAACGAAUAAAAAUCAGUAGAUGAUUAUGUUCGGCUGCAGGAUCUUGGUCAGUUUGAAGAGAACUCAAAGAACUCGCAAAAUAAGUUAAAGUGUGCAACUACAUCAUGAGCUUAAAGUAUGUGCAAUCUGCUUAGCUUAGACAACUCUAAUAAUUAAUGCGGUCGACUCUACAAUUUGUUUUUUCUCCUGAAGGAAAAAAUUUGCCCAAUUGGUAACUGAUUUUUUUGAAUAGGUCAAGGACCGACCGAAUUGCUAAUAUCAAAAGCUGUACAUGCACUAAACGAAUUCAUUUAAUUCUUUUUUUAGGGAAAAAGAAAGAAGUUGGCUCCGCAUCUUACUAGGCUGCGCACGAUAAAAUUUCUGUUUCUUGAUUUCUCUGUUUCUUUGUUCCCCGGAACAGGUUUGGAACAAAAAUCCGUUUGGUAACGCAAUUUGAUUUCUCUAUUUUUGAAACAGAUUUCUAUUCCAUAAAUAGAUUUGAAGAAGAAAUCAGAAGCUAAAAUUUUUAGCUUCUCAGUUUCUGAAAUAGAAAUUGAGAAAUCAAUUUCUGGUCAGAAAUCAAUUUCUAUUCCAGAAAUAGAUUUGAAGAAGAAAUCAGAAGCUAAAAUUUUUAGUUUCUCAGUUUCUGAGAUAGAAAUUGAGAAAUCAAUAGAAAUUGAGAAAUCAAUUUAUGUUUUAGAAAUUUUAUCAUACGCACCCUAAACGAAUCAAGGGGCACUCACCCUGCAAUUUACAUGUAAGCCCCUCCUUUGAACGCACUUUGUAUGCAAUACAAAAGGAAGAGUCCCAAGCAGUCAAACCGGUCAACCCUUUAUGUGCAGUAAUAAGGCCUUCGAGAAAGGAAAUUCAAUCCAAAAAAAAAAUUUGUGGAAUUUCUUUUAUCAUAUCUGAUUAACGAAUGAUUUCUCCGGUAAAGGGAAUUCUCGCUCCGAAUUGAGAUGAUCGUAGAUCGUCGCGGAUUGAUCCGAUUGAGCUCCCAAUUGAGAUCACUCCUACUGCACCGUCGCUUUUCUUGUCCCCAAUCGCACAUCGCUUCAGGUUCGUCGGUCCAGAUUUCGUCCUCUUUUGUUUCGAACUCGACGUUCUCUGGUCCUUAAUCUGUCUCCCGUUAUCAAAACUUUUUGUAGGUUGAUGUGGUGAAUGUUCAGGCGGAUAUGUCGGGGCGUGUAUCUGGUCAAUCGGGUGCUCUGUUGCCUGGAGUGUCCUGGCAAAAUGGCAAUGUCGUCCCGAAUAUGGUAGCUGCGUGGCGCCUCAUAUGCUGCGGUUGGCGUGGACACGAAUACUCUCGGAGGUCGGCAUUAUAUGAAAGAGAAGAUGUAAUUUAGUCUAGAGCACUUGUUCUUGUGCUUUAACCUCCACAGUUCCAUCGGUCUUUGUUUGCUGACUGAACUUUUUACUGUCCCUUUUCAGCUUUCUUCUCUUAGCACAGCGGCAUCGGCAGCCAAUUGAUGAUUCUCAAAUGCAGAAGCUGAAGGAUAUUGUUAAACGCCUGGAAGACGGUCUCUUCAAAUCUUCUCACACAAAGGUCUUCCCAUCUUCAUCAUCUCUCCUCUCUUUUGUAAAAGUACAAAAAAGCGGCUUAUGAUUGCCCUUUACUGGGUUUAGCGUUCUACAUUUUAUAUUGGCAAAGACCAAAUACUCUGUUAAUUUCUCUUGCCUGGUGUCAACUGCUUUUUAUCGUUAAUAUCAGUAUUUCCUUUCUUUUUGGUAAAUAGUACUUGACAUUCUUUUGCUACUUGAAAAUUACAAUUAUGUAGGAUGAGCAUAUGAAUUUAGGCACAUUGGAGUCCCGCUUGCAUAGUUUGAUCAAGCGUCCAUCUCUUAAUAAUCCAAAUCUAGUCAAUCCUAAUGCGAUGACAGCAAUGAUUCCAACUCCUAGAUUGUCGCAUAAUGGGAGUUCGACCAUGAUAGCGACAUCUUCAGUGGAUGCCCCUAUGAGUUAUUUGGCUGAGAGUAGCAGCAUGCAACCAACGAAUGCAAAAAUAGGAAGCCUUAUGUUGAGCCUUACGCCAAACAGAAUUUAUUCAAAGGCAUGUGCUCUCUGUAUUUUCUUAGUAUGGUUGUCUGCACUGGUGCCUGGCGGUAUUGGGUGUGGUUUGUUCACUGUGAGUAGAGUUUUUAUGUAUGUAGCACAAGCUCAGGCAUGUGUAGACCCCUUGCAAGUUUCAAAGAUCAGGAUGUAUUUAGUCAAUCGGGUUGCCUAGGGUGUCCCAGCAAAGUGGCAAUGUUGUCUUGAAUUUAGUAGCUGCAGGCAGUGGUGUCCCUCAUGCUGCGUUAAGCUUUCGGACAUGGAUCUUCUCACAGCUCAGAACUAUAUGCAAGAGAAGAUGUAAUCUAAUCUAGAGUACUUGUUCUUGUGCUUUAACCUCCACAAUUCCAUCGGUCCCUAUUCACUGAUUGAACCUUUUAUUUUCCCUUUUCAAUUUCGUUCUCUUAGCACAGUGGCAUCUGCAGCCUCCCUUUUCAAUUUCGUUCUCUUAGCACAGUGGCAUCUGCAGCCAAUUAAUGACUCUCAAAUGUAGAAGCUGAAUGAUAUUUCCAUCCUCAUCUUUUCUCUCCUCUCUUCUGUAAAAGUACAAAAAGCGGCUUAUGAUUGCCUUUCAUUGGUUGUUUUUUUCUCUUUUGUAAAAGUACAAAAAGCGGCUUAUGAUUGCCUUUUAUUGGUUGUUUUUUUUUCUUUUUCAGUGGGUUACAUUUAACAUCUGCGAAAGCCAAUAAUUGGUUCAUUCUCUUGUCUAGUUUCACCUAUUUUUUCACGGGAUAUUCAAUAUUUUUUUUUUUGGUGAAUAGGACUUGCCAUUCUUUUUGCUACUUUGAAGUUACAAUUAUGUAGGAUGAGUAUAUGAAUGUGGGCACAUUGGUGUCCUGGUUGCGUAGUUUGAUCAAGCCUCCAUCUCUUAAUAAUCAAAAUCCAGUCAACCCUAAUUCAAUGACAACGAUAAUUCCAACUCCUGAAUUGUCACAUAUGGGAGUUCGACCAUGAUGGCGACAUCUUCAGUGGAUACACCUAAGAGUAAUAUGGCUGGCAGUAGCAGCAUGCAACCAGCGAAUGCAAACACGGGAAGCCCUAUGUCAAGUGGAGUCAUGCAAACGCGGGAAGCCUUAUGUGAAGCCUUAUGUCAACUUGAAUUGUAAAUGAACAUUUUUAUUCAGAUGUAUGCCCUAUGCAGGAUGUUUUGCUAUGUUUUGAAAGUUGGGGUAUAAUUUGGACGAUUUUCAUGUUUCACAGUAUAUCAAUGAAGAUAUAAACGCCCUCGCUUCAAACAGAAUUUAUUGGCAAUGAUGAUCAAACAUACACUUGGAACUUCAACGAGAAAAGGAUGAGAAUGCAAAACAGUAGGGGAUGCAUUCACAUUUCAGAAAAUGUUACAGCUACAAUAUUCAACCUAUCAUUCCCUACGACCGAAUAGAAAGAAGCACGACAAACCCGUGGACUUAGCAUGUAAGAAUGAAUCAAAUGAAGUACCCCAGCUACUUAAGAUUUUUCUAGCAAUCAAACAUACUUGCUUUCAAAGUAAACCCAGCAUCCGAUGAAUCAACAUCUCUGCACAUGAUGCUGCAUUUCCCGUGAUGUCAUCUGGAAUGCUGGCAACUUUUAUGCCAUUUUCGGUGACUGCGUCCACAUCAACACCUUCAUGAAGAUGUAAAUGUUGAGUACUAAAUUCAAUUAAGAUCUAACAAAACAUAGUAAUUAUACCGACAAAAUAAACUAAACUCCCCCAGCCCGACAUACGCAAGCAAGCAGGGGCAGACACCGUCCAGACCGACACCAAAUUGCAAUUUAAACUUCAAUUGUUUCACUCGAGCUAUAGUAUCUGAGUCAAGGCACUUGCUCUUCACCACACAAAUAUGGUAGUUUCCUAUAACAUGAGGCACAUCAUCAAGGGCCACCUCAUCGACCUAAGAAAAUGGAAAACAGAUGAAUGAAUUUGGAAACAUAUGAAACAAUAAGUCCUUACACUGUCAUUAACUGAAGUACACUAAUUAACGAGGACAUAUUUACAUUUAAACAUAAGACCAAACCAAAUGUGCAAACUUGAACAUGCUUUUUUAUUCCUAGUCUGUUAUUUAUCCAAAGGCAUGUGCUGGCGACAAUGGGAUCGUUCCAGCAAGUUUAAGUAGGACCCCAACAAGAGCAGAUUGGUUUUUAUUUCAGCCGAGAAAAUAUCAUCACCUACUACAGUUCCUCAAAGUAAAUAAUUCUACAAUUUUACAAUGAUCAGAGGCAGAAAUGAGAUAUCACUUCAGUGCAUUAGGUAGUUGAAAUCUGGCUCUACAAAUGGAUGCAAAAAUAAUUGGAUGGCAUCAAGACCUCAAAGGUGAUACAAUCAAAUCCCUUCUUACCACUCAAAACACAUCCAGAUAACUCCACCAACCACUCCAAAUGAAGAAAGGGAAUCAUUAAGCAUUUCCCUCCACUUCCUUUGAGCUUGUGAAGCUGUAACUCUUGCUACACAGACGGGGGAGGGGGGGGGGGGGAGAAGGCAGGGAUGUUGACAUACUUACAACUGGGGACUGGUGAUGUAGAGAAUGAGAUAGAGUUUGCAGCCUCCACAAUCUACACCUCCCUUUCCUCCUCAAUAAUUGCUGCAGAUGGGUUUUGUUAAAUCACAUCAUAGUUUUUCCACAGAGGUCUGCCAGGUCUCUCAAAAGGCAAAAGGUUUGCAGACUUUGUCACUGAGCACAACUCUUCCUCUGGAAAAGUAUUUUAUCCAAUGAACUAAUCAUCUAUGAAUGCGACAUAUCUCAUCAGUAUGAAUCCCAUCUUAUUCGACGUCACUUGAAUGGAAUGAAAUCCCACAACUCAUCACAACAUCGAGUACAUAUUCAUGCUAUGGCAUUGGAGAAAGAGCGUAUUCUUGUCAUCCUCCAAGUUACAUCAAAACAUUGCUUCUCGAGUUUGAAGGUUUUUCGACUGGAGCUCAUUAUGUAGGAUUAUAACAUCAGGACGAUUGAUCAACUUUAAUGCCAUUCACCUCCCCAUGGCCUUUGCUCAUAUCUCCAGCAGCGCGACAUGGUUCCCGAUCAUUCAAACCCAGCGGCACCUUUUCUUCUACUCCAUGUUCCCUGAUAUCAACUAAGUGAGAAUUGAAUACCAGUGAUUUUCUGGUUCCCAGCACUUCAUCUUUCCUAAGAAAUUUAUUUGCCAAGACUUUCCUGCUAGCAUCAUACAGUGGGACCUGAAUGAUCCAAGGGUAUACAAUAAUGAGCAGAAGUUAUUCCAGGACCUAUAAAGAAGGAUUGCUUAGGGCCUUAUAACUUUUUUGGGUAGUGAAAUGCACUUGAAUUAAUGUGAUGGUUGGGUCACAUAAUGAACCACUAUUCCAAAAACAAAAGUGAUUCAUGUUGGAUCAGCAAACAAAGUAGCCAGCCUAGUUUAAUUAAAGAACAGUGGCAAAAGGAUGGUAACGUCCUUGAAAGUGCUUCGGAAUGACCUGCCUCCCUAGGGAUCCGCGAACUUCAUGCUGCAAAAAACCAUCAUGGUAUUUCCUGGCCUUUAGAGUUUAUUUGUGUGGUGUACAAAACUUGCCAUUCUACGUGACAGGGAAGUGUCAAUAUCCAUGUAGGAUAUGCUCAGUUAAACUAACACAAGAAUAAUGGAAGUACACCUGCAAAAGAACAUUCGUAUGCCCAUGCGUGAUUGAUUGAACUUGCGUUGGAAAUGACUGAAGAAUAAUAAUGAACUUGUUAUUGAUUUUGUGAUUUCCAUAACCUCAAGCUAAGAGGAGGCAGUAAAUGCACAGCUAUAACAAGAACGUAGUUGGCUAGUUAAUGGAAACUUCAUUAGAAAAUCUAUUAGCAAGUAGAACGAACAACUGGCUAAGUAAUGAAAACUUCACAAGAAAUUGUAAGCAUAAAAGAAUACCCUGAGGAUUCCAUGUAACUCGGUUCAUUGCCCUCCUCUUUUGCACGAGGUUCUCGUACUUGUGACUCAUUCUUAAGUACCUAGAGCACGGUGCUAGAGCUAGGAAAUUCUCAGGAACGUAACCAGUCAAGGUGAAUUAUGGAUUUUUCAAAUGAACGGACACACUUAGACCUUCUCUGAAGCACAAAGCCAAAAACUCAAUAGAUAGUUUUAUAUUAUUGGUGAAGCUUUUAUCUAUUAUGAAUUUUUCUUUUUGAACUAAAGUGUGAUUUCUGUCAUAUGUAAGGAAUUUUAAGAAUCCAUCUGGUUAAGCAGUAUAAUGUCUUGCCUAUGAAAAGUGCAACAAAGUCUCCUAACAGGCAACUUUGAUUUCAUCAACCAAAAUUUUUUUGAGAUCACGAUUGCAUUAGAACAUGCAACAAACGUAGAGAUAAGGCAACUAGUAAACACUAGUGGCAAACUGAAUAUGCAUCUAAACAGAGUCUGACCUGUUACCCCUGAUUUUCCAGCAUCUAAUAUACUCACCUUUGCCCUAUUCUGAUGCAUCUUGGCCAUUUUUUUUUCUUCUGAAAGAGUAUUAAUGAAUACAUGUUUUAGUGCAUCACAAACACAAUCAGGUAAUUAUUGUAGAUCAUGCAAAACAUGAAGAGAAGGGAAUCAUGCUCCUCAACAGAAAAGAAAGAGAUAGCAUGGAUAACAAUGAUGAUUUUCAAUUGUCCACUCUCUUUAUCUGGUCAAUGAAGAAAGUAUUAACUUCAAAUAAAAACAACAAAUUGAUUCAUGGCAUCUGCAAGUUCAAGGACUUGUGGAAAUCAUCCCACGUCUCAUGAACAUCCCUUGGACUUGUGUCUUUAAAGCUCCGAAUCACAAUGUGUUUGCAAUAUCAUUUUGGUGAGUAUGGAGUAUCACCCGAUUACAUCAAUUGCAGAGCAGCUAAAUGAUAGGGUCCAUAGGAUAUAAACAAUGAGGUAAAAAAUGUUGAUAAUCUAUUGGAAGUUUAAGACUUUAGGCUAGGAGGUAAGGCAAAUUACCUUCAUAUAAAGACUAAACAGGAAAAAUAAACACUAUAUAGAACACCAGGAAAUGGAUCAAAUUGAACUGUAUUCCAGGUACCUUUUAAAGCAGAUUUAACAUUAGUAACAUUAUGCUGCUGCUUUUGCAUAUUAAUUUUUGAAGAGAAUUGAAACUGUUUCCACACGCAUUUAGAUCCCUCAAAGAUUCAUCGUUUGCUGCACGGUUGCCAUGUUCAACCAAAUGACCAGGAAAUUCCAUCAUCUCCCCAGGGCUUACUUCUUUUUCAGCUUUGUUCAGGAACCUGCCAUCUAAAGGUUUCCAGCUCAUAUCAUACAAGAAAACCUCGUAAAAGACCCAAAUAAGUUUUCAAUCAUCUGAGCCAUAUUUAUCCUGACAAAUUUUUUUCACUAAUCUGCUGGGAAAGGUAUACGUCAUGACGAGGAAAACCAACCAUAAAGGAAAGAAGAGCUGAAAUUUAAUCCAGCAACAAGAUAGCCGGUAUUAUUUAAGGGUAAAAACCAGAAGGAGAUGUAGACUGGAGAGCUUGACCUGCCUAGUCAUAGAUCCACUGCUCGAGCAACUUAAGAAGCCAUCAUGACAUUUCUUCGACUUUUGAAUUAAUUGAGUUGUAUACAAGGCAUAUCAAUCUACAUCAAAAGGAAUAUUGUGUCAACUCCAGUGCCGAGACAACAAUAACACUCUUGAAUAUAACCGCAUAGAGAACAUUGAGACCAUUUUCUAAGGGAAGUUUGGAUAUAUGCUAAAAAGCUCCAAUAAAUUUUCAAGAGAAGCCACGAAAAUAUAUGAACCCACCUUGAUUGAGAAGACUUGAUAUACAAAGCAUCAGAGUCGAGGGAAUCUUUAUUGAUAUUGAAAAGAUUCUGUAUGUAAUAUAAAGAUGUGCAGAAACUGUAUCCCAAAAAAAACGAAGAACGGAUUCACAAUCCAGGAGAUACAUCAAGAGAAAGACAAGGCCUGCAUGGGUAUAGAUGAGUCAGAAAAAGUCCAAACUCACCUGUCAUAUUCGAUGUCCUUGAGAAGCCUUCAUUCAGAAUCAACAGAAAACGGGUAACCUUCUCCCCCUCUCUAAUCAGUCUGUACUGCUCGAGAGUCUCUUCGGGUCCUUUGAGCUCAACCUCAGCAGCCCCGAGCUCAUUCCAGAGAGAGGAGAGUCGGUUGAAGCAAGCGGUAACCGAUGGGUUCCCUUGCUUCAGAUCCGACAGAGCUUGAGCGAGCGAAAAUAACUUCGCUCUGUCCAACUUCCCAUACAUUUCUUUGAUGUCGUCCCACAUUUGUUUCGAAUCUUCAGUCGGUGGAGGGCCGGCGGCGAUGAUAUCAGCGGCCUCGCAGUUCCCGAUUCAGGUGCGCACGAGCUGAUUACACCUCCGCCAACAUCGUCGCCGCAUACGGUCGUCGUCGGGAACGGGCACAGUUCCAUCGAGGAACCCAUCUUUGUCCUUGGUCACAAGAGCCCGCCGGAAAUCUCGAGCCCACGCAUUGUAGUUGUCUGGACCGGUAAGUUGCAGGUUGAUGAUUCGGAGCUCCGGUCCGUUGGCCGGCGAGGUGUACAGAACGUCCCCAGCUUCUGGACGGUGGCCGGCGCCGAGGAUGGGGUACAGGUAGAACCCGGGUUGUAAUCCCAGGUAGGGAUUCAUCCCAUGACCCGUCGAACUCUAUUCGGAUCUGUGACCGAUCCAUCAAUUUGGGGCCCAUGAUUCGUACCUUCUCCAGAUGGGCUGUAAGGAGCCCAUUUUUGUCGAUUGGGUCCAACGGCCCACGGGCCUGGGACUGGAAACCACUGCAUUGGUGGCCAUUGGAUUGGUGCAGAGGUUGAACAGAUGUGGGCGAUGGAGCCGAAAGUUGUUGCUGCAAAUUCUGGGUUUGGUCAGUUUGAUAUGAAGCUAGACUCUCAGGAGAAUUGUUGGCGUCGAACGAUUCCUCCACAGGUGAGAUCAUCUCUUGGUCGUUGUUGCUGCUGCUUGAUUUGUUGCUUUGAUUUUUGGGCACGGUGUUUGAAUGUAUGAAUUCCUAACCGGUGUGUCAAUUUGUUUUGCAGAAAGAAAUUUGCAACAACAAUUGAAAAGACUACCGAAGGCAAUUCGGGUAUUUGCAGAAGUUUUUUUUUUUCUUUUUUUUUAGCAAGGGGUAUUUGCAGAAGUUAGGUCAGUACGCUUUUGCUCUGAUACCAAACAAAGAAAAUGGAGGAAAUCAAAUAAUAUUACAAUUCCUAUUACAUCUUCUAAAUAUUGUGAUGAUAUUUUGUGAUCAAAUCAAUUAUCCCACAAUCUCGUGAUUAGAAUCGAAGCUAAGAAUUAAAUCAUCUUCCAACAGUUUUCAGCGGUGAGUGGUGAUGGUGAUUGCAAUGAUCCGAGCAUUUUUCAAAUGUUGCCUAUAUGAUUUAAAACAGUGUUCGAGUGCAUGAAAUAGAAGCGGCAUGUUGCUUUGGGUUUGUAUGGUUCAAUUCUUGCAUUUAGAUUAAUGAUGAGAUGUAACAUAUAAACUGAAGGAGAAAAACGAAAAAGCGUAAUAUCGAUCAAAGGAACGAGCAACAUGAAAAAUACGACAAAGUAACUCCCAUGCAUCGGUCCUUCUUUACAAUUUUUCGUGCAGUUGUCCAUCAAAGGGGACCCUGAAAGACACAAGAAAAGAGACAAGGCAUUGGGGGUCAAAACGUGAAGCACGAAGCAAGAAGCAACCUCUUUCGUCUUUUGCCAUCCUUUGUAGAAUUCCUGGAACGAAUUUUUGGCUCCAACUGCUCAUUUCUUUUUCUUUCUUUUUUUCUUUUAACAAUUUCUCUUAAUUGACUACUCUCUCAUGGUGCGUUGGUCUUUCUUGAGAUUUUCUUUUCUUACAGCUAUCUGGGCAAAAGCUUUUUCUACAAAACUUGUCAUUUAUCUAACAAACUUUUUCUCCGUCUCUUGUGAUACUAAUUGCUUAAUCUGGUAGAUGAGAGGUCACAUCAUAAUCUUAUGGUAAUCCUUCUCUAAACAUGUGAAUGAAAGUAGCGAGAACGGGCCACCCCCAAUACUACUUUAAAGGCUUCUUAUAAAUUUAUCAGAAUCUUAUUAAAGAGUCUUUUAGGGCACUCAUUAAUCAGGUCUAAUAAAGAAAAUGAUCAAAAUUUGCCUUGAACUCCAAUUUCUUCAAGGUUUAAGAUGAACAAUCGUGUAGUUGGGGCUAAAUUUGGCUGAUGACCAGUCUUGAAAUUGGCUAUUUUAAGUAACCAAUUUGUUCUCAUGCACGCCAUGUAGGCUGAUGAUGUGGCGGCUAUUAACUAUUUCAUAUUUUCUUUCGGUUCAAGGUCUAAAAAUAGUUGAGAGAAUAAGUAUUGUAUCCUCUCUAUAAGUAUAAAGUUGUGUAUAGAAUAUUGCCGCCACAUGUUAAAGUAUUCAAUGGUGGAGUUUUUCAUAGGCAUUAUAGUCUUUUUGCAUCUAACUAAUUGCUUUCAAACUUUUGGAUUAUAAUCUCUAAUGUCAUAUCCACAACACUUAUAUUUUAGGCUAUGUUCCUUUCUUAAAAAUAACUUCCAAUAAAACAUUUUUUGGAUUUUUUGGUAUUCAUUUCAUGGAAAAUAAAUUAAUCGUGGAAAAUAUUUUCCAUCAAGGAAAAAAGAAAUAUUGUAAAAGAGGGUAAAAUGUUUUUCACUUUUAAAAUUGGGAAAAAUAUUUUUCUUACCCGCUCUCUCUCUCUCUUAACUCAUACCUUACUCGCCUCCUUUCCUGUUUUCUUUUCUAAUAAUUUGAAGUUUAAAUUAUUUUCCUUUUAUUUUUUUUGUCUUAAUUAUUUUUCUUUUUCUUUUUUUUCACCUUUUUCUUUGGCCGGUCCUUGGCAUGGCCGACUAUAGGCGAGCCUCGAGCUUGUUGGCCUCGAGCCCUAGGCCUCGCCUGGCUCACCGAUUCUAGUGAGCGGUGAGCUCAAGGCUUGCCAACCUCUGGCGAGUUCGAGCUCACCGCUCGCUAGCUUGGCGAACUAGUGGCGAGCAUGAGCCUCUAGCUCGCCGAUUUGGCGAGGCUAGAGGCCGGUAAGCUUGAGGCUCGCCCUUGUGCUUGCCAAUCUCUAGCGAGCAGCAAGCUCAAGGCAUGUUGGCUCGUUGUGAGCCACAUCAGCGAGCCAGCUUGCCUCUAGCUCGCCAAUGUGGAGAGGCCAAAGGCAGGCGAGCUUAAGCUCACUUGUCGCUGCUCACCAAUCGAAGUUGGCCUUUGGCCGAUCGCUGGCUGUCGUCGUGGUUGGCGAUCAGCAAAAGAAAAAGAAGAUAAAAAGAAAGAAAAAGAAAAAGAAAAAUAAUUAAAAAUCAAUUUUUAGAAAAAUAAUUUAAAAAUUGAUUUUAAAAAUUUAAAAAAUAAUAAAAUUAUUUAACAAAAUUCAUAGGAAAAAGGAUUUUCCUUAUCGAACAAUAAAAAAUAUUUUUCACUUCAUUUUUAGAUUUUAGACGAAUAGCGAAAAAUAAUGAUAAUUUUUUGAAAAAUGACUUUCCGAAAUAUAUUCUCCGAAAAUGCGGUGUUUUUCGUAAAACGAACGAAGACUUAGAGCCAAAACGUUUGAUUAUUAACUCGCUGUGAAAUCAAUAUAGCACUUCACUAAAUCUUUAGAAUGCGAGAAGUGCAUAUAUAAAAUUUCUAAAUUAAUCAUACAGUUCGAUCAUUGCAAUUUACCUUUGCUUUUGAGGAGUUGAAUUUGAUUAAAAUGGAUGAGCCUGAUUGAUGUGUGUAUACGUGUUUAUUAGGUGGUACGAGCCUUGAUAUAUCUUACCAUAGAUAUAAUCUACGGUUGUGCGUUUUUCCCACCACGUGAAAAAAAAAAAAAAAAGUUGCUAUCGGCAUUAGCUUGUGUGAAAACAAUUUGUUGACGACGCGUGAAGCAAAAUUAUGAUGGAUCAAUUCACGGCACAUAAAGUUAUUGGCCCUGAGAAAGCAAUCUUUUGACGUCAAGCGAAAAUAGGAUGAUUGAUGUUAAAUUAUUGCCGUCGGCCCAGGCGAAACCAAUCUUCUUUUGACGGCACAUAGAGCAAAAGAUAUGAGCAAAAGAUACGAUGCUGAAUAUUGCUCAUAGCCCGUGGUGAAACCAAUCUUUUGAAAGUCCGGUUAUGGGCAUGUUUGAUUUUCCAACCACUCCUUUUAGACCUAUUGCUAUAGCUGAUGUGACAUUACCGAUAUGCCUGUCGCCUAUAUAUAGUUUAGCUGUGGAGAGUGAUGAUGAGCACUUUGUCCCAAUCCUAGUGUAUUAAUGAGCAAUAAUCAUUUUGACUUAUUGUUUCGAGCUCGGUCGUAAAAUUGGCAGCAGAUCAUUCGGAGAGAUCUACGUCGGUGGACUACUCGCUAAUUGAUACUUAAUUUUUGCUUUAUUCGUUUUGCUUUUAGUUUGAUUUUGAUUGAAGUUUUUUUGGAUUGUUUUUAGGUACUAAGACUCAGACGAAUGAGAAGGGCGCAACUAAGUUUGUGAGUCGCUAACCGAUAUUUGGUUUUUUCUCUUUGCGUUCUACUUUUUCUAGUUUUUGCUCGUUUUAGUUACUUUAGUAUUGUUAUAGUCAUUGCAUUGAUAUUUUGUCGAGUUGAUGUUUUAUUUUUGCGUUCUAUAAAGCCAUGUGGACUGUGGCUUGUUUUGUUUUUUUUUUUUCUUGGGUCGUUUGAUUGACAUAGAUAAUGGUUCACUUGCUUCCAAUAAGUCAUUGAUGCUAACUUUCAAUCAUUAGAAUGAUUGUUAUUAACAAGUGGAAGCUUUCUUUGGUCUGUGACUUUCACAUGCAUGAGAAAAUUGUCAAAAAGAUCAGUAGGAAACGUAGACUGUAGAGCUUGACCUGCCUCGUAAUAGGUCCACUGCUUGUAGAACGUAAGAAGCCAUCAUGAUUCUUCGACUUUUGAGUUAACCGAGUUGUAUACAAGACAUGCCAAUCUAUAUCAAAAGGAAGAUUACGUCAACUGUAGUGCUGAGACCAUAAUAACAUACUUCGGGAAAGUAGCAGAAUAUUCAGACCAGUUUCUGCGGGAAAGUUUGGAAAUAUGCUAAGAAGCUCCCAAUGAUUUUCAAGAGAAGCCAUGAGAAAAAUGUGAACAUAAAACCGCCGUGAUUGAGAAGAAUUGAUACACAAAGCAUCAGAGUUGAGAGAACAUCUAUUGUCCUUGAACAGAUUCUAUGUGUAGUAUGAAGAUAAGUAGAAACUGUAAACCCAGAGGAAAUUAAGAAAUGAUUCACAAUCCAGGAUAUGACAUCAUAAGAAAUGAUAUAUGGCCAGGCAUGGCAUAUAUGAAUCUGCAAAAGUCCAAACUCACCUGCCAUACUCGAUGUCUUGAGUUGGGACCUCCUGGUAAUAUGCCAUACUUGUUCAUUUCAUUCUUCUCGAAUUCUGGAAAAGGAGAAACACAGAUGCUAAGUUUUGUACCCAGCAUUUACUAGCUAUCAAGAGAGUUAGAUUAUGAAGGAUUUCAUCACCAACCUCUAAUAAUUUUCUGUGAUGGGCUUAGGCUGAUCAUCUGCUGUUUAUUCUUCUUUACUUUGGUCUUCUCAUCUUCUUAAAACGUAAGUGAAAUGGAUUAUACAACAACACAGGCAGAUAAUCACAACAUUGCGACUGUACGAGUAUGAGUUGUCAAAUUUCAAAUCAUUAGAGACAACAACAUGAGGAAAAACAAAUAUGUAAGAACACACAAUACUGGCGCAACCAGAUACUUUGACGAAAUUGUUUCUGUGAAGCGAAGUUGUUCGCUUAGGAACUUUCUUUGCUCGGCUGUGAAUAUAAGUAUCAUUGAGAGGCUUUUGCCCUGCUUCAGGCUCUCCAACAUCAAUCAAAUAAGCAUUGAACGUCUCACUGGAACAAACAACUUCGUUCUUGAAAGUCCUGCAUUCCAACACCUGCUUGCUGUCAUCAUACAGCAUUACCUGUCAAAAAUCCAACCAUCAAUCACGGCAUGGCCUAAUCCACUCAGAACAAGCUCAAUCACGGAGAGCACAAGGACCAAAACCACAGAACAAAACAAUCCGCGAGGACAGUCAAAAUUGAAAACCUAUGCAGCAUCGAGCUGUUGCUAUCAAGCAUUUCUUCUACCUGCGGAGAGAAUAUAUACCUGUAGACUUCUCCAUUACUCCAUUCUUUUCUUGGGGUGCUUUUCUUGCGUCGGGGGAUGUAGAAUAUGCAUUAGCAAUGCAAUAUGCAACUUUCUAAGUACUUAAUUCCUUUCCUUUCUUCUUUGCAACUUGCAGGCCUAUAUGUUCACAGGUUGUUAACGCAUCAGAAGUGAAUUCUCAAGUCAUUCUCUAUCAUAAUCUCCAGUGAUCAAAGUCUGAGCAGUGCAAUACCAAUGGCUGAGUCUGUUGUUUCGUUCGCGGUGGAGAAAAUAGGAAACUUGGACCUGCACAGCGAGCUGAGGCAGGUCCAGGCCUUGCUGAUGGAUGUGGAUGCAAGACGAGAGCGCAAGGAAGCUGUAGAAGAAUGUGUCGCACAACUCCGAGACUUUGCCUAUGAUGCUGAGGACGUCAUCGAGAGAUACUACCUCAAAGCGGCGCUGACGGAGGGACAAAACAUCAUCAAAGCGUAUGCUUGCUUCAUGGCGAAGUGCUCGUGCGUGCAGGUUCAUGAGGUGGGGACAGAGAUCGAGGGCUUAAAAUCCAGAAUUUCCGAUAUUGGUAAUAAGAUGCAGAAAUAUGGCAUACAACCUCUGCAUGAGGGCGAACGCAAACGCGCGAGAGCUUCGCUGCCGAAACGGACUUAUGCCCAUUUCCAGGAGGAGGAUUUGUCGGGAGGGAAGAUGGUAUCGAGGCGUUGGUAAAAGAGCUAAAGGAUGGAAAACACAGAGUUGUUGCUCUAUGGCGAAUGGGUGGUUUGGGAAAGACCACACACGCUCAGAAAGUCUUCAAUCACGACAAAUUGAAGAACCAUUUCGAUGGUUCUGCUUGGGCUUGCAUAUCUCAAGAAUAUCACGUGAGGAUAUCUUGGAGGGAAUUCUUGUUAAGUUGAUCCCUAACAAAAGAGAAGAGGUUACGGAUAUGAGAAAUGACGAAUUGGUAGAAACUGUAUACAUGACCCAAAAACAGAAGAGAUGUAUCGUGGUUCUUGAUGAUAUUUGGACCAAACAGGCAUGGGACAGUCUUCAAGCCGCAUUCCCGAUCAAGGACACGAGAAGCAAGCUAUUGAUAACAACCCGCAAUAAAGAAGUAGCGGAGCAUAUCAAUCCUCAUUGUUUUCUCCAUGAACCUCAGUGCUUAUCGCACGAGGAGAGCUGGAUUUUGCUAAAGAAGAGGGCAUUUCCUGAAGUGAAAGGUAAGACUUCACUAAAGUUAUUAACCUAACAUAUUGUGGCUUCAAAGGAUUAUGUUGCCUGCUUGAUUAUAAUUUAUGACGCUUCUAUAAUUAUUGUCGGAUUAGCUGUUGAACUUUCUUCUGUUGGGCUUGGAGUUGGUCGAGGUAUUGCCGUGGAUCAAGUUGUAGAAGGUAUUGCAAGACAAUCAGAGAUGGAGGGACAAACACCAGGUACUUCAUUGCUCAAUUUGGCCUUUCGGAGGCUUUCGCAAUUAAUCAAUCAAUAUUUACAGUGGAGUUCAAAUGAUCAAUAUAUCAAGUAUUAGACACCGUAAUUUCAAUAUUUGAGGAAUCAGAUGCACCUUUUGUUUCUCAAUAGCUGACAAUUGUACCUCUAAGCCAACAUCCAAAACUUUGCUCCUCUUGUCCUCCAAUAAGGAUAAAUAUCAAAAAAGCUUUCAUUUGACCAUCAUAAUAAGUAAUUUUGAUAGGAUUUAUGAAAUAAUAUGAAGCCUAGCUAUGUUACUUUCCAUAGGCUUCAUUUUAGGUCCACAUUUUCUUGCAUUUGUGAAUAAUUGGCUUAACAAUAAUACUUGGAAUUGUUAUGAAAAUCGUGAAUCUUUAUGUGACAAAAUAGAGUGACAACAUGAAGAUUUCACUAGAAUUUUGAGGGAAAUCGGUAGCACAUUCAAGUCACGAGUGAUAUAUCCCUUCGUUGCUUUCAUUUUUCUUCAUUGAGUAGGAUUAUUGUUGUUAUACAUAUGCUCAAGUCAAUUAAUUCAAGCAACAGAUAACAAAGACAAUACAUUCCAUUAGUCAAAUGAGUGUUCUUGAUCUUUCAGACGUAGAUGGAGGCAUAUAUAGGAGCUUUGUUGGGGUCUCUAUAGUUUUUCCCCUGACAAAAGCAUAAAUGAACCAUAGAACAUAAGGAACUACAACAUCCAACUCAUAUAUCAAAAAGCAAAUAUUUGUCCUCGAAGUUAUCUUCUUAUGACAGUUGCAUCUUCCUACUACUAUCGAGUUUCAAUUUAUUACUUGAUAUUAUGUAGAAAUCACUAAAGGCAUGAAGAAGUUAGGAGAUGAACUCCUUGAGAAGUGUGGGGGAUUACCUUUGGCUGUUAUGUGCUUGGUGGACUUUUGGCAGACAACGAGUGGGAGACGGUUUAUAGAAACAUCAAUUUGCAUUUGAGUGAUAAGAGUAUUUUAUUUGAAGUUUUGGCCUUGAGCUAUGAUGAUCUACCGUGGCAUUUAAAGCCAUGUUUCCUCUAUUUGGGUAGCUUUCCGGAGGAUGCAAAAAUCCCUGUGAAGACAAUCCUUCGCAUGUGGAUUGCUGAAGGCUUUGUGCUGCCUGAUGACGCAAAGAGAGAAAUUACAAUGGAAGAUGUUGCAGAGCAAUAUUUCAUGGAGUUGGUUAAGAGGGGGUUGGUCCAAGUAUGACUCAACUGGAAUGGAAAUAUUGGAACCUGCCGCCUCCAUGACUCGACGCGAGAGGUAUGUGUCUCCAAGACUAGCCAUGAGAGGUUUCUAAGCUUUCGUAAAAUUCAACAUGACAAUGAAAGGGAGGGUAGUUCUUCAAUGGCUUGCAGAACACGAAGGAUUUCUCUCACUAUGAACGGGAUUGGUGAAGGAAACAUAACUCUGAGGGUGGAACAAAUAGGAAGGACUAUGCUCCACCUUCGAACUCUUUUGUUCUUCCAAUCUAGGGGAUGUAAUUGGGAGCAAUUUCAACCAAUUUCAUCAAUUAUAAGUUUCUCAGAGUUUUGAAGCUGGACGAUCUUGAUGGGAAAGUAGGAAGUCUACCUGAAUCAGUGGGAGACCUAGUCCAUCUAAGAUUCUUAAGUUUAGCACGUAGUGGGUUUACGAGCUUGCCACAAUCUAUGGGAAACCUUGCAUGUAUGGAAUUCUUGGACUUGGUUAUGCUUCAAUAUAUUAGAAUUUCCAUCCCAAAUGUGUUGUGGAAGAUGAGAUGGUUGAGGUAUCUCCGUCUUCCCUACAAGUUUGAUGUCAAGGAGAAAUUCCAUGGGGCCCAUAAGAAGUUGCGGUUGGGCACUUUAAAGAAUCUACAGACAUUGAGAAACUUUAGUCUGAAGGAAUGUGAUGUGAAUGAUGUGGGCAAGCUUACCAAUCUGCAAAAACUGACUGUCGUUGAUUCGUAUGAUCCGCAACUUGCUAAAUUCAAUUUGAAACAUCUUCAAUCCUUGACUAUUUAUUUCGCGCAUUCUUAUAAUUCAUGGACUGAAGGUGAACUGAGUAAAAUAUCAAAUUAUCCCCACUCAUGUAAGCUAUUCAUUAAUGGAAAAAUAGAGAAGCUGCCAGAACAUAAGAGUCUACCUCAACAAUUGAGGAAGCUGGUCUUAAUAUGUUCCCAACUCAAAGAAGAUCCAAUGCCAAUAUUGGAAAAAUUGAAAAGCUUGGUUUUUCUCUUUGUGGGAUAUUAUGCUUUAUGGGGAAACGAAAUGGUUUGCUCCGCAGGAGGCUUUCCUCAACUCAAGCAUUUAAUUUUUUAUGCAUUACCUAAUUUGGAGGAGUGGAGAGCCGCUGAAGGAGCCGCACCUCAUCUUUCUCGAUUAGGGAUUGAGCAUUGUCCUAAAUUGAGGGUGGUACCUUCACAUGUCUCUACAUAUUACGGUGGGGACGAAAUAUACAACGAGCUAAAAAGGUGGCCUCAGCUGUCUAGCGGGAGAGGAGGGAGAGGGGCAUGAGCUUAUGGGCUGUUAAGGGGGUGGUACCUCAAGAAUAAAUAUCUAAUCUCAUAUAUCAUGAGUGGAAAUAGAGUAUUAUGGCAUUCCUUGACAAAUUAUUUUCCAUGUCUUGUUUCCAUCAUAAAUCAUCAUUCGUUUCGGUUUCUCUCUCAUCCCUAAGGACUUGCAAGCCAGUGGGGGGUGGAACUGGAUUCGCUCGCUGUCGGGAGAACUCAGCGACUUUGCUCAUGGAAGACUGCAAGGUUCUCGCGAGCACUAUGAGGAGGAGGAGGAGGAGGAGGAGGAGUGAAUUCGAUGCGUCUCCAAAAGACGGCUAACAGGAGGCAUUUGAAGAAAUAAGAGCCGUCGCUUGUGGUGUUGGUGUUGAAGUAGUUAACUUCAAGUUUUUUUUAUUUUAUUUUUUAUGUGCUUUCAGUUUUUAUGUUUCUUCAACAAUGUAAUAAUGGAGUCUUAGUCAAUAGGAAGUGGCUUGUUUUCAGGAGUUUGUUUCUACACAUGUUCUGGUUAGUGGGGUAUGUUAGUGGGUGUUUUGUUGCUAUUCUGUAACUAUUUUCUUGCUAAGUGGUUUGGAUGUUCUGCCUAUUUAAUAGGCUUAUGCUCUGAUGAAUAGUAACGAGCAUUAGCAAUUCUCUUGUGUGUCUUCUUCUCUUUGAUUAAAUUCAACAGUUGGAAGACAUCAUCGUGGAAGCUGAUGCAUUGCAGAGGAGAGGAGAUCCAAUCAUUUCCCUAGUGCUAGAAAGAUGUUUGACGAAAUGCGGAUGUGGAAUAGGAACUGGGGUACAUUAAUGGGCGUGUUGCUUUUGGCUUGUGCAAUUGAUUUCUUUGUCUAUAGAUAAACGAUGACGAGAAAUACAACCGUGCAUUUUGCAUCUCCCAGUCUCCUACAUUUUUCUUUUGUUUUUAUUAGUAUCCCUGUCUCCUACAUGUAAAAGCUGCAAGAUAUACUUUAAAGAUUCUUUCAUAUAAUUUAAAGAUUCUUUCAUGUGUGCUCACAUUAAUCUUUCCCUUUGAACGACGGUGAUGAAAUUGUUGGAUCUAACGAGAAAGCUAUGAUUAUUUGUCAAUUGGUGACCCACGGCAAAUGUUGCUCUUCUCCUGCGACCAAGAACUUGCAGUAUAUAUAAGGAGGUAAAUAUUAUGAGAAGAUUUUGGCUAUCUCUACGUGGAAUUCUAUUCUCAAUUGACUAAUUUAGUCAAAAAGAUAAUAUCCGCUCUUGUAUUAGUUCAGAUCUUCAAAGGGUGUCAUAAAAUAUGUUCUAUUGAGUUGCUAAUCUAUGUCCUCUUCAAUUAUUACAAUUUUUUUUUCCUUCUGGAAUCAAGGAUUGAUGUUAAACUUACGCUUACAACAUCCACGUGUCACUUGGCCAUUGCUAUCACUCUGCUAAGUUCAAACUUGGCAAUUUGUGCUCGGUAUGGAAACCUUGUGCUUGAAAAAGUGUUUCGAAGUGUGUGUGGAAGAAUUUAUCCACAUAAAAGCUGUAUUGUGGAGACUGAACAAUGGCAUAUGUUAGCUAUUGGAAUGCAGGAGCAUCCCCAAUGGCAGAUUAAGAGCAGGUUUGUAUAUUUUCAGAAGGCCAAGGAAUCUGCAUCUUCGAAGGAAAUUCCUUCACUAUAGCUUAUCAAUCAGACAUUGGGUUAUACAAGAGAGCUGGAGUGGAUUGUUUAGGACCUGCGACAGUGCACAGUGGUUUGCGUUGGUAUUUGCACACUUUGUGUGACAUUCCAGAUUUCAGUCUCGUAUUCUAUUGAAUAAAUCGAGCAUUUCAUUAGGGCUAUUCUUAUAGCUGAUCACUCUCGAGAUAACUAAACUAUCUGGGGAAGUCAUUAAGGAAUUUUAAGGCAAUAGACUUGAUAAUUCGACUAGGAAUCGACUUCUCGACCGUGUCUUUAGAAGCUAUUAUGGCACAAUUAAAAAUCGAUUUGAAAUUAGAGAUAAGUUGGUUCGACUGAGAUGUGUGGCUAAUCGUGGGUGACACCACUAAAUUAUGAAAUUCUCGUCGGCCGACACUAGACUGAUUUUCUUAUUAUUUUGGUACUCUGUGUCCGUAUUUGAAUCCUCGAGAUUUUAACAAUAACCGAGAGUUGCCAAUAACUCGAGUGGAUUCAUUGUGGCUCAAAGAAAAUCAAUCAAGGGUCAUUUGCACUGAAAAAUUUCUGAAAGUUACUCAGUAACUUAGGUCACGCUAAAAACGUGCCGAAUGACAAUUAACUGUGAAUUUGAGUCUGAUUUCAGAAAUUAAAGAUUCUGUCAUGUCACAAUAAAUUCUAGAAAUGUCGACUCAGUCUCAGAAGAUUUUUUUGCAAUCCGAGAUUUUUUUUGGAAAAAGUCGACCUACGGCCAUUUUUGUUCAAAAAAAGCCGGGGAUCAUUUUUUAUCACGAAUUUGGGAAGCAAGUGGGAUCAAUUAGUGAGGAAAAAUACCAAUUUGAUCCUUGAGGUGUCAAUUGAAUUUGUGAGAGUCAAUUGAGAUUGAAUUGAGAAAGAAAUGAAGUCCAAUUGAAGCUAACUCAUGUCAAAUUCGUAUGCCCCCUUGCCUAGCGCAUUUUGGACCAUUUCAAAGGUUGUGAGGGGUGCAUGGUUGGCUGAAUUGAAGCCAAUGAAGAAAUGGGUGGUAGUGGAUGGUCAAGGAGACAAGAGAAUGGAAGAAAUGGCCCUUGGUGGCCCCUUUGUCCGCCAUCUCUCCCUCUCUCCCUUAUACAUUGUCCAAGUCCUCUUCCUCCUCCAUUGAAGCUGCCGUGCGAAGACUAGAGGUGCAGGAGAGAAGUUGGAGUAGCCGCACCACCACCGGACUGCAAGCCGCAUGCUGUCAUCGCCGAUUCUACCCCUGUCCGCGUGCCACGCGAGCCACCGCCCAGCCGUGCGUGUUCCUGCUCCGUUCCGCCGGUUUGCCUCCGACCCUCGUGAGUGCCCACCAAGGCCCAGUUUGGUCCUUACAUUCUUCCUCGAUCAAUCCCCGCCCUAAACCGAACUUAUGGUCUUUUGUUUUAGUAAGUACAUAACAGAAAAAUAGUGGGUUUUAGAGAUGUUGUUUGGCCCGUUGUGAGGUGGUUCCAGGCCCCGAAGGCUAGGCCUGCUUUGGAGUUUUCUGUCCCCCGCGACGUUCUUGACGAUUUGAUCCGAUCGUAUCUCGAAACAAGUGAGUUUAACUCACUAAACCUCGCUUAGUGGGUUAAUGAUGUUUAGAGGUUGAUUAGAUUUAAUUAAGUGCAAUUAGGUAGAUAUAUUAGAUUAGGUUGAUUAAUUUAGUGCCUUAUCCAUGCAUGUUAGGCAAAUGAUUAGUGUAAUUAACAAGGAAAUAUGUUUUAGUAUUUAUUGAAUGAACCUCAAAAAAAAUUUGGGUCCGUUUCGGCAUCCAAUUAGGCAUUACGGGCCUAAAUUGGAUUUAUAGGCAUUUAUUUAAUUUUUUUUGUAAUUAUUUAAUUAAUUAAUUAUUUUUCAGAAAUUAGACCGUGAUAGUCGGUGACCGAAUUUUUAUGUUGAUUAUCGUGGUGUAGUCUAUUUAUUUAUUCGAGCUUUAAUUUGUGCUGAAUUGAUUUAAUUGUGAUUUUAGAAUUUAUUCCUAAAUUAAUUAAUUUUGGUAAUUAAUUGAAAAAUUACCAAGCGUUGGUCUAUAGUGCUAAAAAUCUAUUUUUGGACUACUAAAAGGAGUGGAUGAUUCAAAAGUGAAAUUAUUGUAUUUUGGCUAAGGCCGACCAUGUACCCACACAUGGCUAUUUUUAUCGAGUAUGAUAAAAAUGAUAUAUUGAUUGUAUGGUGGUAGUGGUAUACUAUAAUGGCCCAAGAAUCUUAUUUUAUUAGCUUUGGGCGAGCAUAUAAAUAGUAUACCAUAAUAUCAGCUUUGGGCGAGCAACUUAUUAUCAGCUUUGGACGAGCAUAUAUAGUAUACUAAAUUGGUUCGGGAGCCUUAAUCUAUCAACUUUGGGUGAGCAUAUACAUAGUAUACUAUAUUAUCAACUUUGGGCGAGUUAUACUAUCUAUAUUUUCAGUUUUGGGUGAGCGGUCCUAAUUUGAUAGAACCUUAUAGAUAGUAUUAAAUGUAUCAACCGGGUAAAGGUUGUGAUGACAUGUAAUUGACUAGGUCGAUUGAUUAAUGUUUUGAUAUGAUGUUUUGAAUUGAGUGGUUGAUGUGAUUUGAUGCAUCUAUAAAUGAUAUUGAUUUGCAAGAUCGAAUUGAGGCCAAGGUAAGUCCUCUGACUUGUGUUAUGCAUAGGCAGCCCUUAUGGCGUAUUGGUUUCCUAAUUGAGUUUUAGGGGUAGAAUUUGCUAAAACAUUGUCUCACCCCGUUGUGGGAUAACAUUUCAAUCUCCUAGAUGGCAGUACCUUCACCUCCUCAUCCUCCCAUGCAUUUUGGUAUUCCCGAGGAGAUCACAAAGAUAAGAUACCACUUCCAUAUACAUAGCCACCCCGAAGGACUGGAAUACAUACUGAUCAAGUCCACUGUCUGGGUUGACGUGAAUAAACCCGAUAAGAUGCCCCAUGAGUAUCGGUCAUGGUACCGUUAAUACCAUGAUGGGCGAAGAGAGGGUCUUAUACCAGAAAGUGAUGUGUCUUUGCACGUACUGGAAUAGGCGUUCGGAGAGAGGACGACAGAUCCUAAGGAUGGGUUAGUAGUGGAUGCAAAGGAUCCCUAGCUCAACGAUCCUGAAUCCUCGGUAUACUAUAACAUGGACUCCAAUUAGGGUGUCAAAGAAGGAGUGGACGUCGAAGAGGAGGAACCUGAUGAGGAGCUUGAGAACGAACUUAAUGAGGAGCCUGAGAACGAACCUGAAGAGAAGGACUUUGAAGAAGACCCUAAAGAUGAAGAAGAGGAGGAUCCAGAGAAUGACCCGGAUGAAGACUAAGACCCCAUCCUGCUUUGCAAACUCUAAGUUGUGAUCUAAUGUGUGAUAGGUUUGACUUGUGAAUAGUACUGUAAUAUAUAUUAUGAGGUUUGCUUGUAUAAAAGCGUGGUUAUGGUUUUUCAGGUUUGAAAAAUAUGGCCCUACUUUUCUAUCCCAUUGUUUUAUUGUUUAGGAAUUUCUUUUCUACUUCCGCAUGCGUAUUAAAAUGAAAGGGUCGGCGAUGCGUCCUCUAACGUAGGAAUGGGCACAUGCCCGAGGAUUGGGGUGUGACACUUUGAAGAUUGGUUAUUUUGUGCUGAUGGCAUCUCAUCCCUUUUGCUCUUUUUGAGAAAUUUGAUACUGAUUCUUAGUAAUCAUGUCCAUUUUGUUGUUGAAUACAAUUUUGUAUUUGGUAUGUAGUAUAUUUUCCUUGGUUUACCUGCUUGGAAGAACUAGAAACUGAAAUCAGUCUAGUCACAUGGAGAUGGACAACUUGGCGAAUGUAUAUGUCGUUCUUAAUCAGUCUAACCUUAUGAAUAGGCCUAGAUACAAUUAGGUUUAAUUUGUUAUGGUAGAAUCAAAUAUAUGCACACUUGAUGACAUCAAUUGUCUCCAUUGGUCAAAGAGUUGCAAAGCAUUGACAUAGGAAGGCCAACUAGGGUUGCUUGUGUCCAGUUCAAUUUUUAGUUCAGUAGGUUGAAAUAGCCACCGGCUAUGGGCUUGUGCUUGCUCCUAAUUGAUGGUAUUCCGAAGAGACGGCAUAGGAGAAUCAUAUAAGAAAUUUCUUUUCCCCUUAUUUUUUCCUAGACUCUGGAUUGAGCUCCGUGAACAUGUGAUUUUGCUUUCUAUAUUUGCUGCAUAACACUCUCAAGACUGAGCAGAGUCAAUGAAUCUAGGGUUUGCAAUUUGAUAGUCUUGAGUGAUCCAUGAUGUAGCCUUUGCAUGGCAAAAUCAUUGCUAAGGGCCAUUGCCCCUCUCUGAUAAGUGAUGUUCCUCUUGCUGCGAAAGAACAAUGAAAGUCAUCAUUAGUUUGCUUAAUUGAUACUUCUGACGGACCGAGGAAAAGCAAGAGGAAGAAUUUAAUGGGUGGGUAUGCAACAAUGGUCCGCCUCUUCUGAAUCAAGGCGUUAUGAUGAAUUAACUCCUUGCUGUUAGGAUGUGACCAUCAUUGAUGGAUCUCGUCAUAUCUUAUGAUGAUGCAAUACUAAACAUUUGAGGAAUUCAUAACCACCCAAAUGUUUCCAAUUUCUUAAUACUUAUUUUCUUGUUUAUUCCUUCCGUUUUUUUUUUAAAAUUACCGUUGGCUUUUCUUGUUUCUUUUUAGUAGGCCCUUUUGCUCCACAAUGCAUGUUUUGUUUCCAUCCUUACAGUGUUCUGUCUUACUCGAUCUUCAAGAUGACAAUACUAAUAAAAAGCUGACAAGUGCAAAGACUUUGCCACCUCGCUUUUCAUUGGGUUUACAAGAUCUUUUGCAAAACUGCACUUUCACUGGAUUUGCAUGCAUAGUGGACCACGGCGAAUGCUUGAGACUUAUAUAGAAGAUGCAUGACAUAAGUUAGAGUUGGUUUAUGGUGAGAAAGAUUAAAUGUCAUUCAGUUGCUGAAUUGAAUGUGGAAGCCUCACAUCACCUGCCUUCCUAAAGAACUCUUUAGUACUUAAUGAGCGUGUUGUUAUUAUAAGUGUGAAGAUGGAAGAUCAAGAUGCCCCUGAGCGAGUUUUUUUUCAACUAAAGCCUUAAAAUACAGAUGCAGGGUAACUUUUGUCAUGGCGUUGCUUAAAAUUGUUUGUUCAUACUCAUGUCACGUGCAUUUGCAGACACUAAUAGGCAUUAGACCUAAAUUGCUAGAUUAUGAGAAAGAUUUCCCAUCCCUGUUGCUUUAUUGACCAUUUUGCACUCAUCAUUUUUAUGUAGACUUACUUGAAAGUUCUUAUGGUUGAGCAGUGGCCGUAUUCCACCAUCUCCUCAAGAGUACCCUAUUUUAGGUCUCAGUUAGUCAGUUUGUAGAGAACUCAAAGAACUCAAAAAAUAAGUCAAAGUGUAUUGCUACAUUCAAAGAAAAGUAUGUGUAACAUGCUCGGCUUAGACAACUCCAAUAAUUAAUGCAGUCGACUCUAUAAUUUCUUUUUUCUCCUGAAGGGAAAAUAUAGCUCAAUUGAUAACUGAUUUCUGAAUUGGUCAAGGACCGAUUGAACCACAAAUGCAGUCAGCUCUACAAUUUCUUUUUUCUCCUGAAGGGAAAAUUCAUUUAAUUCUUUUUUUAGGGAAAAAGAAAGAAGUUGGCUUCGCACCGUACUAAGCGAAUUAAGGGGCACUCACCCCGCAAUUUACAUAAAAGCCCCUCCUUUGAAGGCACACCGUACGCAAUACAAAAGGAAAAGUCCCCAGCGGUCAAACCGGUCAAACCCUUUAUGUGCAGUAAUAAGGCCUUCGAGAAAGGAAAUUUAAUCAAAAUAAAAUAAGAAAAAAUUGUGGAAUUUCUUUCUUCGUAUCCGAUCAACGAAUGAUUUCUCCAAUAAAGGGAAUUCUCGCUCCGAAUUGAGAUGAUCGUAAAUCGUCACGAUCGAUCCGAUUGAGCUCCCAAUCGAGAUCGCUCCUACUGCACCGUCGCUCUUCUUGUCCCCAAUCGCACAUCGCUUCAGGUUCGUCGGUCCCGAUUUCGUCCUACUUUUGUUUCGCACUCGACGGUUCUCCAGUCCUUCAACCUGUCUCCCGUUAUCAAAGAUUUGAUUCUUUUUGCUGCAUCUGGGUGUGAAUUUCUCCCAAUUUUCUCCCUCUUCCCGUGCUUGAAAGAUUCUCGAGCGAGUGAUGUGGAACGUCGUCUACUUUUGCUUGUUUUGUUGAUGCUUUCUAUAAUCUCUCGUUAUGGCUGUCUGCACUUUUUCUUUUUCUUUUAUAUGUAUGUCGUUCCGGCUCGGGCAUGCGUCGACCCUUUUUGUAGAAUGAUGUGAUGAAUGUUCAGGCGGAUAUGUCGGGGCAUGUAUCUGGUCAGUCGGGUGCUCAGUUGCAUGGGGUGUCCCAGCAAAAUGGCAACGUCAUCCCAAAUAUGGUAGCUGCAGGCAGCGGCGCUUCUCAUGCUGCGUUUGGCGUGGACAUGGAUACUCUUGGAGCUCGGCACUAUAUGCAGGAGAAGAUGUAAUUUAGUUUAGAGCACUUGUUCUUGUGCUUUAACCUCCUGGGUUCCACUGGUCCUUGUUUGCUGAUUGAACUUUUUACUGUCCCUUUUAAGCUUUUUUCUCUUAGCACAGCAGCAUCAGCAGCCAAUUGAUGAUUCUCAAAUACAUAAGCUGAAAGAUAUUGCUCAACGCCUGGAAGACGGUCUCUUUAAAUCUUCUCACUCAAAGGUCCCAUUUCUCAUCAUUUCUCUCCUCUUCUUCUUUGUAGAAGUACAAGAAGCGGCUUAUGAUUGCCCUUUAUUGAGUUUUUUUUUAGUGUUUUACAUUUUACAUUUGCGAAAGCCAAUAAUCUGUUCAUUUCUCUUGCCUAGUUUCACCUAUUUUUUCUCGUUAUUAUCAGUAUUUCCUUUCUUUUUGGUAAAUAGUACUUGACAUUCUUUUGCUACUUGAAAAUUACAAUCAUGUAGGAUGAGUAUAUGAAUUUAGGCACAUUGGAGUCCCGGUUGCAUAGUUUGAUCAAGCGUCCACCUCCUAAUAAUCAAAAUCCAGUCAAUCCUAAUGCAAUGACGGUGAUGAUUCCAACCCUUGGAUUGUCGCAUAAUGGGAGUUCGACCAUGAUGGCGACAUCUUCAGUGGAUGCCCCUAUGAGUUAUAUGGCUGGGAAUAGCAGCAUGCAGCCAACAAAUGCAAACACAGUAAGCCUUAUGUCAGACCUUAUGCCAAACAGAAUUUAUCCAAAGGCAUGUACUCUCUAUAAUUUCUUGUUAUGGUUGUCUGCGCCGAUGCCUGGCGGUAUUGGGUGUGGUUUGUUCACUGUGAAUAGAGUUUUACUGUAUGUGGCACAAGCUCAGGCAUGUGUAGCAAGUUUGAAUGAUUACAGGAAGAGUGAGAGCUUUUGUAGAUUGAUGUGAUGAAUGUACAGGCAGAUACGUCAGGGCAUGUAUGUAGUCAAUCGGGCACUCAGUUGCCUGGGGUGUCCCAGCAAAGUGGCAAUGUUGUCCUGAAUUUAGUGGCUGCAGGCAGUGGUGUCCCUCAUUCUGGGUUGAGUGUGGACAUGGAUCUUCUUAGAGCUCGGAACUAUAUGCAAGAGAAGAUGUAAUCUAAUCUAGAGCACUUCUUCUUGUACUUUAACCUCCACAGUUCCAUUGAGUCCUUGUUUGCUGAUUGAACUUUUUACUGUCCCUUUUCAGCUUUGUUCUCUUAGCACAGCGGCAUCUGCAGCCAAUGAAUGACUCUCAAAUUCAGAAGCUGAAGGAGAUUGUUAAACGCCUGGAAGAAGGUCUCUUUAAAUCUUCUCGCUCAAAGGUCUUCCCAUUCCUCAUCAUUUCUCUCCUCUUCUUCUUUGUAAAAGUACAAGAAGCAGCUUAUGAUUGCCACUUAUUGGUUUUUUAUUUUUAUUUUUAUUUUUUAUUGUUACACAUUUUACAUUUGCGAAAGCCAAUUAUUUGUUCAGUUCACUUGCUUGAUUUCACCUAUUUUUUCUCGUCAUUAUCAGUAUUUCCUUUCUUUUCUUUAUUUAUUUAUUUUUUUUGGUGAAUAGCACUUGACAUUCUUUUGCUAAUUUAAAAUUACAAUUAUGUAGGAUGAGUACGUGAAUUUAGGCACAUUGGAGUCCCGUUUGCGUAGUUUGAUCAAGCGUCGUUCUCCUAAUAAUCGAAAUCCAGUCAAUCCUAAUUCAACCAUAACAAUGAUUCCACCUCCUGGAUUGUCGCAUAAUGGGAAUUCGACCAUGAUGGCGACACCUUCAAUGGAUGCACCUAUGAGUAAUAUGGCUGGCAGUAGCGGCAUGCAACCAAUGAAUGCAAAUGUGGGAAGCCCUACGUCAAGUGGUGUCAUGCCAACACAGGAAGCCUUAUCGGAAGCCUUAUCGGAAGCCUUAUGUCAACUUGAAUUGUAAAUGAACAUUUUCAUUCAGAUGUAGGCCUUAUGCAGGAUGUGUUGUUAUGUUUUGAAAGUUGGGGUAUAAUUUGAACGAUUUUUCUUUCCUGUUUCCCAGUAUAUCGAUGAAGAUAUAAACACCCACGCACUUUCAUUUAGAAAAAACUACAUAGGCUUCAAACAGAAUUUACUGGCCCUAAUGAUUAAACAUUCACUUGGAACUUAGACAAUAAAAAGAUGAGAAUGCAAAACGGUAGGGGAUUCAUUCACAUUUCAGAAAAUGUUACGGCUAGAAAAUUCAACUUGUCAUUUCCUAUGAUUGAACAAAAAGAAGCACGACAUACCUAACCUGUGGACUUAGCAUGUAAGAAUGAAUCGCAUGAAGUACCCCAGCUACUAAAGAUUUUUCUAGUGAUCAAACAUACUUGCUUUCAGAGUAAAUCCAGCAUUAGAUAAAUCGCCAUCUCUGCACAUGAUGCUGCAUUUCCCAUGACGUCACCUGGAAUUCUGGCUACUUUUAUUCCAUUUUUGGUGGCAACAUUGAUAUCAACACCUUCAUGAAGAUGUAAAUGUUUGGUACUAAAUUCAGUUAAAAGCUAAAAGAACAUAGUGAUAAUAUUGACAAAUAAACCUAAAUCCCCCUGCCCGACAUACACAAGCAAGCAGGGGUAGACACCAUUUAGACGGACACCAAAUUGUAGUAUAAGCUUCAAUUGUUUCACUCAAGCUAUAGUAUCUGACUCAAGGCGCUUGUUCUUCACCAUCUCCUAUAACAUGAUGCACAUCAUCAGGGGCUACCUAAUUGACCUACAAAAAUGGAAAAUGGAUGAAUGGAUGAUCUUCAAAGGUGCAGGUAGAGACAAAUUUGGAAACAUAUGAAACAGUAAGUCUUUACCUUGCCCAUCAAUUGAAGCACACUAAUUAACAAGCAUAUAUUUACAUUUAAACAUAAGAUCAAACCGAAUGUGCAAAGUUGAAGAUGCUCUUUUAUUGCUAGUUUGUUAUUUAUCCAAAGGCAUGUGCUAGCGACAAUUGGAUCGUUUCAGCAAGUUUAAAUAGGACCCCCAACGAGAGCAGAUUGGUUUUUAAUUCAGCCUAGUAAAAAAUUUCAUCACCUACAUCAGUGUCUCAAAGUAUGCAAUUCUACUAUGUUACAAUGAUCAAAGGCAGAAAUGGGAUAUUACUUCCAGUGCAGUAGGUAGUUGAAAUCUAGCUCUACCGAUGGAUGCGAAAAUAAUUGGACGGCAUCGAGACCUCAAAGUUGAUGCAAUCAAAAUCCCUUCAUACCACUCAAAACACAUCCAGCUAACUCCAUCAACCACUUCCAAAUGAAGAAAGAGCAACAUUAGGUAUUUCCCUCCACUUCCUUUGAGCUUGUGAAGCUGUAACUCCUGCUACAGAGAUGAGGAGGGAGAGAGAGAGAGAGAGAGAGAGAGAGAGAGAGAGAGAAGGCAAGGACGUUGACGUACUUGCAACUGGGGAUAGGUGAGGUAGAGAAUGAAACGGAGUUUGCGGCCUCCAAUCUACACCUUCCUUUCCUUCUCAAUAAUUGCUGCAGAUGGGAUUUGUUGAAUCACAUUAUAGUUUUUCCACAGUGAUCUGCCAGGUUUGCACAGACCCUGUCACCGAGCACAACUCUUCCUUUGGAAAAGUAUUCUAUCUGAUGAAUUAAUCAUCUAUGAAUCAUUUCACUCGUUACACCACGUGACAAAAAUGAUGUGACAUAUUUCAUUGGUAUGAAUCCUAUCUUAUUCGACUGUCACUUGAAUGUAAUGAAAAAUCCCACAACUCAUCACGACAUCAGGUGCAUAUUCAUGCUAUGGCAUUGGAGAAAAAACGUAUUCUCAUCGUCCUCCAACUCACAUUGAAACCUUUCUUUGCGAGUUUGAAGUUUUUUCGACCGGAGCUCAAUAGGUAGGAUUAUAACAUCAGGACGAUUGAUCAACUUUAACACCAUCCACCCCGACACCCCCCCCCCCCGGCCUGUCCUCAAUUCUCCAACAGCGCGAUGUGGUUCACGAUCAUUCAAGCCCAGCAGCACUUUUUCUUCUACUGCUUGUUCCCCAAUAUCAACUUAGUAAGAAUUGAAUACCAGUGAUUUUCCAGUUCCCAGCACUUCGGCUUUCCUAAGAUAUUUAUUUGCCAAGACUUUCCUACUAGCAUCAUACAGUGGGACCUGAAUGAUCCAAGGGAAAUAUAAUAAUGAGCAGAAAAGUUAUUCCAGGACCUAUAAAGAAGGGGUGCUUAGGGCCUUAUAACUUUUUUGCGUAGUGAUAUGCACUUAGUGUGAUGCUUGGGUCACAUAAUGAACCAUUAUCUGAAAAACAAAUAAGUGGUUCAUGUUGGAUCAGCAAACAAAGUAGCCAGCCCAGUUUAAUCUAAAGAACAGUGGCUUAAGGAUGAAAACAUCCUUAAAAGUGCUUCGGAAUGACCUGCCUCCCUAGGGAUCCGCGAACUUCAAGCUGCAAAAAACUAUCAUGGUAUUUCUUGGCCUUUUGAGUUACUUGUGUGGUGUACAAAACCUGCCGUUCUACAUGAUAGGGAAGUGUCAAUCUCCAAGUAGGACAUGCUCAGUUAAACUAACACAAAAAUAAAGGAAGGACACCGCCCACAAAAGAACAUUCCCAUUCUCAUGUGUGUCAGAAACGACUGAAGAAAAAUAAUGAAUCUGUUAUUGUAUUCGUUAUUUCCAUAACCUCAAGCUAAAAGGAGGCAGUAAAUCCACGGCAAUAUCAAGAACAUAGUCAGCUGGUUAAUGAAAACUUCAUUAGAAAAUUUAUUGGCAAGUAGAACGAACAACUUGCUAAGUAAUGAAAACUUCAGAAGAAAAUGUAAGCAUAAAGGAAUAUCCUGAGGAAUCCAUGUAACUCGGUUCAUUGCCCUCCUCUUUUGCAUGAAGUUCUCGUACUUAUGAGUCAUUCUUAAGUACCUAGAGCACAGUGCUAGAGCUAGGAAAAUCUCAAGAACGUAACCGGUCAAGGUGAAUUAUGGAUUUUUCAAAUGAAUGGACACACUCAGACCUUCUGUGAAGCACAAAGCUGAAAACUCAAUAGAUAGUUUUGUAUUUUCGGUGAAGCUUUUAUCUAUUAUGAAACAAAAUCCAACCUGUUACUCCUGAUAUUCUGGCAUCUAAUAUAUUCACCUUUGCCCCAUUCUGAGGCAUCUGGCCAUUUUUUUUUCCUUCUGAAAGAGUACUAUUGAAUACAUGUUCAGUGCAUCACAAACAGAAUCGGGUCAUUAUUGUAGAUCAUGCAAAACAUGAAGAGAAGGGAAUCAUGCUCCUCAACAGAAAAGAAAGAGAUAACAUGGAUAAAAAUGAUGACUUUUCAAUUGUCGACUCUCUUUAUCUGGUCAAUGAAGAAAGUAUUAACUUCAAAUAAAAACAACGAAUUGAUUCAUGGCAUCUGCAAGUUCAAGGCCUUGCGGAAAUCAUCCCACAUCUCAUGAACAUCCCUUGGACUUGCAUCCUUAAAGCUCUGAAUCACAAUGUGUUUGCAAUAUCAUUCUGGUGAGUAUGGAGUAUCACCCAAUUACAUCAAUUGCAGAGCAGCUGAAUGAUAGGGUCCAUGGGAUAUAAACAAUGAGGGAGAAAUGUUAAUAAUCUAUUGGAAUUUUAAGACUUUAGGUUAGGAGGCAAGGUAUAUUACCUUCAUACAAAGACUAAACAUGUAAAAUAAACACUUUAUAGAACACUAGGAAAUGAAUCGAAUUGAACUGUAUUCCGGGUACCUUUUAAAGCAGAUUUAACAUUAAUAACAUUAUGCUGCUGCUUUUGCAUAUUAAUUUUUGAAGAGAAUUGAAACUGUUUCCACACGCAUUUAGAUCCCUCAAAAUGCAUCGUUUGCUUCACUAUUGCCACGUUCAACCAAAUGACCAGGAAAUUCCAUCAUCUCCCCAGGGCUUACUUCUUCAGCUUUGUUCAGGAACCUGCCAUCUAAAUGUUUCCAGCUCAUAUCAACAAGAAAACCUCGUAAAAGACCCAAAUAAGUUUUCAAUCAUCUGAGCCAUAUUUAUCCUGACAAAAAAAAUUCACUAAUCUGCUGAGAAAGGUAUACGUCAUGAAGAGGAAAACCAACUGAUAAAGGAAGGAAGAGCUGAAAUUUAAUCCAGCAACAAGAUAGCUGGUAUUAUCUAAGGGUAAAAAUCAGGAGGAGAUGAAGACUGUAGAGCUUGACCUGCCUAGUCAUAGAUCCACUGCUCGUACAACUUAAGAAGCCAUCAUGACAUUUCUUCGACUUUUGAGUUAAUUGAGUUGUAUACAAGGCGUAUCAAUCUACAUCAAAAGGAAUAUCAUGUCAACUGCAGUGCCGAGACAACAAUAACACUCUCGAAUAUAACUGCAUAGAGAACAUUGAGACCAUUUUUCUAAGGGAAGUUUGGAUAUAUGCUAAAAAGCUCCAAUGAUUUUCAAGAGAAGCCACAAAAAUAUAUGAAACCACCUUGAUUGAGAAGAAUUGAUAUACGAAGCAUCAGAGCUGAGAGAAUCUUUAUUGAUCUUGAAAAGACUCUGUAUGUAAUAUAAAGAUGUGCAGAAACUGUAUCCCAAGGAAAAUCAAGAACGGAUUCACAAUCCAGGAGAUACAUCAAGAGAAAGACACGGCCUGGCAUGGGCAUAGAUGAGUCAGCAAAAGUCCAAACUCACCUGUCAUGCUUGAUGUCCUUGAGUUCGGACUCGCCUGCAAUAUGCCAUACCUGUUCAUUUCAAAAAACAUAACAGAACGCGUGCUAAGUUGUUGUCACCGGCAUUUACAUUACUCUUAAGAUUCUUUUAUGUGUGCUUACGUUACUCUUUCCCUUUGAACAACAGCGAUGAAAUUGCUGGAUGGAGUGAGAAACCAUAUGAUUAGAACUUUCAACCUUGUCCUUGUGUUUUACAGAAUGCGGAUGCGUGAAAUGUUCGUAGAGGAUGGAGUCCUUUCUCAACACUCCGAAGCACCACCUACGAUAUACCUUACCAGGCACGCUUCCUUCACAAGAUUUAUCCGUUGGUUUAUUAGGACACAAAAUUUGGUGUUGGCUCGUGCUUAGUAACUUUCUCUCAGUUUCAGAAGCUAAGAAUCUGCGAUACUACAUGACAAGUGGCUUAAAUGGCAAAAUGUCUAUAGGCUAAAGUUGUAUGACCCAUUUUCUGGUUUAACUACCAUAGCAUAUUGCACAUAGCAAGAUUGGUCUAUCAGACAGAAAAUUCAUGAGUUACAGAACAACUUUUCUUGUUCUUCGGACAUCUUGAGGACACGAUCUUUUAUGACUGAUUCUCUUCUGAAUUGACAUUAUAUCCCCCACAUGAACAUCCUGUACCCGUUGGCAACCCAAGGAUCCACUUUAAUUUAUACUCAUGUUGAGAGGAAUAGGAGAACUGAUAUCGAGCGAUAUUCAUGAACAACCGUCUCUUCAAGGCUUUGCUUAGCAUGCGAAAGGCAAGAAAGGACUGCAAGCUAUACAUGUUCUUGGACGAGAACUAAGUAGAACAGGGGAUAAAAGAAAGUGGAGAAACCCAUAUCACAGUUUCUUUGCACCACAAGUAUGACCUAUGCUGUAUUUGUUAUGGUAGCUUAAGCUAGCUUAAGAUUUUGAGAAUAAUUUAAUGCAAUAAGAAACCGAAUGAAAAGAAAGUCCUGAUAAAAUCACAAUUUCUACAAGGAAUUCCUUUGGAAGAUCGUUGCCGCUCUAUAGUUUAUUGUUCACUCUUGCCUGUUAUUACAAACAGGAAAGGUAAAUAAUAAAGAAUGUUGUGGAAGCUGAGACACUGUUUCCUCUUGGUAAUUAUAUAAAGAUAGGCUCACAGUUCAGAAAACACAGCUAAAACUGGGCAGCCCUUGGAAGGAACAAAUAAAAUGGCUUAAGCAGCUAUUUAUCACAGUCACAGGCCGCUUGACCCUCAGUUUGAUCACUAAGAAGCUGCUGUUACAUGAUCUGUAUGCUAAGACACAGCUAAAACUGGGCAACUUUCAAGGGCUGGGUAUAUGUUAUCUAACAGAGCAUCUAAACCGAGCAUCUUUCUCGAUAGGAAUUGAACAAGCAUUGUCUACAAAUGAACGGUCUACGAUGCAACUUUGACCUGCCAUAUAGAUAUUUGAAGACAUGAGAACAUACACAGUAUUAUUUCUGCUUCCUCAGCCGAAUUUCUUCACCAUGCGUUCACUUAUCUUAAUUUUAACUAAUAUCUCAGAUCAACGUGGGUGGCCUCUUUCCAUUUUGAUAUGUAAGCACAGUGAACCUCAAUAUGUUGAAUAGCGCUGCAAAUACAUUAAUUAUGUCGUAUAAAUAUGAAGUGUUUCAGACCAAACACCUAUAAAUGAACUUGGCACUAAAACACUCCCCAUAAAAACAAGAGCUCGAUCGUACAAAUUUCAAAUGCGAUAGGCACGAGAUUUUUUAGCACUCCAUUCAGAUUCUUGAGAGUAGCAAUACAGUCAAUUGAGCAAUGACCAUUGUUCAAAAUCCAAUAUCAAAACUGGGACACUCGGCCGUCACUUUCAAUUGAUCCCUAUCUCCUUCAGGGGUCUUCAAUUCAUCAUCAGCAUCACCUCAAGAAUGCGUGAAAGAGAUGCUUUUGAUGCAAGGCUUGUUGCCACAACAUUUGGGGUCAGCUUGCUCGUGAGAAGGCUGGAAGCGAUAAUCGGACCAGAUGUAUAUGCUAGUCAUACAGAAUUCAAUGCAAUUGAGAAUGUCCACUAGGUGAAUACAGAACUAGAUUUUGGUUUCCUACCAGCAGUUGCUACCUGCAGCUAAUUUGUUUUCGCUUGUAUCGUAGUCUGCACCAAAGAGUUUCAACAAACAUCAAAACUCGUGAAGUUCUAAUGGAGUUUUAAGAUGCUUAUAGUCACAUCCUUGCCACCAAUGGUUAAAAAAUGGAGCUGAAAGAAUUGAUUACCGUAAAUUUAACAGUACAAGUAGUUGUGGAAUAGGUGGGAGUUGCCAAUUUCAAAUCCCCCCGUAGAGCGAAAUUCAUUGAAAUCAGAGGAUGAUUCAGAUGAAAUUAUACAAUGUAGCUAAGGAAACAUAAACUAUGAGAAAGCUAACAUUAAAAUUUAAAAAAAAAAAAAACACGCUGAAUUGAAAGAAAUCAUGGCUAAACCAACCUUUUUAGACUUCAUGGGGCCAGGAAACUUUUCAUUGCCGAAGUUAUCAGUUAGAUUUCCAGUGUCCCAUACUCCAUCAAAGCUAGUUUAGCAGCUGGCGCUGUCUUUGAGCAGCAUCAUAAGAAUUAUCUGAAUGCUGAAGCUCUUCUAUUAGUGAAGCAAAACUUCCCUUCCUCUCAUAUAACUUCCCCAAUAGCAACUUGAUCUAAUGGUUUUCGGAGGACGGAUGAUAUUUGAUAGGCUGCAUCGAUUGGAUUACUAGAGCUCAUUUGCAAGCUGGAGUAAGUAAUACAACAUAGGUUCCUCCAAUAAACAUGGGAGUUAACUUUGGAGGAAAUGCAAAAUAAAGGGGGACAGCAAUGCAUCGACAUCAAUACGACCGCUCCCAAGCUUAGUUUAAUGACAUUCUUCUUUAGGAUAGGUUCAUGAAAAAAUCUAUCCAUUUUGUAACUCCUUUAUCGGAAAAGAUAUUUUCGUUUUACUUGUUAAAUAUCUAAAUUAUAUAUUGAUGACAAUAUCAAUUGUAUUCUCUAAUUCAUUUAUGGAAAGUUGUUCUUAGAUUCUUUAUUUGUCAUUGAUGUAUCAGUUUGAGGUUUUUUCAUGGUAAAAAGAUUAGCUUGGAAUAAAGUUGUCACUUGUAUACCGAUUUGGAGUUUUUCGUAAUGUUAACCAUUUGUUAAAAGAUCCAGUUAAAAGUGAAUUAUUUAAUCCUUGCAUUUGAGAACCAAUUAUCACUUUAUCAAUCAUGCGCACUCUGUCCUUUUGAAUUUUCACUAUAUGCUCCGUAUCAAACCUCAUCAAUCAAUUACAAGUUCGAAUUGUAUAGAGUUGAAAUAACUCUCACUUCAAUUUGGGUCAAAGAUAUAUUUUUUUUCCAGAAAUAUGAAUAAAUAAUCCACACAGAUGAUAGGGGAAAAUGAAAUGAACAAAAUGGGCAAAUUGCAGAAUAGAUAAAUUAUGAUAAUAUAUACGCGAGCUUCAAAACUAUUACACCCAACGGCUGAAAAAAGAGAAUCUAAGUUUCAGUUCAUCCUUGAACAAAAAAAAUGAUAGGCUCCUACAAAUUUGAUGCAAUCAAUUUUAGAGAUGAUUGUCGUGUAAGCUCAGCUUCAGCUAGAAGUCUAACUUGUUGCCCAAGUUUGGGAUCCACAAUUGUAGAUGCAACUUUCAACUAAGUGGAUCCUCAAUUCUAAUGUUAACAAUUCAAUUGAUGAUGUGCAUAGCAGGCCCAAGUGGAUUUUCAAUUCCAUUGUUAACAAUUCAAUUGAUGAUGAGCAUAACAGCCCCAAAUUCUUCAAAGCGAUGGUGAUUUCCUUUUAUCAAGCAUUCUUUUCUUGAACUUUGAUCAUCAAUUCUUUACACGAGUUUCUCUUCUAUCACAUCCAACUCUCCUAACUCAUUGAGGAUCUUAUUCAUGCCAAAUGCCUUUUCUCAAAUAUGCUGAAAAUAAAGGAUUAAAUAAGGUAUCAUGCUGGUGUAAAAUACUUUUCAAACAAGUGACGAUAAAAUGGAACCUCAAUGGAAUGCAUUCAUUUAUUAAAAUUAAAUACAAUAUACAUGUCAACACUAGAAUUGGGCUUGUUUAAUGAUUUCUUUUCCUAUCAUCAGUGUACAAAAUAAAAGUGAGAAACAAGUAAUGAUAGAUAUAGAAAUGUUCAAGCUCCGCACUCGGGAGCCACUCCGGAUGUUCCUUUGCCUUCUGGAAAUAUACAAACCCACUAGGGAUGGUCCUGCAUUCCAACAAAUAAAGAAAUGUUCAGGCACCGCACAACUUUUGACCUGGAUGAAUUCUUCAGCACACUAUGAAUCUACUGUUUGCUAUCUACAUCGGCACUUCUUCAAGCACGAGGUUUCCAUACUGAGCCUACCUUGCAGGCCAAACAACACGUAGAUGUGGUAAGUGUCGGUUUUAUAUCUGUCUGCAGUACCACAAUAGGAUAAACUUUCCUAACCCUUGAAAAGGAUAUAAAUUAGCAACCCCAUAGAAGAGGUUUCAUGAGACCCUCCGUAGGCCUGAACUGGUGCUGGAGAGUAUCUUAUCCUUGUGAGCGAAUUAGUCAAUUUAAAAACGGAAUUCCAGGUAGAGAAAGCUAAAAUUCCCUCAUCGCGUGCGUCGCCAAUCGAUACAUAAUCAUUUGCUUUUUCGCUACAUCCAGCAACUUCAUCUCUGUUGUCCAAAGGGAAAGAAUAAAGUAGGCACGCAUAAAAAAGAACGUCUAGAUAUACAAAGAAAUGAAUUACUCAUUCCGCAAGCAGCACGCCGAUUUCGGCUUUUAGCCACCCCAUCGGCUUUUAGCCACCCCAGUUUCUAUUCUCGCCCGCGCAUUUCGUCAAACAUCUGACCAGCGCUACGAAACGCUCGGAUCUUCUGCCCAUUCCAUUGCAGCUUUCAUGGCGACGAUUAUAACGCCACGAGUGAAGAUUCUCGUUUCUUGAUAUGCUUCUCAUCCAGCGUCUUCAUGGAGAAGCAUGGAAUUCGCUGCACCUCCUCUCGCGUGCCCUUCGCCCUGCACCUUGUCCUCUCCCGGCGCGUGGGAGAACUUGCGCAAUCUUCCAUGAGCAAGUCCCGAGUUUUUCUACUCUCCACAAGGAGCGAAACGACGGAUUCCCCCUGAAUUGAAGUGCACGAGGAUGAUAGGGAAAAUGAGACGAACGGAAUGGGCAAAUAGCAGAAUGGAUGGAAUUUUUGGUAAUGAAUACGUCAUGUCAACCUCGAAAUAACCGACCAAAAAAAAAAAAGACUUGGAAAUAAUUGCACACAGAUGGCUGGGAAGUAGCCUAGCGUUCUUGCAUAUGAUGCAAGGGUGGCUUGACUCAAUAGAGAAGAUAGCGUGAAAUAAAGAAAUAUAUGAAUUCGAUUAGUGCGCGUGCGUACGGUUUAACUUAAUAUUAGAUAAAAUAUAUAUGUGAUAUAAAUUUAUUUCGAAUUAAUUUUCUGACCAUAAAAAUUCUAAAGUAGUAUGCUUGUAAUAAAUUUACCCUAAACUAAUUUUUAACUACAAAAAAUAUCAUAUUAGUACAUCUGUGAUAACUUUAUUUAAAUAUCAAAAAUAAAAAAAGUAGUACAUUUAUGACAAAUAUGCCAUAUGUUAAAUUAAAUUAAUAUCACAAAAAAUCAUAAAAAUUGUACAAACUGUGACAAACAUAGGGUAUAUACCCAUCAACUAUCACUUAUCAUUUAACUCAAUAAUUUGACAAUAAAAUUUAAUGAAAACUAACGAAUGAUAAAUAUAUCACAAUUGUAUUGAUUUUGGUAUUUUUUUGUGGUGAAAAAAAUUAAUUUUUGGUAAAUUUAUCAUAGGUGUACCAAUUUGAGGUUUUUUGUGAUCAAAAAAUUAGUUUUGAACAAAUUUGUCAUAAGUGUACUAGUUUAAGAUUUUUCGUAGUCAAAAAAUUAAUUUUGAAUAAAUUUGUCACAAAUGUACAAAUUUGAAGUUUUUCAUAAUAUUAAACUUUUAACAAAUUAAAUUGAUAUUUCUUGGGGAAAAAAGAAAAAAGAAGAAGAAAAUUGGCUCCCAUCUAGCUCUUGCACCUUAAAUUAAAGAGAACAAAGACCCAUUCGGUUGAAAUUAAAUUUCAAAGAUCAAAUUGAACAUUGAUUAAGAAUUUAGGGACCAACUUUGAUAUCACCUUCCUAUUUAAAUCUGGAGCCCAUUGGCCGAGUGAACUUUUAGAAUUAGAAGCUACUAAACAUAUGCAUGUCCACCUUCCUUUCGCGCCAAUAACUCUUAACAAGAUAUCGAAGUCUCGUGAAAGCUGUAUUAUCAUAGAACUGUCAUUCUGGACUUUACUCAUUUUGUUCGUUUCAUUUUCCCUCUCAUCCUUGUGAGCUUCGAUGGUAGAAUCUCUUAUUCCACUCGCUGCGGAGAAAUCUCAAACUUGCUCGUAGAAGAUGCGAAACUCUUGCGGGUUUGGCGAGGGGACAAGCGAAGGGCACGCGAGAGGAGGUGACACAAAUCCAAUGCUUCUCGAAAGACGCUGAUACGAGACUAGACGAAGUGGGAGUCAUUCCUAGUGGUGUCGCAGGUGUCAUCGUCGAAGUCGAUGCUAAACCAAAGAAGAGGGAAGAUCCGAGCAUAUUUUUCAAAUGCUGGCCAGUUGUUUGACAAAAUGCCCAUGUGAGUUGAAAUCUACACAACGAAAUGGGCCUGUAUGCACUUGUGGUAGCAAAGCAGGUUGCGGCCCUAGAUUCAACGAGCAAUAGCAGAACUAGGUCCUUUAUUUAAAGCUUUAGGGCGACAGAUUCGAACACGUAAAUAAUGGGCUUUUGUUCAUUUGCCACCCCACGGCCCAAGAGAAUAUGGGCAGGUAAAAUUGCAUCAGUCCUCAACCCUUCUUUUCAGAAAAGUUCCAUCAAAUCAAAUCUCCAAGCAAAUAAUUCACAACUUUGAUUAGAUUGUAAAGAAUCGAGAUCCGGCUGAAUUACUGAAUUAAUCAAAAGAUUUUAAGAUGUUUUCAACUCGAUCCAUCAACUCCAAUCGAAGCAUAUCCGUCCUGAUCGUUUCUCAAUCAAAGAAAAAGGAAUCGGAGAGAGACUAAUAGCGCAAACCGGGGACAGCAAGUACGUCACUGUCGUGGACCAAGAAGUACCCUUAUUGCAUUUCAGAAUAUGCUUGAAGCAUAUGCCUUCGAGUUAGUAAAAGCUCUAUCUCGCACAGUGCUAAUUAUUACUAUAUCGUCGUUAUCAUCAUGUUACAGGCCAAGUGAAUCUUGAUAGGUGGGGUCCAAAUCAUGCAAUACAACAAAAGAUUCGAUUUCAUAUAAUUAAGAAAUCCGUACCUAUUUUCUUUUCCUCAACGAGGGAAAAAAAAUCAUCAAGAAAGAGUAGCUAUGAAUUUUUACAAAGCUUUUGAGAAUUUAGAGGUAAUUAUAAUGAUAAUAUAUUAGCAGAUGGGGAGAGAUUGAAAUUGUUUGAUCUAUCUUCGGAAACUUGAAUCAUCCCUCAUCUUUGAUUAGAGGGAGUUUGCCAUUAGGAAGCAACUUUUGAAAAAUCAGCACAACUUGUUGCACAUCAUUUUUCAAGCGCAUGAAAUAGAAGAGUCAGGCUGCUUUUGGUUUAUAUUGUCCAAUUCUUGCGUGGAGAUGAACAACGAGACAUAAACUAUAAAACUCAACGAGAAAAACGGAAAACCGUGAUUAAAAAAAUAUAACAAUUUGCUUUUUCAAUACAUAUUAAUCGAAGGGAAGAACAACAACAGUGAGGCACCUCCUCAGAUUUCUUCUCAUAAUUUCUUCAACUCCCGUGCUUCGUUCUUUCUUUGCAAUUUUUCGCGCGGCUGUCCAUCAAAGGGACCCAACAAGGACAGAGAAAAGAGAGAAAGUGCUGGUCCCCGAAACGGGAAGCAUGAAGCAAGAAGCAACCUCUGUCAUUUCUCGCCAUUCUUUAUUUUAUCCCUGUAACACAUUUUUAGCUCCGACCGCUCAUUUUUCUCUUUUUUCUUUUUUUGACAAUUCUGCUUGUUGACUACACUACCAUGUGCAUUGGUCUUUCUUUACAUUUUCUUUUGUUACAGCUGUCUGGGCAAGUGUUUCCUGUAGAAGUUGUCAUUUAUCUACCAAACUUUUUCAUCGUCUCUUUCGGUGCUGAUUGUUAAUUUGGCAGAUGAGAUGUCACAUCUUAAUCUUAUGGGUACUCCUUCUCUAAAACAUGUCGAUGAAAGAAGUGAGAGUGAGCCUCCCUCCUAAUGCUAUAUUCUCAUCCCAUGCUAUGCUAUUUUGAGGGCUUUUUAUAAAUUUAUCAGAAUGUUAUUAAAAAGUGCUUUAAGGACACUAAUUAAUCAUACUUAAUGAAGAAAAAUUUUCAUUUUCAUUAUACUAUUUGCGCGAUAUAUGAGAAUUUUUUCCAUUGAAAACUUUCAAAUAUCAAGAUUAGACUCUUGGAAUAUCUCUAUCUUCCAAAUAAAUUUGCAUCAACGCCGACUUAGUGAAGCUAUGAGUGUAUUCUCUAUUUUUGUGCAUAGAAGUGCGAGACAAAUUGUCAAAACUACAAAAGAAAUCCGUUUGGAAACUACGCCCCUUGAAAAGCAAGAGAUAAUUUCACAAAUUGGAAAACUCACCGAACACCUCGAAUCUGCCUCCUUUUGUUUCUUUGCUCCUUGGCAAGGGUUCGCCCAGACGAUUUGUAUAAAAUGUCUAGCAAUCUCUAUGCUUUUAAACUAUACUUAUAUGGCCAAAUCAAGAAGAUGUUAUAACACAAGUAUUUGCCCCCGCAUCUGAGGAGGUUGGUCUUGGUCAGGCCGCUGAAUUUAGAGGAAUGCAGAAUUGGUAAAGGGGCCACACCACAUCUUUCUCAAGCUGGGAUCGAAGUCUGUCCAAUUUGAGGACCAUGUCUAAAGAAAUCCAUGUAUGCAACACCGAGGGAGACAUUGUGGAGGCCGUUGGGAAGCCAUAUUGAAGGGAGAAAUCAAAACACUAUAUGAGUAGUACUUGACGACUUUCUCUACCUAGUUAUCAAAUUAAAAGCAGUAUUUCUCAAAAGCUAAUAAUUUUGGUUCUGAAUUGCUCAGUUCGUAGAUUAAUUAGCAAUAGCAAUAGACAAUAAUAACGUAACAAGAUUAAUUGGCUUGAAAUCUGUGUUGAGUCAAAUUUCAAACCAAAAAGCAAAAUUUGUUGAUUUUACUAGAUUUUGCCGUACCAAACCAACCGGAAUAUAUCCGUCCCAUCUUAAUUCGCUCUUUCAUGCUGUUUACUAGCCUUGCAUUUUUCUUGAAAAUUAUUAAAAGUAGCCUUUAACUCCAAUUUCUUCAAGGGUUAAGAUGAACAAUUUUAUAGUUGGCGCUAAAAUUGGCUGCUGACCGGUCUUUGAUUGGUCAAUUUAAGGAACCAAUUUGUGUUUUUUGCAGGGGAUUCUUGCCCACAUCACAAAGAAACCCUAAUCCUCUGUUCUCACUGUUAGUCGCUUGUCUCAUCUCUGUCGACGAAAGGGAUCAUCACCACCGUCUAAGAUCAUGUAGUCUGACGUCAUCAUCACCACCAUCGCAAAUUUCAUUGCGACCGAAAAAAUGUUAACAGGUAAACCUAGGUGCGGUCUAAAAAUAGUCCGGAAAAUAAAUGUCAGGCCGUCUUGUAACUUUCGUGCACUAAACUAAAAUCUCUUAUUGUGGACUGGCCACCUAAUAAUAGAGUUCCAUAAAAUCACCUUUUCUUUAGAAUUUAAGAAUCUCUAAUCAUAUGGAAUGCAAAUUCUGCAUCGUCUUAACAACUCUCUUGUUUUAUGUUUGGUUAGAGCUUCGAGGGCUUUUCAUGUUGCAAAUUGGUAGAUCGCGUGUUACUGUCAUUGAUUGCAUGCAAUUGUUCUAGAUUAGGCUAAUCGUACAUAUUAGAAGCCUGAACUUGAUAGAUUUGGGAAGUUCGUAGGGUAUGUCAUGGACUUUUAAGGAAUCUGUCCUCCAUGCCUGUGCCUGGAUUGUGAAAAUAAAAAGAAAAAAGAUACAACAAUUGCUCAUUAAUCUUUUGUAAGACUUUGCAUGAGUAGAUAAAUACAAAUGACCGAUAUCAUCCAUAAGUAUAAAGUUGUACAAAGCAUGUUAAAGUCACAUGUUAAACUUUUCAAUGAUGGAGCAUUUCAUGAACAUUAUGUACAUGUGGUCAUUUUGCAUCUAACUAAUUGCUAGAAUGGCAUCAUGGAUAUCCAUACUUAUGUUCCGGAGUCAAGAUAUUUGAUCAUUAACUCAAUGAGAAAUCACUACAAUACUUUCCUAAAUCUUUAGAACGUGAGAAGUGCAUGUAUAAAUUUUUCAAAUUAGAGAAGCGGUUAGAUCAUCGCAAUUAUCUUUAAUUUUGUGGAGUUGAAUGUAAUUAACAUGGAGGAGUGUAAUUGAUUUGUGUGCGUUUAUGAAAUCGCAUGAGCCAUAAUAAUAUAUCUUAUAGUAGGUAUGAUCCGUGGUGGUCUAUUUUUCCACCUACAAGGAAGAAAAAUGUUGCCAUCAGUAUUAGCCCAUGUGAAACCAAUCUUUUGAGGAACCCAUAAAGCAAUAGUACGAUGACGAAUUGACGGCAAGCCGCUGGCCUUGAGAAAGCAAUCUUUUGACUACAAAUAAAGCUGGUAGCCCAUUAGACACCCAUCUUUUGACGCCACGUAAAGCAAAAAUGUGAUGAUUGAUGUUGAAUUAUUGCCACUGCCCAGGGGAAACCAAUCUUGUUGUGAAACCAAUCUUCUUUUGACGGCACAUAAAGCAAAAAUUUGAUGCUGAAUCAUUGCUCAUAGCCCGUGUGAAACCAAUCUUCUUUUGACGACACAUAAAGCAAAAAUAUGAUGCUGAAUCAUUGCUCAUAGCCCAUGUGAAACCAAUCUUCUUUUGACGGCACAUAAAGCAAAAAUAUGAUGCUGAAUCAUUGCUCAUAGCCCGUGUGAACAAUGUUGAAUUAUUGCACUAGCCCAUGUGCCAUUUAAUCGUCAUGCCAUCGCCUAUGUAUGGUCAGCCGCGGAGAGUAGUGAUGGCGAUGGCGAUGAUGCGGGCAUUUUUCAAAUGCGACAAAUUGCCUACUGAUUUAAAACAGUGUUCGAGCGCAUGAAAUGGAAGAGGCAUGUUGCUUUGAGUUUGUAUAAUUCAAUUCUUUAAUUUAGAUGAAUGAUGAGAUGUAACAUAUAAACUCUAAGGAGAAAAACGAAAAAACGUGUUUCAGAAAAUACCUAUUGGCUUUUUCAAAAUAUAUUUAAUCAAAGGGACAAGCAACAUGAAAUAUAUGACAAAGCAACGGCGGUUGAAACGGCGAGUUACCUCCUUAAUUUUUUCUCAUUUUCUUCAUCUCCCACGGGUCUUUCUUUGCAAUUUUUCGUGCAGUUGUCCAUCGUAGGGGACCCAAAAAGACAAAAAGAAAAGAGACAAAGCAUUGAGGGUCAAAACGUGAAGCACGAAGCAAGAAGUAACCUCUUUCGUGUUUCGCCAUCCUUUAUAGAAUUCCUGGAAUGAAAUUUUGGCUCCAACUGCUCAUUUCUUUUUCUUUUUCAUCUUUUGACAAUUUCUGCUAAUUGACUACUCUCUCAUGGUCCGUUGGUCUUUCUUUAGAUUUUCUUUUUUUACAGCUAGCUAUCUGGGCAAAUGCGUUCCUAUAAAAAUUGUCAUUUAUCUAACAAACUUUUUCUCCGUCUCUUGUGGUACUAAUUGUUUAAUCUGGUAGAUGAGAGGUCACAUCAUAAUCUUAUAGUAAUCCUUCUCUAAACAUGUGAAUGAAAGAAGUGAGAGCGAGCCGCCCCCAAUACUACUUUGAAGGCUUUUUAUAAAUUUAUUAGAAUCUUAUUAAAGAGUCUUUAAGGGCACUCAUUAAUCAUGUCUAAUAAAGAAAGAUUGUUAUCUUCAUUAUAUUGAUUGUGCAAUAAAUGGGAAAUUUUUCCACUAAAAACUUUCACACGUCAAGAUUGGUUUACACAAACAUGUAUCAUAUAUUCUUAGAGUAUCUCUACCUUCCAAAUAAAUUCACCACUUUAUUAAUUGGAAAAAGCUAUGAUUGUAUCUUUUAUUUUGUAUAGAGAAAUGUGAGACAAAUUGCCAAAAUAACAAAAUUACUUCAUUAGGACUAUGCACCUCCUCCCAAAAAACAGGAGAUAAUUCCACAACUUGGUAAACUUAUGAACGCCUCAAAUUCACCUCCCUUUGUUUCUUCGCUCCUUGGUAAGGGUUCAACCUAGAUGAUUUGCGUAAAAUGUAUGGCAAUCCUAUCCUUGUAAACUAUACUUAUAUAGCCAAACCAAGAAGAUGUCGGAACACAAGUAUAUGCCCCUACAUCUGAGGAGGUUGGUCUUGGUUGGGCCGUGGAAUGGAAGGGAGUCACUAAAGGAGACAUGCCACGUCUUUUUCUAAUCAAGAUCGUUGUCUAUCCAAAUUGAGGACGUAUCUAAAGGAAUUUAGGUAUGCAACAUUGAGGAAGACAUUAUGGAGGCUGUUGGGAAGCCACGUCAAAGGGAGAAAUGGAAAUGCUAUGUGAGUAAUACUUGGCGACUUGCUUUGUGUAGUUGUCAAAUUGAAAGCGACAUUUCUUGAAAGCUAAUAAUUUUGCUAGUGAAUUGCUCAUUUUGCGAAUUAAGUAGCAGUGACAAUACACAAUAAUAACGUAAGAAGAUUAAUUGUUGAUUUUACUAGAUUUUGCCGGACCAAACCAACUGGAACAUAUCCAUCCCAAUCUUAAUGCGCUCUAUUAUGCUUUUCAUUGGCAAUGCAUUUUUCUUGAAAAUUAUCAAAAUUAGCCUUGAAAUCCAAUUUCUUCAAGGUUUAAGAUGAACAAUCGUGUAGUUGGGGCUAAAUUUGCUUGCUGACCAAUCUUGAAAUUGGCUAUUUUAAGUAACCAAUUUGUUAUCAUGCACGCCAUGUAGGCUGAUAAAGUGGUGGCUAUUAACUAUUUGAUAUUUUCUUUCAGUUCAAGGUCUAAAAAUAGUUGAGAAAAUAAGUAUUGUAUCCUCUCUAUUAGUAUGAAGUUGUGUAUAGAAUAUUGCCGCCACAUUUUAAAGUAUUCAAUGGUGGAGUUUUUCAUAGGUAUUAUAUACAUGCGGUCUUUUUGGGUCUAACUAAUUGCUUUUAAACUUUGGAUGAUAAUCUCUAAUGUCAUAUCCACUACACUUAUAUAUUUAGGCUCUAUCCGUUUCAUAAGGAAUAACUUCCAAUAAAACAUUUUUCGGAUUUUUCGGUAUUCUUUUUAUGAAAAAUAAAUUAGUUGUGGAAAAUAUUUUCCAUCAAGAAAAAAAAGUAUUGUAAAAGAGGGUAAAAUGUUUUUCAUUUUUAAAAUUGGGAAAAAUAUUUUUCUUACUGGCUCUCUCUCUGUUAUCUCAUACCUUACUCGCCUCCUUCUUUCUUGUUUUCUUUUCUAAUAAUUCAAAUUUUAAAUUAUUUUUCUUUUUCUUUUUCUUUUUUUCCACCUUCUUCUUUGGCCGGUCCCCGGUACGGCUACGGUCGGCAAUUGGUGAGCGGUGAGCCUCGAGCCUUGGGCCUCGCCUGGCUCACCAAUUUCUGGCGAGCAGCGAGCUCGAGCUUGUCGCUCGCUAGCUUGGCAAACCAACAGUGAGCGCAAGCCUCUAGCUCAUCGAUCUAGUAUGGCCAAAGGUCAGCAAGCUUGAGGCUUGCCCUUGCGCUCGCCGAUCUCUAUUGAGCGGCAAGCUUAAGAAGGCACACCGCCCGCCACGAGCCACAUUAGCGAGCUAGCUUGCCUCUAGCUCGUCAAUCCGGAGAGGCCAAAAGCCGGUCUUGAGCUUGCCCCUCGUUGCUCGCCAGCAGAAGCUGGUCUUUGGCCGGUCGCCGGCCGUUGUCGUGGAUGGCGACCGGCAAAAGAAAAAGAAGAUAAAAAGAAAAAAAAGGAAAAAUAAUUAAAAAUCUAUUUCUAAAAAAAUAUUUUAAAAAUAAAAAAAUUAUUUAACAAAAGUGCAUUGAAAAAAGAUUUUCCUUAUUGAACAAUAAAAAAUAUUUUUCACUUCAUGUUUAGAUUUUAGACGAAUAACGGAAAAUAAUAAUAAUUUCUUGAAAAAUGACUUCCUAAGAAAUAUCCUCUAAAAAUGCGGUAUUUUUCGUAAAACGAAGAGAGACUUAGAGUCAAAAAGUUUGAUUAUUAACUCGCUGUGAAAUCAUUAUGGCACUUUGUUAAAUCUUUAGAAUGCGAGAAGCGCAUAUAUAAAAUUUCUAAAUUAGUCAUACAGUUCGAUCAUUGCAAUUUACCUUUGUUUUUGAGGAGUUGAAUUUGGUUAACAUGGAUGAGUCUGAUUGAUGUAUGUAUGCAUGUUUAUUAGGUGGUACGAGCCUUGAUAUAUAUCUUAUAAUAAAUACUAGUUGCGAUUGUGCGUUUUUCCCACCACAUGAAACAAAAAAGUUGCUAUCGGCAUUAGCCCGUGUGAAGCCAAUUUGUUGACGACACAUAAAGUAAAAUUAUGAUGGAUGAAUUCACGGCACAUAAAGUUAUUGGCCCCUGAGAAAGUAAUCUUUUGACGUCACAUAAAGAAAAAAUAUGAUGAUUGACGUUAAAUUAUUGCCGUCGACCCAGGGGAAAUCAAUCUUCUUUUGACGGCACAUAGAGCAAAAGAUACAAUGCUGAAUCAUUUUUUGGUAAAGGUAUGAGACUAAUCUUUCGACGGGACAUAAAGCAAAAAAUGCGAGGCUGAACUAUUACUAUUAGCUCUUGUCAAAAAAAAAAAAAAUUAUUACUAUUAACUGAUGUGACACUACCGAUAUGCCGUCACCUAUAUAGUAUAUAGCUGCGGAGGGCGAUGAUAGGCACUUUGUCCCAAUCCCAGUGUUAUUAUCGUGCGCUAAUCAUUUUGAAGUAUUGUUUCGAGCUCAGUCAUAAAAUUGGCAGCGGAUCAUUCGGAGAGAUCUACACCGGUGGACUACUCGCUAAUUGGUACUCGAUUUUUUCUUUAUUUGUUUUGCUUUUAGAUUGAUUUUGAUUGAAGUUUUCCAUGGAUUAUUUUUAGGUACUAACACUCAAACGAACGAGAAGGACGAGACUAAGCUUGUGAGUCACUAACUGAUACUUGGUUUUUGCUCCAUGCGUUCUACUUUUUCUAGUUUUUGCUCGUUUUAGUUACUUUAGUAUUGUUAUAGUCAUUCCAUUGAUAUUUUGUUGAUUUAAUAUUUUGACGUAUUAUUUUGACGUUCUAUGAGGCGAUAUGGACUGUGGCUUGUUCUGUUUUUUUUUUUCUUGGGUCAUUUGAUUGACGUAGAUAAUGUUCACUUGCUUCCAAUAAGUCAUGGAUGCUAACUUCCAUACAUUAGAAUGAUUAUUAUUAACAAGUGGAAGCUUUCCUCAGUUUGUGGCAUUCACAUGCAUGAGAAAAUUGUCAAAAAGUCGUAAAUCUAUUGCUUUUUUAUAAUCUAAUUAUAAACAUUUUAAUUUUACUAAUUAAAUCCUAAAAUUUUCAUAUUUUGUUAAUUGAGUCUACCUUGUCAAUUUUAAUCGAAAUCGUUGACUUAGACAAAUUUUAAUAAUAUGUAGAUGUUUUUUCGAAAUUUUAAAUUUUUCCUUUUUUCUUUUCUCUCUUCUCCUUCUUUCCCUUCUUUUUACUUUUUUUUUCUUCUUCCUUUCCCCCUUUCCCCCUCCGCUAGUCACCAUUGGGCCUCGUUGAUAGCUCGUGGAGUUUGGCAGCCUCACAAGAGGGCCACAAUCGUUGGCCUCAAGCGAGGGAUGCCUGGGCUGGAUUGGCAAGGAUCGAGCGACCCUUCACGGGCCUCAAGCAAGGGUUGCCCUUGCCUGGGCAAGCGUGGGAUGCCCUCUCUUGGGCAGGUGAGGGCAAGGCGAGGACUGCCCUCACCAGUCAACUUGAUUUUCCAGCAUCUAGUAUACUCCCCUUUGCCCUAUUCUGAUGCAUCUGUCCUCUUUUUCUCCUGUAAGAGUAAUAAUGAAAAUAUGUUUCAGUGUAUCACACUCGAAAUCAGAUAAUCAUUGUAGAUCAUGCAAAACAUGGAGAGAAGGGAAUCAUGCUCCUUAACAGAAAAGAAGAGAUACUAUGGUAACAGUGAUGAUUUUCAAUUGUCAUCACUCUUUAUCUAGUCAAUUAAGAAUGUGUUAGCCACAAAUAAGAACAAACAAUUUGACUCUUGGCAUCUGCAAGUUCAAGAUUUUGUGGAAAUGAACAUCCCAUGAACUUGUGUCCUUAAAACUUCAAAUCACAUUGUGGUGAAAUAUCAUUUUGGUAAGUAUGGAAUAUCCCCCCAAUAACAUCAAUUGCAUAGUAGCUGAAUGAUAGGAUCGAUGGGAAUAUAAAAAAUCAUGUCUUCCAGACGACAAGUAUUUGUUGUCUGCGCGGGAUGAUUUGGAGCGUAAGCUCACUGAAGAGGGGGACUUCCACGGGAGAAAAUUGUGACAACCCAUAGGCAGUAAUGAUUUUAGGCCAUGUGGUAAGGCAAUUUACCUCCAUAGGAAGACCAAAUAGGAAAAAAGUCAAUUAAUAUAACACCAUGUAAAGAAUCAAAUUGAACUCUAUUCCAGUUACCUUUUGCAGCAGAGUUAACAGUAGCAACAUUAUGCCGCUGCUUUUGCAUAUUGAAUUUGUGAAGAGAACUGAAGCUGUUUCCACAUGCUUUAGAUCCCUUAAAGAUUCACGGUUGACUUCAUGGUUGCCAACUUCAACCAAAUGACCAGGAAAUUCCAUCAUCUUUCCAGGGCUUACUUCUUCAGCUUUGCUCAGGAACCUGCAAUCUAAAAAUUUCCAGCUCGUAUCAUACAAGAAAACCUGACAAAACACCCAUGAAAAAGGUUUCCAAUCCUCUGAGCCGCAUUUAUCCUGACAAAAGUUUCCCACUAGCAUGAUGAGAAGUGCACAAACCAUGAAGAAGAAAACCAGCUAAUAAAGGAAGGAAGAGACGAUAAUUCAGCAACAAGAAAGCUGGUACUAUCUGAGGUUAAAGAUCAGUAGGAGACGUAGACUGUAGAGCUUGACCUGCCUAGUAAUAGGUCCACUGCUUGUAGAACGUAAGAAGCCAUCAUGAUAUUUCUUCGACUUUUGAGUUAACUGCGUUGUAUACAAGACAUGCCAAUCUAUAUCAAAAGGAAGAUCACGUCAACUGUAGUGCUGAGACAACAAUAACAAACUUAAGAAUAUAACUAGCAGAAUAUUCAGACCAGUUUCUGAGGGAAAGUUUGGAAAUAUGCUAAGAAGCUCCCAAUGAUUUUCAAGAGAAGCCAUGAAAAAAUGUGGACAUAAAACUGCUGUGAUUGAGGAGAUUUGAUAUACAAAGCAUCAGAGUUGAGAGAACAUCUAUUGUCCUUGAACAGAUUCUAUGUGUAUUAUAAAGAUAAGUAGAAACUGUAAACCCAAAGGAAAUUAAGAAAUGAUUCACAGUCCAGGAUAUGACAUCAAAGGAAAUGAUAUAUGGCCAGGCAUGGCAUAUAUGAAUCUGCAAAAGUCCAAACUCACCUGGCAUACUCGAUGUCUUGAGUUCGGACCUCCUGGUAAUAUGCCAUACUUGUUCAUUUCAUUCUUCUUGAAUUCUGGAAAAAGAGAAACACAGAUGCCAAGUUUCGUACCCAGCAUUUACUAGCUAUCAAGAGAGUUGUAUUAUGUAGGAUUUCAUCACCAACCUCUAAUAAUUUUCUGUGAUGGGCUUAGGCCGAUCGUCUGCUGUUUAUCCUUUUCCACUUUGGUCUUCUCAUCUUCUUAAAACGUAAGUGGAAUGGAUUAUACAAUAACACAGGUAGAAAAUCACAACAUUGCGAAUGUGAUUAUCGAGCACAACGACCAAAACCACAAAACAGAACAAUCCGUGAGGAGUCAAAAUCGAAAACCUAUGCAGCAUCGAGCUGUUGCUAUCAAGCAUUUCUUCUACCUGCGGAGAGAAUAUACACCUGUAGACUUCCCCAUUACUCCAUUCUUUUCUUCUUGGGGUGCUUUUCUUGCGUCGGCGGACGUAGAAUAUGCAUUAUCAAUGCAAUAUGCAACUUUCUAAGUACUUAAUUUCUUUCUUUUCUUCUUCGCAACUCGCAGGCCUAUAUGUUCACAGCUUGUUAACGCAUCAGAAGUGAAUUCUCAAGUCAUUCUCUAUCAUAAUCUCCACCGAUCACAGUCUGAGCAGUGCAAUACCAAUGGCCGAGUCUGUUGUUUCGUUCGCGGUGGAGAAAAUUGGAAACCUGCUCAUCGACGAGGUCAAAUUCUUGAGGGGAGUGGAGGGCAAGGUCACGGACCUGCACAGCGCGCUGAGGCAGGUCCAGGCCUUGCUGAGAGAUGUGGAUUCAAGACGAGAGCGCAAAAAAGCUGUGGAAGAAUGUAUCGCACAACUCCGAGACUUUGCCUAUGAUGCUGAGGACGUCAUCGAGAGAUACUACCUCAAAGCGGCGCUGACGGAGGGACAAAACAUCAUCAAAGCGUAUGCUUGCUUCAUGGCGAAGUGCUCGUGCGUGCAGGUUCAUGAGGCGGGGACAGAGAUCGAGGGCUUAAAAUCCAGAAUUUCUGAAAUUGGUGAUAAGAUGCAGACAUAUGGCAUACAGCCUCUGAAUGAGAGCGAAUGCGAAACCGCGAGAGCUUCGACGCCAGAACGGACUUAUGCCCAUUUUGAGGAGGAAGAUUUUGUCGGGAGGGAAGAUCAUAUCAAGGUGUUGGUGAACGAGCUGUUGAAGGAUGGAGAACAACAGAGAGUUAUUUCCAUUUGUGGGAUGGGUGGUUUGGGUAAAACCACUCUUGCUAAGAAAGUCUUUGCUCAUGACAAAGUGAAGGAGCAUUUUGAUAGUUUUGCUUGGGCUUGCAUAUCUCAAGAGUACCGUGUGAGGGAUAUCUUGGAGGGAAUUCUUGUUAAGUUGAACCCUGAUCAAAGAGAAGGGGUUACGAAGAUGAAAGAUGACGAAUUGUUUGAAACUUUAUACAUGACCCAAAAACAGAAGAGAUGUAUUGUGGUUCUUGACGAUAUUUGGACCAAACAGGCAUGGGUUGGUCUUAGAAACGCAUUCCCGACCAAGGACACGAGAAGCAAGCUAUUGAUAACAACUCGCAAUAGAGAAGUAGCUCAGCAUAUCGAUCCUCAUUGUUUUCUCAAUGAACCUCAGUGCUUAUCACAAGAGGAGAGCUGGGUUCUGCUAAAGAAGAAGGUAUUCCCUCGAACAAAAGGUAAGACUUCUCUAAAGUUAUUAACCUAACAUAUAGUGACUUCAAAGGAUUAUAUUGCCUAUUUGAUUCUAAUUUAUGGUGCUUCGGUUAUCAUUGCAGGAUUAGUUGUUGAAAUUUCUUCUGAUGGAUCCAGAGUUGGUCAAGAUAUUGUUGCGGGCCAAACUGUAGAAGAUAUCGCAAAACAGUCAGAGACAGAGGGACAAAUACCGGGUAUUUCAUUGCUUAGUUUGUCCUUUUAGAAACUUAAGCAAUUUAUAAAUAGAUAGUUACAAUGGAGUUCAAAUGAUCGAAAUAUCGAGUAUUAGGCACCAUAAUUUCAAUAUUUGGAGAAUCAAAUGCCCCUUUUGUUUCUUAAUAGUUAACAAUUAUACCACUAAACCAAGAUCCAAAGCUUUGUUCAUUCUUUCCUCUAGUGAGGUUAAAUAUUGAAGAGGCUUUAAUAAGGCCAACAUAAUAAGCAAUUUUGAUAGGAUUUAUGAAAUAAUGUGAAGCCUAGCUAUGUUCUUCUAUAGGCUUCAUCUCAAGUCCACCUUUUUUGCAUUUGUGAAUAGUUGGCUUAACCAUAAAAGUAGGGAUUCAUAAGGAAAAUCAUGAAUCGUUAUGCGGCACAUGAAGAUUUCAUUAGAAUUUGUGUAGGAGAUUAGUAGCACAUUCAAGUUACGAGAGAUCACGCUCAAGUCAUCCCUGCGCUGCUUUCAUAUUUCUUCAUCAAGUAGGUUUAUUGUUGUUUUACAUUUGCUUGAGUCACUUAAUCCAAGCCACAGUUUGGACUUCUUGAUUUUCCAGGCGUAGAUGGAGGCAUAUAUAGGAGCUUUGUUGUGGUCCCCAUUUUUCCCCUUACAAAACCAUAAAUGAACCACAAAUUAUGAAGAACUAUAGCAUCUUACUUAUAUAUCUAAACACAUGUAUUCGUCCUUGAAGUAAUCUUUUUAUUACAGUUGCAUCUUCCUAUGAUUGCUGAGUUGCAAUUUGUUGCUUGAUAUUGUGUAGUAAUCACUGAAGACAUGAAGAUGUUAGCAUAUAAACUCCUUGAGAAGUGUGCAGGAUUGCCCUUGGCUGUCAUUGUGCUUGGUGGACUUUUGGUACACAAUGACUGGGAGACAGUUCACAGAAACAUCAAUUUGCAUUUUGGUGAUAAGAAUAAUGUAUCAGAAGUGUUAGCCUUAAGUUAUGACAAUUUACCAUCGCAUCUAAGGCCAUGCUUCCUCUAUUUGGGUAGUUUUCCUGAGGAUGCAGAAAUCUUUGCAAUGAAAGUUCUUUACAUGUGGAUUGCUGAAGGUUUUGUGUCGCUGAAUGCAAACAAUAGAGCGAGAGGAAUUUCAGUGGAAGAUGUAGCAAAGCAAUAUGUAAUGGAGUUGGUUAACAGAGGAAUGGUUCAAGUACAAUUCAAUUUAAGUGGAAAUAUCAAAAGCUUCCACCUCCAUGACUUGAUGCGAGACUUAUGCAUCUCCAAGGCUCUAGAAGAGAGUUUUCUAAGCAUUCUUAACAUUCAACAGGACAAUGAGACAGAGAAUUGUUGUGCUUCAACGGCAAUAAAAGUCGAGUCAAGUUGCAAAAUACGAAGGCUUUCUCUUAAUAGAAAUGUGAUUCCAAGCUUAAAAGCAAGAGAAAGGACUCUGGUCCACCUUCGAACUCUCAUGUCCUUCGGAGGUGUCGCACGGGAGUCGAAGCAAUUUCAGCCUAUUUUCAACCAUUGUAAGUUUCUUAGAGUUCUAAAAUUAGAGAACCUUAAUGUGGAGAGAAGCUUACCUAAAUCAAUGGGAGACCUAGUCCAUUUACGAUUCUUAAGUUUAGCAAGAAGUAGGUUUAACGGUUUGCCGCAAUCUAUGGGGAACCUUGUAUGUAUGGAAUUCUUGGACCUGCUUACACGUAGACAUACUAUGGUUUCUAUGCCAAAUGUAUUGUGGAAGAUGAGAAGAUUGAGGUAUCUCCGUCUUCCUUACCAGUUUGAUGUCAAGGAGAAAUUUCAUGGGGCUCAGA